rnacentral:lncRNA from 1 species
CUCUCUCUCUCUCUCUCUCUCUGAAACAUUUUUGUUUUAUGAUACAGGGCUCAUCUCCAAGACCUGGAUUUGGUAUUGUUGUUCCUGGAAAUGAAAUCCCAGGUUGGUUUACUCAUCAAAGUAAGGAAUCUUCAAUUAGGGUGCAGGUGCCUUCUAAUUAUCUGGAUGGGUUGAUGGGGUUUGCUGCAUGUGUUGCAUUCAAUGCAUAUGGUAAAAGCCCUCUCUUUUGUCAUUUCAAAGUCCAUGGAAAAGAAAAUUAUCCUUCGCCCAUGUAUAUAGGUUGUAACUCUAUGCAAGCUCUGUCCAAUCAUCUGUGGUUAUUCUAUUUAUCUUUUGAUUAUCUGAAAGAGCUUAAAGAACGGGAGAAUGAAGCCUAUAGCGAACUCGAUUUGUCGUUUCAUUCUUACAACCGAGGAGUAAAGGUGAAGAAUUGUGGUGUCCGUUUGGUAAAUUCUCCGUAUACUCCAUCAUGGGAAUCACCUACUGGCCAUCUUAUUGUUGCAAGCAAAGAAGUAGCUUCUUCAUAUAUUGAUUCUUUAGCUAAUUCUUCAUCUUACAGUCAAUGGAUGCAUGAUGUCUUCUUUGGCUUCAGAGGUGAGCACACUAGCAAUAAUUUCACCCAUUUGUAUACAGCUCCAGUCCAGAGAGGCAUUAUCCGAGAUGACAUAGAACUAAAGUAUCUAAGGGCAGUUGAAUCGAGUCUCCUAAGGGACAUCAGAAAGUCGGGGCUGUCAAUUAUUAUAUUUGCAAGAGAUUAUGCUUGUUCACCUUGGUGGUUCAACGAACUUGUCAAAAUUGUUGGAUUCAUGAAAAAGAUGAAAUCGGACACUGUUUUUCCAGUUUCAACAGUUUCUUAUAAUGUCGAGCAAUCAAGGGUAAAUGCACAAGCAGAGAGUUACACGAUUGUCUUCGACAAGGAUGAAGAAGAUUUCAGUUAAGCCAUGGAGAAGGUGCGAAGGUGGAUGGAUAUUCUAACCGAGGUCGCCGUUUCAUCUGGAUCGGAAUCAUCUACAAGGUAAUUAAUCAUUACUUUACUUCCCCCUUUUUUUAAUUUUUAUUUUAUUUUAAUACAUUUUUUUAAAAAAAAUAAUUUGAAUCAUUACCACUAUAAUAAUCUCAAAUACACUAUAAUCCUUUCAAAAUCCCAAGUUCACAAAACUCUUACGUAUUCAAGCCUUUUCUGGAAGUUUAGUCUUGUUUUAUCUACAUAUAGAAACUUGGCAUUUAUGAAAGAUUAAAAACUACUUUUUCGUGCAUAAUUUUAUAGUAUUUGGUAAAUAACUAGCGAUAUUUUAUUAAUUAUUUUAUAUUAAAAAAAAAGACUGACACAAAACCAUGUAUACAGUGAAGAGAGUUUUAAAUUCAAUGGCACUAAGAAAUCUUGUUUCAGGGUGAAUGGCAUGGAUUGGCCAGUUGGGAAUAGGUUUCACAGGACUGACAUGCAGUUGGUGCUGAACUUCCGGAUGAAGGUCCUCGAGGAAAGAUACGAGCUUGAUUUUGAGUCCGGUUUAGGUUAUUAUCUUAAUCCUACAAACCACCCUUUUCCUCAAAAAAUUUCAUGAAACAUAUAACUAAAAAUUUUAAAUUUUUUUUUCUUCCCCAUAAAAUAAAGUAUCUUAGGAUUUAGUUGAGAAAAAGUCUUUUACCUUUAUUAGAAAACUCAAUUGAAUGAGUGUUUGUCAAUUCCUCCCUUAAAAGAGCUUUCAACUAAAAUAGUACCCAAAAAGUACCGUGGGAAAUUGUUUUAAUAAAUUAUGACAAUUCCAUUACUAAAUAUCUAUAUGAUAUUUCUCUCUAUUUUUGUUCUAUUGUUGCGCGAUCUUGUUGCACUAUCGCAAGACCUUCCUAAACUCCGAUUGACUUAAACUUUAUUUGAAGAUAGAGAAAUAUAUCAGGAGACUCCUUAUAAGAUUUCAACCCGAUCCAAUAGUUAAAUUGAGAUUUAUGUUUGAUAUCGAAAACUAGAUAGUAGGUAGUUUUAUGCAAAAAUUCAAAUUUGCGUAUUAAUUUAUUUACUUAGAUCCUCAAUAUUUUUGAAUUAAUUCAUUGGGCACUCUCAUCCAUAAUCAUAAUUAAGAUUUUCCUCAUAGUAUUCAUCACUUUUGGUCAAAAUAGUGUGAUUGUACGAUGAGCUUAUAUUGGCGAUAAGUGUUUUUCAUGCAUAAAAUCAUAUAUUAUUUUAUUUAUAAUUCCACUCUAUUAUUAUUAAUUAUUAUUAUUAUUAUUAUCAUCGUAGUGUGGAUGACGUUGAAUGGUGGAUUUGUCUCUUGGAUGGAGUUGAUUUUGGAUGUGUUGAGACUAAUCAUAAAAUUAUGAUUAAUAGGGUUCAUGGGUCGCCACCUAGUAUUUUGAUCAUUAGAAAACCAAAUGGUCUACGAGAGUCUGGGUAAGUGGAUUAGUUAUGCAUGAGGAAAACGCAUCACCCCUAGUGCACCCUACUUAUGAUAAGCUGCAUUAUUGAUUGAUUGUUGUUUUUGUAAGUCAUGUUUCUAUUUGUUAGUCUGUCUAAGGUUCAAGAAAAGUCUUUCUUGAUAAGGAGGUCUCUGUCUUAUCAGGCUAAAACCUAACCAUUUUAAGGCCAAGAUUUUAAAGGUGUAUUUAUUUCUAUUUUUGUAUCUUUAAUACAAGGAGAUAUACUUUAUAGUGUGAUUUUAUACCCUCAAAUAUUAAAGUCUAUAAUUAACUCCUAACAUUUUUUUUUUCAAUUCAUUUAAUUUAAUACCGAGAAUAUGCAUUGUCAUAACCCAAUUUUUUACCUUUUAUAUUUGAAUUAUUUUUAUUACUGAAAAAAUGAUGAAAAAAAAUGAUGAAAAACAAGUAAAAAUAAAAUAAAUGAAGAAUGAAUUAAAAUUUGGGUUAAGGGCAACAUGAUUGGAAGUUUAAAGAUUUAAUUAAACUCUUAACUAGUUUAAUUAAUCAAAUCAAGGUUUUAAUCGGAGAAUUGAUAAGUUUUAAGACUUAAUUGAACUUGAAAUUAAUUUAAUUAAUCCAAUCAAGGGUUUAAUUGGAGAAUUGAUAAGUUUUGAGACUUAAUUAAGCUUGGAAUUAAUUUAAGUAAUGAAAUCAGGGACUUAAUUGAAGAGAUAGCAAAGUUUGGGGUUAAUUGGGGGUCAAAAUUGCAAAAUUAAAAUCCAAGGACUACAUUGAAAAUGGCGCGCAAAUGCAGGGGGCCAAAUACAGUUUAAACGAGGGGCUUAAUUACAAAACUUUUAAAACUUCAAGGGCCAAAAUGAAAAUAACCAUUAAACACAAAACAGUGCCGUUUCUAGACACUGUUCAUCUUCCUCAACGGUUCAGCCGCCCGCCGCCACCAUUACACCUGCAAUCAAUGGAUGAAACGGCAUUGUUCUCUGGCUAUAAAAGCCAGAGACCGAAAGGCCACAAAAAAGAGGAGGCCAGGGGGGAAGGAACCACAGAGAACCGGGAGAGACUAGAGAAAAAAAAAACAGACUUUCGUUCCUCUGUUUCUUCUCAAAGAAACAGAGGAGGCUAAAGAAAAAAGCCACGAACAGGAGGAAGAAAAACUGGGGAAAAAGGGCAGACGAGGAAAAGAAAAAACGCAGGAAAACAGAGAGAACGAGAGCAAAAAAACAGAGAGAGGGGGGACAGAGACGAACAACAAAAAAAAAACGCAGGAGAAUAACCCCCAGCUCGUGGGUUCAGACCUCCAUCACCAUCGGCCAUCGUCUUCGUCUUCCAAUAAUAACACAAGCAACGGCUUAGGAAAGGAAGGACUCGAGAAGACACAGAAAAACAGAAACAGAGGAGGAAGCAGCAGCAGUCGGGCAAGCCUCCGUCACCAUCGACAUCGUCUUCACCUUCACCCCGCAGCUGCACCAGCCCCAACAGCUCUUUCCCCCACCGUGCUCUCGAGGCCAGCGUCCACCGGCUCCUCAGUCGUGAGAAGUUUCUUCUCCGCCGUGAACAGCGAGCUGAAUCGCCAGUCGUGGGCACCGUCUCCCUCAGCCUUGCCAGGUAAGUUCAGCUUUCCUUCUAUUGGUAAAUUAAUUACCUGUUACUGUUGCAUGCAUGCGUGAAGUGAUUCACGCAUGCAUGUAGCAGUGGCCAGCCGGGUCACUGGUUUGGACCAGUGACCCAACCUUUUUUUUUUUUUGAGACCAUGCAACAUAAAUAAAUAAAAAUUCUAUUUCUUUUAAUACAAAAAAAAAGAAAAAUAAAAAAAAAUAUAAAAAAAAAUAUAAAAAAAUACGUGUAUGCAUGAAUAAAAAUAAUAUAAAUUUAUUAGUUUAUUCACCGACACGAGAGUCAGGAAUAAAAUACUGAUUUAAAUUUAUAUUAUUUUUAUUCGUUAUAUUUUAUUUUAUUUAGCAAGAAAAAUUAAAAAUAUGUGCAUGUGUGAAAAAAAAAAUUUAUUUUAUUGAAUAUUCAUUGGCGCCAGAGUCAGGAAUAUUGUGAAUAAAUUAUCAUAGCAUAAACUAAUAAACAUUUAGCAAUUUAAGACAAAAUUAGCAAUGCAGUCUGCCUCAGGCAGAACGUUUAAGGGGUGAUAAUAUCUUCCCUUUUAUGUAAUCAAUCCCGAGCCAUUGAAUCUCUGUUGACUAGUUAGGGUUCCUAGUGACCGUAAUACUAGGUGGCGACUCCUUAAACAAGAUCUUUUCCCCUAAAAGAACAAGAUAUCAGAUAUCUGUUCUUUUUCCAUAUUAGAGAAUUAUUUUUAGGGUCGCCGCGAAGUCGGGUGCGACAUGCAUUACAUUGUAAAAUUCACAUCCCAAAUAUUAAUAAUGUUUUUUUUUUAUUUUUAAGGUGUUUUUGAAAUUUUGGUCAAAUGCUAAUGGAUAAUCAUAAACUUGUUAUGAUACCCAUUAAUUGAUUUUUGUGUUUUUCAAAGUAUGAUAAAAAUACAAGUUUUUUUUUUUUAUAAAAUAUGCAUUAAAAUUUUUAGAACUUGGUCAUACGCACACAAAAUUUUUGAAAAUUAUUUGAGGUUAUUUGGCAAAAUCACAAAAGAGGAGAAAAUAAACAUUGCUGGAAAAUCAGUAGGGCAUGUUUGCCAAACACGCUUUUAACUAAAAAUCAAAGCCUUAAAAAAUAUCUUAAGGGUGUGUUUGGCAAACACCUUUUAAGGAAAAAUAUUGUGUUUUUUUCUUUUGAAAAUUUUAAACCAUCCAAACACUAUCUUAUUAAAAAUGGACUUAACUCUGCCACGUGGGUUAGGCUUCUUGACCCAAGCCAACAAACACGAUCUAAAAUCAAAAAAGAAAGAAAAAAGAUCAAUAAAGGGAAAAACAUUUGAAUUUACUCAAGAACAUGAAGAAAAACCUAGAAAAUGUAGAUUCAAAACUAGACCAAAUCACGUCAAAUUGAAGGCACACAAGCAUGUAAAAAAACAUUCAAACAAGAUUUUGAGGUUGGAUUAACAAAAUAAACAACCUAAUAUUAUGAUUAUUUGAUUCUUUGUGAAAAAUAAAAUGAAAAAAAAACAGAAGAUGAAAUGUCAUGAUUUCAGUGUUUUUAAAUCCUUAGGAUCCUAAAUUAAUAAUCAACAAGCUAAAACGCAUGUGUAAGAGCCAACAAGAAAUAAAAAAGACAUGAAAAAAAAAAUCUAAAGCAAUGUUAAACAGAUGAACAUCAACCUAGAAAAGUAAUGGAAACCCAAAAAAGGAUAGUAGAGACUUUAAACCCAAAAACAACAACCAAAGCCUUGCAAUCAUAGCUUAAGCAUGCUUACACAACUUGUUUGAACCAUCAAAACAACAAGAAAAAAAAUCAAAACCAAAAUAGCAAGCAAAAUUCAUAAUGACAGUAAGUAAAAAAUAGCAUUCGUUUAGGUAAAAAACAACAUUCUCUUAGGCAAAAAACAUUGUUUCAUUGUUUUUAAACUUAAACCUCAUGCUUGCAACUUCAAACAAACCUAACAAGCUACUCAAAAUAGCAUAAUCCAACAACAACAUUAAUACUUAACAUAUUGUUUCAUGACUUCAAAAUUGAUUAACUAAUCAUUAAAACAUGCUAAAAUGUAUCUUAAACUAACAUUUAACACUCCAAUAAACAAUCUUAAACAUCAAACCAAGCCUGAAACAAAAAUUAAACAUACAUAUGCAUACUAAAUCAUGGCAUAACUAAACAUCUAAAAACAAACAUCCAUUACAAUUAAACUAACAAAAAAUUUCAAAGGAUGCCUAACAAACAUUUUGAGCAGCAAUUUAAAAGACAAAAUAAAGGGGGAAGUAGUGUGCUCAUUGAGCUCCAUGGCUUCUUUUGAUUUAAAAAAUAAAAAAAAGGUAUUAUUUUUCUUGUAAUUGUUUUAAAAUGGACUUCUUUCUUUCUUAGGUUUUGUUUUUCUAGAAUUUUUCUUCAAUCUUUGGUUUUGGUUUGGCUUGUUGGUUAAAAACCUUUAUAGGUGUCGUGGAGACAACCAUGGCUUUUUUUUUUUUUUUUUUAUCUUGCAUGCUUUAUAUCUUUCUUAAAUUAUUUCUUUGUUUCCUUCUUGUCAUGAGGGUCACUUAGGAAAUAGCUUAGAUGCCUUGCUAUUUGGAUCUCCAAGUCAUAGGCUCUUAUAGCGAGUUGUUCAAAAGUGAACGGCAUAUUCCCUUGAAGACUAUAUAAAACUCCCAUUGCAUUUGAUGUACACCUAUGUCUAUGAAAAAGGCUUCACUUAUCUUUUCCUUACAACCAAGGACUAAGUUCCUCUAUUUUUCAAUAUAGUCCCAAGACUAACUCUUCCUUCUUUUGCUUAGUGCAUGCAAGUUCUGGUAAUCUUACAACUCAUCGAGUGUUGUAGAAGCGUCUUAGGGAUUCUUGCUCUAAUUGGUCCCAACUAUCUAGUUUUCCAACUAGAAUCUUAGUGUACUAGUCAAAGGCAACUCCUUUUACAAACAAAAUGUUUCACCAUCAAGUCUCUACAUACUUAUGCAUUGUUACAAGUCUCAAUAAAUGAGCUAUAUGUUGGUUUAGAUUGUCUUUACCUUGAAAUUAUUGGAACUUUGGAGGUUGAUAGUUUGGUGGCAUCCUCAUUUCAUCGAUGAUGUUUUUAGUGUAUAACUUGGCAUGCACAAGAAAGGACUAGGGAGUACCUUCGUACUAAGCGCAGAUAGUGUCUACAAUCAAAUGUUGUAGUUAUUAGAGAGUAUGUAAGCCCAUUGAUGAUCCAGUAGUGUCCCUAAAAGUAUUUUGCACUAUUGUUCGAUCAUGUUGCUCUUGCUUUUGUUUCUUUUCAAGAGCACUUUGGCUUUUUAAAGGAUUUUGGUUAGUAUUAUUCCUAGACAGAUCUCUGAUCCUUUAAGUGCUUUCAGCAUAUAGAUUUUGAGUUUCUAGUUGAUCCAUCAAUAUAAUGAUCUUAGCAUCCUUUUUCUCAAUAGAUCUUUUCAGUUCCUCCAUUUCAAAAGACAUAUGAUGGAUACUAUUCUCAAAAAGUGAUGUCUUAGUGACCAUGACUGGCAUUUGAGAGUCAAAGUCAGAUGAAGAUGAGUAAUCUCCUCAUCUUUGUCUAGAAGAAAUCAUAGAAUGAGAUCUAAACUUUGAUCUCAUGCUUAAGUGUGGAAUCUCAAUCCCUUCUUACAGAUUUGAAAAAAGGAGUCUUCAAACUUAUGUUUUAAGAAAAUUGCUUUUUGUUUCCCUCUCAUUGAGAAUUUUCUCAGUGGAAAAAACAACUUGGACUUUCCAGACUGAGUCUUUAGGCGAGUUGCUGGCAAGGUAUCAACUUUAACACCUUGAGAGUUGAUUGAAGAAUGGCUCACAUUUUCUAUACUUUCCAUUUUAGAUAGUAGAUACGUUGAGUCAAGAGAUAAGAGGAAGAAAAUGUCCCACCAAGCACGCCAAAAAUUUAUACACAUAAAAUUUCACGUAUUAUAAAUACACUAAAAUGAUGACAAAAUUACAAUAAUAAAUUUGAUUACAAGAAAAAGUGGAAACUCUCUUGAGGUGCUAUUCAUGUACAUAAAUUCUCUGAUUAACGGUCAUAUCAGGAUUUUGCUUUGGAUGGAAAGAUAUUCACAUAAGCCCAAAAGCUUUAAAGGUGUGAGAUAUUAACAUGAUUUAAUAAAGACGAAGAGUAUUAACACAAGUUUAAAAACUUUAACUUUAUGAUGUAUAAAUUUAGCUUGAUUUGAUGAACAUGAAGAGUAUUCAUACAAGCAUAGAAACUUUAACCGUGUGAGAUUUUAACUUGAUUUGAUUUGAUAAAGGAAUUAAUUUUAAUCCCUUGUUUUUUUUUAUUUGACUUUAAUGAAGAAAAUGAUUUUGAUCCCUUGCUUCCUUGAUUUUUUUGAAUUUCUUUUAAAGAACAUUCAAGUAUUUAUGUUUGGUCUUUAGUCUCUGUUUUUUUUUCUUCUCUUGUGUUUUCUCUUUUGUUUUAUAUGUCUUCCCUCUUGAUUUGGUGACUUUGUUGUCUAUUUAUACACAGGUCAAGUAUAAUGUAUCUCAAAUAUCCUUUAUCUAGAGGGUAUUUUAAAAAAAAUGAUAUGAAAACUACUUAAAAUACCUUUAACUAGAGGGAUAUUAAAUUAAGAAUCAUGAAAUGUAAUUGGACUAAGUUUUUUAAUUUAAUGUGAGACAAAAGAAUUUAAUUUAUUUGGUAUUAAAGAACUUGGAUAAUAGAUCAGACUUAUAGAGAUUUUAGAGUCUACAUAAUAAAAAUGAUUUUCUCUUUAAUCGCUCUUCUUUUAAGAGAAUCAAAAUGAAUUAAACCGAUAGUUACAAGGAUCGAUUUUCGAGUGAUCGCAAUUUUCCCAAUUAGUAUAAUGAAGUAACGAGUGAGACCUAUUCUAUUGUGUAGUUUAAAACAAGUAGGGUUUUUCACAAAAAUGUUCCAUUAGAGAGAGAGAGAGAGAGAAUAGUUUAUAAAUAAUAAAUUAUAAGAAUAUUUAUCCAAAUUGAUGUAAUAAAUGAUAACUGAUGAUCAAGUCAUAUUUCCUAGAAACACUAAAUUCUUCUCAUAAACAUGAAAAUAUACUUGAGACCCGGACAAUUUUUUUUUAUUGCCAGUCAUUAAACGACAUCGUUUUUAUCCUUCUAAAAUGCCAAAACGUUGAAGACAGUGUGUAGAAGAACGAAGCAAAAUCAGUUACAAUUGGCAAACGUAAUUUACUCACUCUUUGAAACCCAGAUGCCCAGCUGAGGAGCUGAGGAGCUGAGGACGUCUUUGAAUCUCCUUCUGAAACGCAGCGUCCCGGCCUAUUGCACUGGCUGCCUCUUCUGGUUAGUAUUUCAAGUUUUCAACUACUAUUUCUUUCAUUCUUUUUGUCUCAUAUCACUGUUAGACUUGGAACUUUUGAAGCAUAAAUAAUUGUGUGGUUAAAGCUUGAAUCUUGAUCUGUUAGAUUUAGUUUUUGUCCACAGUUAAUACCAAUGGAUGAGGAAAUCCCAUUUGGGAAAAGAUAAUAUGGUUAAAUAAAUAAUUCACUUUCAAAUAAUGUUAGAAAAUGAUAAAAGGAUGAAGAUGAUUUGUAAAGAAUCCAGCGACAAAAGGAUUAGGCUGGAAGAUGGGAGUAUUGAGAGAAAGAUGGUGUUUUCAUUUGAGUGAAGCGAGAGAGACAGAACAUUGAAAAAAGUGGAAGUCACUUUCGAAAGGUGUGAUGAUGUUUUUUUUUAUAAGGAUCGAUUUUCGAGUGAUCGCAAUUUUCCCAAUUAGUAUAAUGAAGUAACGAGUGAGACCUAUUCUAUUGUGUAGUUUAAAACAAGUAGGGUUUUUCACAAAAAUGUUCCAUUAGAGAGAGAGAGAGAGAGAAUAGUUUAUAAAUAAUAAAUUAUAAGAAUAUUUAUCCAAAUUGAUGUAAUAAAUGAUAACUGAUGAUCAAGUCAUAUUUCCUAGAAACACUAAAUUCUUCUCAUAAACAUGAAAAUAUACUUGUUUUAUCAGUUUAUACAAAAUAACUGAUUAUUUAUAUAACAUUUCUAUAUAUAAAAGUGAAUAUUUUCUAUGAGAUAGAGAAAGUAGUUAUUGCACUUGUUAAGAAGCAAUAUCUCCCAAGACUUGUUUACAUACAAUAUGUGACAAGAAAAUGAUUUUGGUAAUACUAGACAAUGAUAGUUUAUUCAAUAUCUAAUCAAUUAAGAAAUGUUUUAAUCAUGGAUUCAAAAUCCAAUUUGUCAUUAAAACUUGCCAGGAAUUGCUCAAGCUCAAGUAAAUUAAGCAAUGCUAACUAUUGUUUUGUAAUUUUUAGGGACUUGAUUUUGUGAUUUCUAAGGCAAAAAAGUAUGGAAUUCCCUUAAUCUUGACAUUAAGAAACAAUUACCAUGACUUUGGAGGACGACAACCACAAUAUAUGAAUUGGGCUAAAGCUGCAGGAGUGCCAAUAAACAAUGAUGAUGAUUUUUACACAAAUGCAGUUGUGAAGGGCUAUUACAAGUACCAUUAAAAGGUGCACAUUUUAAGCAGAUAUGAAUGGUAUGCUUUUAAAUGAAUUUAGUGUAAAUAUCAACCACAAGCUAAUGCUGUAAAGUUUGUCCUCAAUUGAAUUAAUUACUCCUAGCGUUGAUAAUCAGGUUUUUCUAAUUGAAACAUUAAUCUCUCUCGAGUAUCAAUGAAUUAUUUCAACAAGCAAACUUCAUGUUUUCUAUGAAAUUUCUGAACUUGUCAAAAUUUAUUAAGUACUGUAAAACCUUUAAUGAUUACAAAAGUUUCUAGGAUAUCUCUAUCCUAUAGAUUUUUUAAGGUAUUUCAAACAAUGGCUAAAACAAUUAUCACUUCUUAGUCUCAAAUUGAAUUCCAAAUCAUGCAGAUGUUGGCCAAACAUACACAAGCAUUAAACAUAGAAUGAAAUACUCAACAACUAAUGUAAUAAUUGAAUCAAAGAAAUUGUUCACAUAUUCAUAGUAAGGUUACAUCAAAAAUCCUAGAAUAAAAGUCUACUCCAUAGUUAAAUUAAAGAGAAACAAACUUGAUACGAUGAAUAUCACUUAAAAGCAGAGAAUGGCAGUAGAAUAGAUAUGUGUCCUCCAAUCUUCUCUGAUUUUCAUCCCCCUAUUUGUCUCUAUUUUUGUCUCACUUUGUACCACCUCCUCUCUUAUUUUUGGUGUAUUUUAAGGUCUUUGUAUGUCUCUCUGUCUCCUCCUGAACCCCUGUACUUUUCUCUUUUAUAUUCUGGUCUUUUUACCCCUAGAUGGAAAGAAGAAAAUUUCCUUUUCUAUUUCAUAUUCCUUUCCUAUCCGGAUAUUGCGGGCUAGAUUUGAGGCAAAAAACGUGCGAAUUCAAAGAUCUUUAUUUCUGGAGAAAUUGUAGAAAAUUGAAUCUUCUUUCCAACGACACCAAUCUUGCAAUGUGUGGACCUCUGAGACUUGAGAUAUGGGCCAUAACCCGAGAUAGCAUUUGGAGUGCAGGAAGUUCGGGUUUAAUUUAAUCCCUGUUUUUCAACUCACUCUUUAGGCUUCGAAACAGCAAAACUGAGUUCUAUACCCUUCAUAUGUUUUGUAGACCUUCAUCUCAGAUAUUUGAAAAUGGUGACAAACGCCUGGAAUUGAGUUGUAUAGCUUUCUUUGCAGCCCAAAAUCAAUCAAUGUUUGGUUUUACUACCGGAUUCUGCCUAGUCAGUAAUCUAGUAUCUGAAAACACAUUAAUUUCCCCACAAGGUCAAUAUUUCAAAAAGGGAUCCACAAUUCUAAUUAACAUGUGCAACACAUCCAAAAUAUUUCAAAAUCAAGCAUGAAUACUGGAAAAUAUACAUGCUAAAAAUUCUCUUAUCAACGACUCUCGAACAAAUUCAUAUUGAGAAGCUGAACUUGAAUGCAUAUAUAGGAUUGAGUUAGAAAAGCAUUUCAAGUAGUCCAUUAUCUCAAUAAAGCUAGUGAGAGAAAGAUUAGAAGCAGAAGAUAGACAUAUAUGGGUAGUCAGGUAGAUGGAAGAUGUUGCUAGUGUUGGGGUUGUUAGGUUGUUGGAGUUAUUGUUAAAAUUGUCAAACUUCAUUCAGUUAAUAAUCGCUGCUAGUUUGGACACGUAGGUAGAGUCUAACUGUUUUCCUUAACUAUUUACCACAUAAAGUGUGGGUUGUGUUAUUUCAAUCCGAUCUCUUUGUAAAGCUUAUAUAAGCCAACACUCUACUUUGAAUUCAAUAAGUAUCAAUUCAGAUAAUUUGAGUGAAUUGCUUUGUGUUUAGAGCUUACAACAAUUUGGUAUUAGAGCUCAUCAAGUGGCCUGAUUGUGAGAGAAAAGAAACCAUAAUUUAUUAAGUAGGGUGAAAAGAGAGAAAGAUUAGACAAGAAAAGAGUAAAGAGUGGAUCAAAAUAUGGCAUCUGAAAAUAACUUCGUUCAACCUGAAAUUCCUAAGUUUGAUGGCCAUUACGAUCAUUGGUCUAUGCUUAUAGAAAAUUUUCUUUGUUUAAAGAAGUAUUGGAGUUUGGUGGAGAAUGGAAUUCUUGCAGCAGCAGAAAGAGUGGAACUUACUGAAGCACAACAAAAAUCAAUUGCAGACCAGAAGCUAAAAGACUUGAAGGUUAAGAAUUAUUUGUUCCAAACCAUUGAUCAAAUUGUUAUGGAGACAAUCUUAAAUAGAGAUACUGUCAAGCACAUCUAGGACUCUAUGAAGCAGAAGUACCAGGGUUCUACAAGAGUCAAAAGAGCAUAACUUCAAUCUCUUCGAAAGGAGUUUGAAGUUCUACAAAUGAAAGAAGGUGAGAGUGUUGAUGAGUACUUUGCUCAAACACUCAUCUAGCAAACAAGAUGAAGAUUCAUGGUGAAAACAUAUAGCAAGUGGUGAUCAUUGAAAAGAUCUUAAGAUCAAUGACCUCAAGGUUCAACUAUGUUAUGUGUUCAGUUGAAAAGUCUAAUAACUUAGACACUUUAACAAUUGAUGAGUUGCAGAGCAGCUUGUUGGUACAUGAGUCAAGGAUAAAUAGGCAUAUAGGAGAUGAAUAACCAUAAAGGAUAUAAGCAGGCAUUAAAGGUGACCAACAUUAGCAAUGCCUAGACAUUUCUUUUACGUUUUUUUUUUUAAAAAUUAAUCUAACACGCAGUGUAGUGUGGGUUAAUAAUCUAGUUAACUAAAACUAAAACAUUUAGAGUAACUACUAUUUUAGCCAACCUCACAUUUCACUAUUUAUAUCAUUCUUUGUAGGUUUUUUUUAAUGUUAUUCUUUCAAGUUUUGUUUCUAAAACAUAAACUAAAAAAUUUAGGGGUAACUGGUAUUCAUACAAUGUAGCCAACCUCAUAUUUCAUUGUUUAUAUCAUUAUUCAUAGUCAAAAAGAAUUUGGUUCCUAAAAUUUUUACUUUUUUACAGUUUGUUCAUUGCACAUAAUUUCUUUUUAAUUUCAUCAUUUCAAAUUCUAUUUUCACGAAUCCGCUCCUAGAGAAUAGUUUGUUACAGAAGAUUCCAUAGCAGUAGUUAUUAUUUUAUGUGCUAAUAUUAAUUUCUAUUUAUAUUCUCUCUCAUACCCAGCGUGUCAUGAAGUAUUUUCACCUUAACAUAAAGAUUUAUUUUAUAAAAUACAAUUUAAGUUUGUUGUAAAAAAGAAGAAUAUAAAAGACCAAAAUUAACAACAAUAAAAAAAACAUAACAUUUAAAAAAAACCAUAAAAAAAUUGAAAUUCAUUCCUCAAGUUUUGAGUUUGACAUAUUUGGCCCUGUUUGUUUUAGAUUUUUAUGUUUCAAUCUAAAAUUUUAUUUUUGUCAUGUUUUAGUGCUUAAAUGUUGAAAAAAAGAGAGGAGGUGAAUGAAAAAUGAUGAGGAGAUAGAUGCGAACUCAGUGGAUAUAAAGAUCCAGAAACUCAUAUUCAAAUUGACUCUUCUUAAGAAAGCUAAGAUCAUGUUUGUAAUUGAGCUUAACACAACAAUAACCUAUAUUGAGGCACCAAAAUUAUAAUUAACUAAGACCCAACCCAACACCUAUAAAGAGAAGUGAAGUAUAGAAGACAUUACGAAACUUGGUUUAUUCUUUGAUAAGUCAGAGUACUUUAAUGAAGAACCAAAAAGUAUGAGCAAAACAUCACAUACACAAUAAUAAUUGUUGAAAUCAAAGUCUUUAAAAAAAAACUAAAUAAAAGUUAUAUAACCCUAUUUAUAAUAAGUAAAAAAUCCUAAAUAAUGAUGGAAAAACAAUAAAAGAGCUCUAAAAAAAAUAGGAAAAAGAAUCCUAAAUCAACUAGAAAUCUAAUACAAGUCUCGCAUAAUAGUUUUUGGACCUUAUCCCAAAGCCUUUUCGAUGUCCAAUUUCUUUGAAAUUUUAACCCAACAAGACCUCUGGAAACUUUUGGUAAAUUUUCACCUCGAUUUAACGAUCGAAUUGAAAUUUAUGCUUGUUUAAGUAAAAUAGUGCAUUAGAAAAAAUAAGUUCAAAAUCACCUCUAAUGCUGAAAUUAAUUAGCUCACCAAUUUGAAAUAAUUAGUUAUUUCAAAUUACCAAAAUUAAAAAAACUAUCGCCAUAAUCUUCACAACUCCCAUCAUAAAUAAAAAAAACCCAUAAUACAAUUCAAAAUGAAAAGCUCAUAUCUUGAAAAACCCAAAUUCUUACAAAAACAAAUAGAAUUGCAAGAAUCCUAAAAAAAUCCUAUUCUUGAAAAACUCAAAUCUUAAAAUAUAGAAACCAAGUGGAAUUGAAAAAGAAAGACGAAGAUGAAAAUGGAUGAUUUUAUCUAUCUGGUUUGGUCUGCCAAGAUGAAAAAAAAAAAAAAGAGGGAGAAAAAGAAAAAAAGAAAAAAAACAGGAUAUUUUUUUUAUUAAAAUUUUAAUUUUACAUUGACAUUAUAUAUAAAAUAUAAUUUGUUAAGAAAUGAAAACAAAAUGUUACCACAAUCAAAUCAUGGAAUGGUCAAAAUAAUUAAAAAAGAAAGAAGAAGUUAUAAGUAUACGAUAUAAAAUUUUACAUUUUCCUUACCUUGCUUGUACUUAUUCAUAUAUGGAAAGGUUUAAAUGAACUCCACCCACUUGGUAUGCUAAAAGUUUAGCUUCAUUUGGCCUUUAAGAUGUUUCAAUGACUCAUGAUUGGUAUGAAUCAUAAACUUUUUAUUUUACAAGUAAUGUUGUUAAGUCUUUAAGGUUCUUACCAAAGUUAAAGCUCCUUAUCAUAAGUAAAAUAAUUCAAUGUUGCACCAUUAAGAUUUUUACUAAAAUAAGCUAUCAGACUUUUUUCUAUAAUAUUAUUGAUAACACGACAAUCAACACACUCCCUUCAAGUCCUUUUAUUAAAAAGCAAUCCCUCUAUCGUAAAAGAGUUUAAGAAAUUUCUCACUAGUGGUUUGUGUGGAUUACAAUUAGAGGCCAAACACUUGAAUGACUUGUGACUUGCGAUAACUCAACCUUAAAGUAAUUAUUCAAAGCAAAAAAAAAAAAAAACAUUUGGUCUUUGAGUAAUCUUCAUAUAAAUUCUAAACAACUUUAGAUAUAUCUAAUAGGAUUUGCAAUUAACUCCAAAAAAAAUUAAUUUUACCAUUUCCGUUACAUGUAUGGUUUUGAGAAACCUAACAGUGGUAGCAGAGCCUUCAUUAGAGAAUUAGGGUUUUUUUAUUGUUAUUGUUGUUAAUUGCAAAUUAAAUUUAUGUGCAAAUUUACUUUUUCCAAAAGUAUUUUUCCUCAUGUUUUUUUUUAAAUGUCGUUCUAGUUAGAUUUGGAUGGAUUUUCUAGAUUUGGAUAGAAUCUUUUAAAAAAAAGGGUUUUUGGUGGCUAUGUAUAACCAGCGAUGCCACCAGCACUUCUAGCACACCUGGUCGGUUCUUGAUGCACCAAGCCAAGUCGCCACUUGAGGCAAAGGUAGCACCAUGACUUCUGCCCUUGUCACAAUAGCAUCAACAUGUCUAGCGUUAUUGCCUAGCAGCAUGAGCUGCCUUGCGCUGGAGGCAACGACUCAUGCAACCAGCGUGAGGGUAGCAUUUCACGUUGUGCCAAACCCAACGACAACUUUUAUCGUUUAAGUGGCCAUGAGGGUAGUCCCUCGUGCUGUAGCAAACCCAACAACAACAAAGUUUAUCGUUGUUUAUAAGGUUGUUAGCGAUGGGCAGUGCCUACUACCGACAACUGUAAAGAGAAUAAAGGGCAAAAUUAUAAUUAUGCUCUAAGCUUUGUUUAGAGGUAUAAUUAUAAUUCUACCAUCGGAAUUUAUAUAUAAUUACUUCUAGUAUAUUUGAGGCUGAAUAUUUGAUUUUAUCAUUUCAUAUAUAAAAUAAUGAUUUUAUAUUAAAAUUGAAAACCUAAAUUAAAAUAAUUAUAGAAUUAAUUUUUCUAAUUGGAUUAGAGUUGAAUUAAAAUGUUUAAUUUAAAACUUUUUUUGUUUGAUAAUAUCCUAAUAAGAUUAGGAUUUAAUUAAAAUGUUUAAUAAAAUAAUAUUUAAAAAAUAGUUUUUUCUAAAUUAAAGAGGGGUUUUAAGCCAAAAUAUUUUUAUUUCAUUGAUCCUAAAAUAAUUUAGAAAUGUUACGUAAUUUAGAAAUGUGAGAAUUUAGAUAGGAAAAUUAUUUUGUAAUUCAAGAAGAAAGAAUGGUGGUGAAGGAUACAAUCAUGGUGCUCCCAAAGGACUUAUAAAGAUUUGAAGCAGCUACCUAGGUUUUGACCAUCUAAUUCCCUUCAAUGGCUCAAGGAAAUUAAUUUAAAUAUGUCCAUAAUCAUCUAAUUAGAAUGGCAUGUUAGGUGUGUCUGUUAAUUUAUAAUUGUUAUGUAUGAUAUAUCAAUUAUGCCAUGGAAUGAGACUUAAUUAAAAUAAUAAAUCUCUCAUUAAUAUACUUAACUAACAUAUAUGAUUUGGAUGAGUUACUUAUGUGCAUAUAAGAUUAGAGACAGUAGUUAAGUGAAACAUAUAUGAUAUGUUUAGACAAAGAGUUAUCACCUAACCAUCUAGGAAUCACAUAAAGAUGUGAUUGACAAGUUAUGUUAUUUUCCAGGUUUUUUAUUUUUUGCUGAGUUACUUAAGGUCAUAUGAAUUUAACUGAGAUCCUAGCCCACUAGAAGUCUCAAAAAGAUUUCCUGAAUUAAUUGUGAGGGCUAUUAAUUUGCAAAAAUAGUGGGAGACUAAGUUAAGAUUAAAGACCCUUAUUUUAAUUUGGUUAUAAAUAUGUAUGCAUAAAAUCAAUACUAGCUAUUAAUAGGUUGAUAGAUUAUCAUGAGUAAAAAAAAUAUUUAUCCCUACAUAGCAUACUUGAUGCUAAUAAAUUGAUUGUACUAAACUUCUUGGACUGAUACUGAAAUAUAAAAAUUGUUUUCAAAUAAGAAAAAAAAUUAUAUAUUAUUGAAAAUCUGAUUCCUCAUGUUCUUGAUGAGGACAAUAAUAAUAAAGUUAGGAAUGAAUAUCAAUGUCAUAUUGAUAAAGAUGAGUAGACUAUAUGUGUGAUAUUAUCUAGCAUGUCACUUCAACUUCAAAUACAUCACGAGAAUAUGGAUGUCCAUAUAAUAAUUAAGCAUCUCAAAGAGUUAUUCGAUACAAUUAGAUGCACCAAGAGAUAUGAGACCUCUACAAAAUUGUUCCACUGUAAGAUGAAAGAGGGUUCCUCGAUGAACACCUAUAUGUUGAGAAUGAUUGACUAUUUUAAAUAAAUCAGGCCAAUAAAGCUUUUUCAUGGACCAUGAGUUAAGCGUUAACUUGGUUUUGUAAUUCAGGGGUAUAUGUCAUCAUUGUGGCAAGGAAAGCCACUAAAGGAGGAACUACAAAUAUUAUCUUAUAUUCAUGAAAGCUAAAAAUAUUAUUGAAGCUUAUGCUUCAUGUGUGUUUAUUAUUGAACAAAGGUAAAUUGGACCUAUAAAUUAGUAAUAAAGCAAAGGUUGUUGCAUUAACUUUGCCAAAUAGACUGAUAUUAGAACUUAUAAUUGUUAUUAUGUUAUAGUAUUUUUUUAGAACCAUCGUAUAUAUUUUUAAAAUGGAUUUAAAUUUAUUAUUAUGGGCAAAUGUUGUUCCUUCUAUAAUAAUUAUGUUUAUUACGGAUUUGGUAUUUAUACAAAUAGUUUGUACAUAUUUGAUCUUGAGAUGCACAAAUUCAAUAUAAAUAGCAAGAAAAACAUAUUAGAUAAUCAAUAUCUAUAUUAUUUAUGGCAUUGUAGACUAGGUCAUAUCAAUGAAAUAAGAAUCAUUAAGUUACAUAAAGAAGGAUAUUUGAUCCUUUUGAUUAUGAAUUAUAUGAAACUUGUAAAGCUUGUUUAUUGGUUAAGAUGACCAAAACACUCUUUACUAAAAGAGUGAAAGAUCUAUUGAAUUAUUUGGUCUAAUACAUACAGAUAUAUGUGGACCAAUAAUGAUUCGUAUCAUAGAUUGAUAUACAUGUUUCAUCAUUGAUAACUAUAUUGGAUAUGGUCAUGUGUAUUUGAUGAAAGUUAGAAUCACUUGAAAGGUUCAAAUAACUUAAAAAUGAUGUUGAGAUACAAAUUGAAAAGAGUAUUAAAAUAGUUUGACCGGAUUGAGGUAGUGAAUAUUUGUACCGAGUAUUUCAAGAUUAUCUAAAAGAUAAUGAGAUUCUCUCAUAAUUGACACGUCCUAGAACAUUAUAACUUAAUUUAGUUUUUGAAAGGAGAAAUCAUACCAUAUUGGAAAUGAGAAGGUCCAUAAUGAGUUAUGCAGACAUUCCACCUUCAUUUUAGGGUUGUCUUGCAAACUACUGGUUACCUUUUAAAUAAGGUUUUAUUAAAAUUUGUUGAUAAGACUUCAUAUGAGAUAUGAAAUGAUAAGAGACCAAACUUGUCAUACUUAAAGAUUUGGGGAUGUAACGGUUAUAUGAAGCGUAUAGUAUCUGAAAAGUUAGGAGCUAAGUCAGAUAAUUAUAAGUUUGUUGAAUAUCCAAAAGAGUUAGUUGGAUAUUAUUUAUACCAUCCCAUUGAGCAAAAGAUGUUUAUCUACUUUAAGCAUGUUGAGUUUUGCAGAAGAAAUCCCUAACAUCGUAGACAGACUUUGAUACCACUUGUUGUGAAAAACCUAUAGCAAUUAUUAAUGAAUAUUGCAAUGAGAGAGAAAUUAGAAAGAAUACAAGAUUUAACGUUGUUCGGCAAUGUGUCUACAUUCACAGGAGCGAGGAGCUUCUAUUUUUUACUAUGUUGAAAUAGAGUUACAUGAUAUGUAUUUAUAGUAGACCCUAAACCUCUCAAGAAAAUUUAGUUGCCCAAGGAAUCUUAACCAUCCAAGGAGUAUUAAUAAUCCUAAUCCUAAUCGUUCUGCGCCGCUCCACUCCACUCCGCUCUGCUCCAACAUCUGCCUAUCAGCCAUAUACUACAACAUGUGCCAUGGUAAGCUUCCAUCCAAAUAAAACAAAAAUUUGAUUUCACAAAUCUGCAAAUUGUUUGUCUACAAAUUUUAUUAUACACUUAAAAUUUUUCCCUUUGCUUUGCUUUUUCAGACACAUUGUUAUAAGUUCUGUGUCAAUUGAGUUGUAACUGAUGGAGAAGAUGUUGCAAAGUUUCUCAUCGUUAGUAAACCAGCUGAAAACUACUUUGGCUCAACCGUACAUCAUUACGGCUAUGAUAGGGAGUUCAAAAACCCCAAUAUGAUCGCACCUCCAAUGAUAAACAAGCUCAACAAAACAUGGUUUUUUCAGCUUCAAUUUAGAGCAUUCAUGUCUGGUAGUAAUCGCUGUGAAGUUGCAUAAGACAAUAUCGAGGGGACCCUUAACACAUAACAACGCCGGCCACUUGCAUCAGACAGGCCUUCAGAAGCUGGUACAGGUGUUGCCACAUCAAGCACAACAACAUCAAAUUAAUUCAUCCAGCAAAUAUUAUUCCGCAGCGCCUAUAGCUCCUGUAUCUUUCAAAGAAACUGCCAUAGAAACAGAGUUGAAUCCACAUGCAUGCCAUGUCAACUAGUGCAAGAAGGAAACUGGAUUUUGAUUCUUGCAUUUCUCAUCAAAGGCCAGUUUCUCAUGUCUGUAAAAUCACUCUUGCUUAGAUGUUGUUCUAUUUCUAACUUUGCAACCAAACUGCUUCAUAUAGCUGAGGUAAAUAUUACUCAAAAUAUUUUUUCGGUGUCCACAGUGUUGAAGAUGUACCUAACAGCGAAACAGAAAAGCUUCAGUUAUUCCAGCUAUUUAUAUUUUUUGUGUUAUGUGUCGGGUUUGGCAUGUUGUCCUUGAUUAGGUUCCCCAUCUAACCAUUGUCAGCUAACAUGUUUGUCGAUACAUGACGUCGAGCGACGGCUUUAUUUUUUGUUUAUUUAACAAAAAAGGUUUUUUUUAAUUGGGGGAAAUAAAGAUUUUAUUGGAGUCGCCAUCUAGUAAUUUGAGGGAACUAGAAAUCCCAAAUUAAACACUGGUCCCAGAGAUUCAGGUACGGGGUUAGUUAUGAUUAAAGGAAGGUAGACACCACCCUUAAAACAUCCUUUCAAGAGAAAGGUUACCCUUACUUGUGUGUUUUUUAUUUGAUUCAAAGGCUAUUAUAUUUUGGGCUUAUUUGCAAUUUUUUUUAAAAAAUGAUUAACGUUGGUCCCUAAAAAUAGGAGACACGUUAAAAAUGACAUCAGUCCCUAAAACUAGGAGACUCGUCUAAAAUAUUGACGUUUUAACCCUAAAAAAAGGAGAGUUGCGUCUGAGUUACCAAAAGAAAUAAUAAUGGACAUAAUCCAUAUUUGGUAUUUAAACUUUUGACAUCGGUCCUUUUUCUGUAAAUAAAAGAGACGUGUCGACAAACAAUAUUCAUAGGAGAUACGUCAAAAAGUGACAUCAGUCCCUAAAAAAUAGGAGACUUGUCUAAAAUAUUGACGUUUGUCCCUAAAAAGGAGAAUUACGUCUGGGUUACCAAAAGAAAUAAUGGACAUAAUCCAUAUUUGGUAUUUAAAUUUUUGACAUCGGUCCUUUUCUAAAAAAGAGACGUGUCGACAAACAAUAUUUAUUUAUAAAACAAAAAUUAUUUUGAUAUUGUUGAGAAAUAGGUAUAACCAUACUUGAGAAUCGGGCUUUAGACCCACAAACGAUGACAUGAUAAGAAGGGUGUUGAACCUGCGUCGUUAUUCCUUUUAUAUUUAUUAUUUUGGUUUUUUUUGUUGUUUUUUUUAACAUGCAAGAAAAUUUACAAGCAUUUAUAUAUAUAAAAAUAUCAAAAAUACCAUCAGGAAUCCCAAAAAAUUACCUGAGUGCCACUGUAUAGAAAAAAUACUGAAAUACCCUUGAAAUUCUCGGAAAUUUAUGAAAAUGCCCCUGUGGCGCAUGUGGCUCACGCGCGGUUACUGUUGGAGGCGGUGAAAUUUUCCGGCGAGAUUUCCGGCCAAAAAAUGGUUGAUUCUAGUAGAUCUGAGGGAGAGGGUUCUGAUGACAGUGGUCUCGACGUCCGUUGAUGGCUGAUGAGGGAGAAUCAUCGGUUUGAAGCUUCGGGUGGCUGACGAAAAUCGCAGCCUUUUUUCGGCCAGAUAGGGAGGAGAAAACGCUGAAACCGGCCGGGGUUUUGCUUUAUAGGAGGAUAGAAACCUUUCUGUGGUGGUUCGGAUUCUUCACACGGCCGGAAAUGGGAGAUCGAAUGAGAGAGAGAAUCGCCGGCGAGAGGAGAGAGAGACUCCGAGAUUGUGCUACGGUGUGAACGCGAGCAUGGUACACCAGUGCCGCUGAAGGUUGGGAACCGUUAGAUCGCGGAUGAACUGAUCCUGCGGCUGUGAUUGGCUUGAUCUGCAAGUUGAUCGAACGGUCCGGAUGGUAUGAUUUUUGAUCUGGUAUGGCGCGGUGUACCGAGAGCUUGGUACGCUGGGUGACGUGGCGCAACAGGAUCGAAGGAAAGAUUGUUUUAAGGGUUGAGUGAUUUGGGUUUUAAUCUAGUGUGGUAAACCCUAUUGUAUCCUAUUAAAUCAAAGGUCCAGAACUAAAUACUUAGAUCUCACGGUUAGGAUAUUUUUGAUAUUUUUCAAAUUGUUUUUUUUUUAAAUCAAUAUCUUACUUGCGCGAAGAAAAACUAAAAAAGACCUCAAAUAGUAAUCCAGAUAUCUAGAUUUUCUAAGGGUAGUUGAAUCGAGUCUCCUAAGGUACAUCAAAGAGUCGGGGCUGUCAAUUAUUAUAUUUGCAAGAGAUUAUGCUUGUUCAGCUUGGUGGUUUGACGAACUUUUCAAGAUUGUUGGAUUCAUGAAAAAGAUGAAAUCGGACUCUGUUUUUCCAGUUUCAACAGUUUCUUAUAAUCUCGAGCAAUCAUUGGUAGAUGAACAAACAGAGAGUUACACGAUUGUCUUCGACAAGGAUGAAGAAGAUUUCAGUGAAGAUAUGGAGAAGGUCCGAAGGUGGAUGGAUAUUCUCACCGAGGUCGCCAUUUCAUCUGGAUCGGAAUCAUCGAAAAGGUAAUUAAUCAUUACUUCCCCCUUUCUUUUUUCUUUCCCAUCUAUUAAUUACCAAACCACCAAAGGUGGGUUUAUAACACGUUCUUUCAAAAUUUUAAAUUAAAAAAAAAUUAUUUUAAUAUAUUUUAAUCGAGAAGCACUUUUUAUCAUUACCAGUAAAACAAUCUCAAACCCACCAUAAAACCUUUCAAAAUCCGAAGUUCACAAAACGCUUGUGUAUUCAAGCCUUUUGUGGAAGUUUAGUCUUGUUUUAUCUACAUAUAGAAACUUGGCAUUUAUGAAAGAUUAAAACUAUUUUUUUGUGCAUAAUUUUAUAGUGUUUCGUCUGGUGAUAUUUUAUUAAUUAUUUUAUAAGCUUGUAUUAAAAAGAAAAAAAAGGGACAGACACAAAACCAUGUGUACAAUGAAGAGAGUUUUAAAUUCAAUGUUUGGUAGUCACUAUGAAAUCUUGUUUUAGGGUGAAUGGCAUGGAUUGGCCAGUUGGGAAUGGGUUUCACGGGACUGGCAUGGAGCUUGUGUUGAACUUCCGGAAGAAGGUCCUUGAGGAAAGAAACGAGCUUGAUAUUGAUUUUGAAUUUGAUGUUACUCUUGAGGAAAAAUAAUCAUGAUUUGAACAUAAAUUUUGAUACAACCAUGAUUAAAUUAGGAAUUUCAAAGCUUUAAGAACACAAUUAUGCUAUAUGUUGCCAAUUUUAAUCAUUUAUGUUCUUUUCUUAAUCUUGAUUAAUUAACGUAUAAAUUCUCUAAAAAUAGAAUAAUAAUUUUUAAUAAAUAAAUUAGUAACACGAAUCCAAGUUCCUGGGAGACUUACAAAAUGCGUCUAAUUCUAUCAAAACAUGUUCAAUGCUAGCAAUAUUCUCACUUUAAAACAAAUCAAUCUCGAGAGGUUGAUCUGAUGGUUAAGAAUGUUUCAUAGUUUUUAAUUUCUUUGUAUGAGCAUCUAAAAAACAAUUUAUUAAUUUUCUCUUAAUGCAUCAAAUUAAUAUAAGCUGAAAUUCCCAUAAAAUAAGAGAAUUCUCUGAUGUUUCAUUUCCUGAUGCAUGAAGCUCCACGAGAGGAGGAGGGGUGCCAUAUAUAUAUGAUACCAUUUUCUUUGGACUUUCUCUACUGAAAGUCGUCUUUCUUCACAGUCUAACUUGAAACAUCCUUGAAACUUUACCGCUACGAGUCCUUGAUCCAAAGAAAUUGGAAAAAAAAAAAAAACUCAAAAGUAAUGGGAAAGAAAACAGAGAGUGAAAGAUGGAAGGUGUAAGAGUGGCAAAGUGGAAACUAAUUAGAGAGGGAAAAGAGGACUGGAAGUUAUAUAGUUAUGAAGAGACCAAAUGAAGAAAGAAUUGGGCUUGGCAACAUCCUGCGCUUCUCUGAUCAAUGCUUUCCACUCGGUUUGUUUCUGCUGUCACGUGUAUACAACGUCGCCACGAUCAUUUUUUUAGAUUAAAAAUAAACGAGAAUAGUGUAUAAGAAAAAAGAUAAGAAAUUCUUAUAUAAAAAAUAAAAAUCACCACCAUAUUUCUCUCACAUGUAAUCCCACAUCAUAUAAUAAAAAUAAAAAAGAUAAUUAUUUAACAAUUAUCCAUAUAAUUUCAGCACUUUUCCCUAUUUCCAUAACAAUGUUCCCUAAACAUGCUCAUAUCAUAAACUUUCAAGAUUAAGUCUAACAUUUAUCCCACAUCAUAUUUCUUUCACGUGCACAUCAAAUUAACACACAAUUUCUCUAAUUUCCAUUCAAUUUCUCCAUUUCCCCAAACUUCCAUCAUGUAUCAUAACAUGCCAAUAUCCAUUAAGUAAAAAAUUCUACUUCAAUUACCAUUUCCAAGGCUUCCAUAUAAAUCCAUGAAUGUGCAUAUCACAAAAUCAUACCAAAUUUCACAUCCAUGAUUUUCCCUACAUUGAUACAACAUAAAAUCCACAGAUGUUGCUAGCACUAAAAGUUGACCUAACCAUCCUUUCUACCAUGCUCUCAUUACGAACAAAUAGUUCUCCGUGUGCAUACCAAAACAGGUAAUCCUCCAUGAACCCCUUGUGUAGAAGAUGCAUCGUUACAAUAUCUGGAUGCAGAGACUUUUUAUUUUUACACUUCCUGCAUGGACUAAUUCCGUCGGUGACAGGAAUGAACUCCGUCGGUGAAAUAAUUACCGACGGCCUCACCAACGGACAACGUCCAUCGGUAUAAUAGUCGUCGGUAACUCCCAUUUCCGUCGCUAAUUCUGUCGCAAAUAAAAAAACACCCACCGACGGAACACCGUCGGUCUUACAGACGGAUACGCGCCCCGCCAAAAAAAAAAGUUUCCCACGGGAACAUUACCGACGGAAUAAAUCCGUCUGCAAUUUCAACGGUAAUUACCGACGGCCUAUCCGUCGGUAAUUAUGGCAUCGGUAGUAAUUGUUUGCCAACCCUCUGUGAAAUACCGACGAAUAUUAUCCGUCGGUCAAUCCGUCUGUAUGUAAUCACCGACGGAAUAUAUCCGUCGGUAAUUAUGGCAUGGCUGGUAAUUGUUUGGCAACUCUCUGUGAAAUACCGAUGGAUACGAUCCGUCGGUAAAGCCGUCGGUAUGUAUUUAAAAUAUAUAAAAAUAAUAAUUUAUUAAUAGUAAAAAACCUUAAUAAACAAAUAAAAUUGGAUUAAACAUUGAAAAUAUAAAAGUAAUGUUAAAUAAUAUUCAUUACAAAUUUAAUGUGUUUAAAAAACAAAAUUAAACUAGAAUAGCGGCGGAGCUGAAAGAGGAGGAGGAGGAGGCUGGUUGUUCCCGGGACCAUACGGCCAAAAAGGAGCUGCACAAGUAUCGUCACCCAUCUUUGAUCUCAUCUCCAUGACUAUUUGAUGGAGCUCAUCAUAAUUCGCCAAGAGUUGUUGAUAUUGUUGUUUCAACGCAAUGAACUCCUCAGACUGGGUGUUCGAUACUGAUGGAGAGCUUCCAACGGUUGACACACUACGAGCCGAACACAAGUUUUCAGCCGUAGUGUUGGAGAGUCCGUAGACCCGAUUUUUAUCGGGUCCACCAGACGAUCCCACCUCUAUCCACAAAUCUGGAUUGAAAUCUGGAUGGGUCGCCGGAUUGUCCCCAUAUCUCUCCCUCAACCGGCUAUUAUAGUUCUCCUGAAAAUUCCGUCGGUAAAAAAAUCAUCAAAUGCAAUUCAAGAUGCAAUUCAAGAAAAUAAUAACUUACAAAAUAAAAUGAAUGAACGAACAUACCACGAAGUGCUGAGCACGGUUGUCCACGAACUGCUGCACCCCCUUUUGGCGGUCUUGACUCCGCACAUGCGUCUCUACAAAAAGCUCCAUUGGACUCGGCUCACGUCCAAGAGACGCAGCCUAUAAGGAAAAAAUAAGUUGAAAGUUAAAUAUAUUAUAAGGAACGACAAAUUAAUUAACGAUAUAUUUCAUUAAAAUUAAUCUUACCAUCUGCUUUGCAUGUGCGCUGAAUGGGACGGAUCCGCCAGUAUGCGUGGUCACCGAACCAUGAAUUUGUUGGUUCCGGUUGUCGACGCCGGACUGUGAGCGCCGUGAAAACCGCUCUGAGGUCACGUGCUCAAUAUAUGCCGUCCAUAUUUUCCCCGAGAUGAAUGGCGGUUUGAAUUCCUGCCAAACCGCCACCUCAUUCCAUCCUUCAAGACCGUUAUCCCUCGCAUGUCUUUUUGAUUUUUUUUGGGUGUCAUACCAAAAAUCACGCAACCUACUUCCAUAGUAACAAAUUAGAAUUUAAAACAUAAAAUUAUAAAACAAAAAUAAAUAUUAUUUUCGAUGUUACCUAGUUGCCGCGUGAUUCUCCCAUACCCUCCUCACAACAUUGUUGUCCGCCCUAUCCCACUCAAAUUUGUUCUGUGUAUAUAAAUAAUUCAUAUAAAAUAAAAAUAGUACAAGAUAUAAAAUUAUAAAAAUCAUUUAUUAAAAAUAAGCUGGAAAUUAAAAAUUAACACCGACCUGAAAUCGCUUAAACCAUGCAUCGAUAUUAGGUUUCCACUCAGGAUGUCUGGAAACCUGGCUCCAUUGAAACAAUGGAAUCUCCAUCGACGAUUUAAACGCCAAUGUUAUAGUCCUUGCAGCCUCAAUGUUUGUGAACCUGAAAUUAAAUAAAAGUAGUAAUAUUAAUUAGUUGUUCAUAAAUUAUGUUAUAAGUAUAUAUAUAUAAAAAAACUAAAACGUAAACAAACUUACAUUGAGAGGUCAUCAUUCCAUUGUGCCUGGUACUUGCGGGUGAAUUGACCCCGCUGUGAAGGCACACCGCUUCUGCGUUGUGAACUUCAAACUCACUAAAAGUCUAUCCAUUAAUACAAACACCGCUGUUGUAUGUCUUUCUUCCAUGCCCAUAUUCUUCAGUAUGAAAGACAUACCCAUUAACAAAAUACUCGUUAUAGCACUUGACUUUUCUUUCAGGGCCCAGACAUAGUAAAGACAGUGAAAUAGCAGCACUACCUCCCAUUUGAUAAACCUAACUUGUAAAUUAAAUACAACAAUAAUCAAUAAACGGAUAUUAUGUAACAUUGACUACAAUUAAUUACAUUGCAAGAGAUAAUGAGUUUGUGAUAGGACUUACAUGUGUUCUAAACCAUGUGGCAAAUUGUUCAUCUUGUAAUUGAAAGAUCUGGGAUUCGAUCAGCUGUGAGUUAUUGGACAGUAAGUAUCGUCGAUGUUGCCUGCAAGGUUAUUCCAAAUUAUAUGAGUGUAUGGUAUCACAAAACAUAAAUAGUACACUCUUGACAAAGUUUAAGUUGAACAUCUACUUACUUAAUAAAAGGUCUCAGCUCAUCACAGUUAAAUAGGACAUAACUGUGUGCUUGUCUGAACUCUAUUUCAGCAAAUGUCUUCCCCUCGCGGCAUUUUUAGGUGUGGGUCGUCCAGGAUUGGAGAAAAUUGACAAGUUCCCACUUGAAGGCACUUCACCACCAUCAUCAUGCCGUGGAACACGGUUUAUCCUCGUUCUCAAAUGAGGUUCGAAAUAGUAUGAGAUAAAUGUUGAGAUCUCCUCAACAAUAUAGGCCUCACAUAUUGACGCCUCAACAUGCGUCUUAUUCUUAACCUUUUUUUUUAAGAUUGAACAAGUACCUGCAUAUAUAUAUAUAUUAAAAACAUUAAAAUAAAAAUAAAAACAUUUAAUUAUAAAUUACAUAGCUCAUGUAAUAUCUAACCUCUCGAAUGGAUACAUCCAUCUGUACUGGACCGGUCCUCCAACUUUUACCUCAAACGGUAAAUGUACGGGUAGAUGCUCCAUUGAGUCAAAAAAUGAUGGAGGGAAUAUCAUCUCAAGUUUGCAUACUGUCUCGACGAUAUUCUUUUCAAGCCUUUCAAUGUGAUCAACAUUCAACUUGCUGGAGCAUAUAUCUCUGAAGAAAUGACUGAUCUCCGUUAGUGCAUCCCAUAUCCCCUUUGGCAACAAAUCACAAAAAGCUAAUGGGAUGAGUGUUUGCAUAAACACAUGGCAGUCAUGACUCUUCAUUCCAUAUAAUCUGCAUUCCUCCAUAUUAACCAGCCUGGAUAUGUUCGAGGCAUAUCCAUCGGAGAAACGCAGACUCUUAAGCCAUUUGUAGACUAGUAGUUGUGCGUUUUUCUCUAGCGCGAAGCUUGCUCUUGGUUUUGCGACCCGUGACCCAUCACAAACCAACUCCAUAUUUUUACGGUUACAGAACAACGCUACAUCCAAUCUAGCCUUGAUGUUGUCCUUUGUCUUCCCCUUCACAUCCAUGACGGUUACAGAGCAGCAAAUGACCCGAAUGGGUUGAAUCCGUCUGUACACAACCCAAGAUGCACGUUCCUUGAUUCAGCUGAAAAGUGAGGAUGCAUACUGUUAAAGUGUUUCCAGGCUUCACCGUCAGAAGGAUGAACCAUCACUCCAUCAACCGCAUGGUGUGAUUGGUGUCAUGUCAUGUGCUCAGCAGUCCUUGGUGACAUGAAUAACCUCUUCAGUCUAGGUGUGAUUGAGAAGUAUCUAAGUUUUUUAUAUGCCAUGAGAGUCUUCCUUCUACCAGUUCUGGGUUUGUAACGGGAAUGCCCGCAUGUCAUGCACUCGGUCAUCUCAGCAUUUUCAAGGUAGUAUAACAUGCAGAAGUUAGGGCAUAUAUCAAUUUUCUGGUAUCCUAAACCGAGGGGUUUCAUCAUGGACUUGGCAGCAUAAAAGUUCUCUUUCAGCCUGUUCCCUUCAGGUAAAAUGCUUCUCUCCCAUUCAAUAAUCUUAUUAUAACCGGCCUCACUCAACCCGUGAUCUGACUUGAUGGUGAACACCUGUGCUACGGCUGAUAAUUUACUGUGGUUCGUGCAGCCAUCCCAUAAUGGUUCGUCAAAAUCUCUCAACAAAUCAAAAAACCUUGCUGCAUCUGCAUUAGGUUCUUCUUCUACGAUUGGACAUUCCCUGACAUUACCUUCACUCAUUCUCAAUGCAUCCAUAACCAUAUUCCUGUAAGGAUUACUGUUCUCAUUUCCAACUUCAUGCAUGUUGCUAGCACUAGAAGUUGACCCAACCACCUGUUCUUCCAUGCUCUCAUCAGGAACAAAUAGGUCUCCGUGAGCGUACCAACACAGGUAAUCCUCCAUGAACCCUUUGGUUAGAAGAUGCAUCGUUACAACAUCUUGAUGCAGAAACUUUAAAUUUUAACACUUCCUGCAUGGACACCUAAUACCGCCAUCAGUAAAAUUUCUCGGAAUAGAUGUUGCGAAAUUAAUAAAACCCUGGAUACCGUUACAAUAAUCCAUCCUCCGCAAUCCUUGGGGUGAGUCCCGAUACAUCCAUGAACGAUCAUCCAUGACUUCUAUUGAACCUCUAUAAAACAUAACAAAAAUAUUGGUUUUCCCCGACAUUAUCCAACAAACUAAAACAACACUUAUGUUAAUUAUUCAUUAUCAAUUAUCAACUAUCAACGUUCAUACAUACAAAUUUAUACAUAUAUAAAUUUACAGAAAUCACAACUUCGAAAUAGAAUUGAUAACAAUUAAACAAGACUCGUUAAACAAGCUAUUAAUUAUUUAUUUCAUCACAACACAUUUAAUUCGGUGUAAUUCAAACAAAAUUUCAACAAUUUACAAACAGAUAUAAUUUGACAAAAUCUAAAACAAACUAUAACAACUACAAAAUUAUACAUUCAUACUACAAGUUUCUUUGACAAAUAACAAUUAAAUAAGUACAAACGUUAACAAAAUACAUAUACUAAAACACUAAAAUUCACAAUUAAAUAUUAAAACUAAAAAGGAUAGAUUUACUUACAAAAAAAUGAUAAAAUCUACAAGAAACGGAUAUUGUGACCACGUACAAGAUAUAAGAAACUUGAGUGCUCGUGUUGAGAAUAGUGGAGAGUUGGGAUGGGUGGUUGGCUGCAGUUUGGGAGGGGAGAGGUGGGAUGGGAAAGAAGAAGAAGGAGAAACAGAGGAAGAGAGUGUCGCCAGAUGGGCGGGUAUAUAAUGGUUUUUUCCGAUAGAAUCACCGACGGAAUGAAUCCGUCGGUGAUUCCAUCGGUGAUUCCGUCGGUGACAGUGCCACGUCACUGUACGGCUAUCUCAGUUUGAAUCCCUCGGUCAUUCCGUUGGUAAAAUCGUCUGACGUCACCAUGUCGUUGUAUAUUUCCAGACAAACUGUAUACCCUGUCGGCAAAAUGAUCGGUAUAUACCGAAGGAAUAUUUCUGUCGGUAUAUACCGACAGUUUCGCCGACGGAUAUUUGUCGUCGGUAUCUACCGACAGAUUUUGAGACGGAAUUAUUUCCGUCGGUAAUUAUUACCGACGGAACAAUUCCGUCGGUAAUUCCGUUAGUUUUCUCUGGUUUUCUGGUAGUGUAAUACCGCCUCCACUAAAAUUUCUCGGAAUAGAUGUUGCAAAAUUAAUAAAACCCUAAACCCCAUUACAAUAAUCCACCCUCUGCAAUCCUUGUGGUGAAUCUCGAUACAUCCAUGAAAUAUCAUCCAUGACUUCUAUCGAACCUCUAAAAAUAAUGAUGAUAACAUGUAUUAAUUAACUAUGUUAAGUAAAUAAAUUUACAAAAAUAUUGGUUUAACUUGAGAUUAUCCAACAAACUAAUUAAAACUUCUCUUAAAUAUUCUUUAUCAAUUAUCAAUGUCUAUACAAAUUUAUACACAUAAAUUUACGAAAAUUACAAUUUUGCAAUAGCAUUGAUAAAAAUUAAAACGGACCCGUUAAUUAUGCUAUUAUUUAUUUCAUCACAACACAUCUAAUUUGGUAAUUCGACAUAAGUUUCAACAAUUUACAAACAAAUACAAUUUUACAGAAUAUAAAAAAAACCAUAACAAAUACAAAAUUAUAUAUUCAUACUACAAGUUUGUUUGAGAAAAAUCAAUAAAAUAUGUACAUACACUAACAAAAUACAUAAACUAAAAAAACAUUAAAUAAUAAUAAAAUUGACAUUUUAAUGUUAAAAUUAAAAAAAAGAUAUAUUUACUUACAAAAAAUGACAAAAUCCACAAUAAAUCAAAAUACGGAUGUUGUGACUACAAAAGUUAAAGAAGGAUGACUUGUGUUGAGAAGAGGGGGAACAAACUAAUUAAAACUUCUCUUAAAUAUUCAUUAUCAAUUAUCAACAUAUAUACAAAUUUAUACACAUAAAUUUACGGAAAUUCAACUUCGCAUUCUUUAUUUCAUCACACCACAUCUAAUUCGGUAAUUCAACAUAAGUUUCAAUAAUUUACAAACAAAUACAAUUUUACAAAAUUUAAAACAAACCAUAACAAGUACAAAAUUAUACAUUUAUACUACAAGUUUGUUUGAGAAAAAACAAUAAAACAUGUACAUACACUAACAAAAUACAUAAACUAAAAACACAUUAAAUAAUAAUAAAAUUGAAAUUUUAAUGUUAAAAUUAAAAAAAGAUAGAUUUACUUACAAAAAAUAAUAAAAUCCAUAAUAAAUCAGAAUACGGAUGUUGUGACUACAAAAGUUAAAGAAUGAUGACUUGUGUUGAGAAGAUGGGGAUAGUUUAGGGGGGUGGGUGUUUGCAGUUGUGGGGUGAGGCAGCAUUUUUAGAUACAGAGGUGGGGGAAGAAGAAGGAGAAAUAGGGGAGGGGAGAGGUGAUAUAUUUACUUUUACUGAUGGAAUCACCAAUGAAAUAUUUCUAUCGGUGAUUCUAUCGGUGUUUAUGUCGGUAAAGGGGUCACAUCAUUAUACGAAGAUCCCGGUUUGAAUUCUUCGAUGAUUAUAUCAGUGUUUCUGUCGGUGAGGGGGUCACGUCACUGUACGGAGAUCUCGGUUUGAAUCCCUCGGUGAUUCCAUCGGUAAAAGCACCCACAAAAACUUUCAAAUCAUCAACCUGCUUUUUUUUUCAAAAUUCUAAAUAGUCUCUCGGUAAUUUUGGCGGUAUAUACUGACAAAAUUAGUUCGUCGGUGUAUAAUGACAGAAUUACUGAGAGAUUUACAUUUAUCGGUAUAUAUCAACGCAAAUAACCAAUAGAAAAAUUAUAUCAAUAAGUCCGUUGAUUUUAGUUGAAUUUCUGGUAGUUGUAGUAAUCGCUGCAAAGUUGCAUCAGACAACAUCGAGGGGACCCUUAACACAUAACAACGCCAGCCACUUGCAUCAGACAGCCCUUCAAAAGCUGGUACAGGUGCUGCCUCAUCAAGAACAGCAACAUCAAAUUCAUCUAGCAAAUAUUAUUCCGCAGCGCCUAUAGCUCCUGUAUCUUUCGAAGAAACUGCCAUAGAAACAAAGUUGGAUCCACAUGCAUGCCAUGUCAACUAGUGCAAGAAGGAAACUAGAUUUUGAUUCUUGCAUUUCUCAUCAAAGGCCAGUUUCUCAUGUCUGCUAAGAUCACUCUUGCUUAGAUGUUGUUCUAUUUCUAACUUUGCAACCAAACUGCUUCAUAUAGCUGAGCUAAAUAUUACUCAAAAUAUUUUUUCGGUGUCCACCAGUGUUGAGGAUGUACCUAACAGCGACACAGAAAAGCAAAUAACCUCAACCAAUUCCUCUCAGCCCUGUGCACAUGAGGAAGUUAGCCAAUCAGUUAAAAAAUAGCGUGGCAAGGAGCCAUUGCACUGACCAGAGGCAUAUUCUUUCCCAUGCAUGCUUUAUCUCCAAAUUACCAUUCCAACUGUGUCAGCAACUUUGAUGCUACUGUUGCAGCAUCAUUUUAUCUAUCAUUGAUCCCAUAUUGCAUCCACUUCAUUAAUUAUUCUCUUUCAAAUGGCAAAUUAUGUUCAUUUUAUAGAACAAGUACACCCAUUUGUUAUGCUAGAAAUCAUAUAAUUUGAAUAUCUUCAAAUUUAUCAUGCAUCAAAGCAUCCAUAGAAACAAGUCUAUUGUAAAUGAGCUUAUCAACUACAUUGCACAUUUUGUGAUGACAAAACAUGCACUGUUUCUGUUUUAAAAUCUCAAAGAAGAGUACUCCAAGUCUUAUAAGAGACCUUCAAGUUGAUUGUAAUCUUAUAAAAGAAUGAUUUUUACACAACAAGACACCAUAUGAAGGUAUUGGAAGCUCACUUGAAGUGUAGUUAACUUUCUGGUUUUGAUCAAUUUAUUGAGGAAUGAAACCUUGCCAAUAAUAUAUAUCUUCAUUAAGAAAAUCAAAUGGCUCAAUUAAGCUGUUAAUUAAUGGCUCAGUGUUUAAAUUAGUAAAAUAGAUUCUUGAAAUUUCUGAUUCUAAUUUUACUUGCUGAUUCAUGGAUUCUAAAUGUAUUGAGUAACCCAAAGUUUUUCAUUUUUCAUACGGAUCCUCGUGCAAAUGCUAUUCUUUUGUUCUUUCUUUCCCCCUUCAAACUAGAUUAGGGUUGUGUUUCUAGCACUAGUUAUCAAUUUUAACACUACACUAUUAAACAGUUUUACCAACGGAUUAAUUCCGUCGAUGUUAAGAAUUCAAUCCGUCGGUUAAAUUAUUACCGACAGAAUCAGUCCGUCGGUAUACUAAUCGUCGGUAAUUCUCCUUUCCGUCACUAAUUCUAUCGGAAAUAAAAAAAACCCAACCACCAAUGGAACAUCGACGGUCUUACAGACGGCGACGCGCGGCAAAAAAAAAAUUCCCGCGAGAAAAUUACCGACAGAACAAAUCCGUCUGCAUUUGCAACGGUACUUACCGACGGACUAUCCGUUGGAAAUAGUGAUGAUAAACACCGACAGAAAUAUUCCGUCGGUAAUUAUGGCAUGGUUUGUAAUUGUUUGGCAACUCUCAGUAAAAUACCGACGGCCGGGAGCCGUCGGUAUGUAUUUUAAAUAUAUAUAAAAAAUAAUUUAUAAACAAAUAAAAUUGUAUUAAACAUUAAAAAUAUAAAAAUAAUGUUAAAUAAUAUUCAUCCAAAUAUUCAUUACAAAUUUAAUGUGUUUAAAAAACAAAUUUAAACUAGAAUAGUGGCGAAGUUGGAGGAGGAGGAGGAGGAGGCUGGUUGUUCCCGGGACCGUACGGCCAAAAAGGAGUUGCACAUGUAUCAUCACCCAUCCUUGAUCUCAUCUCCAUGACCAUUUGACGGAGCUGAUCAUAAUUCAUCGAGAGUUGUUGAUAUUGUUGUUUCAAGGCCAUGAACUCCUUAGACUGGGUGCUCGAUACUGAUGGAGAGCUCCCAACGGUUGAGACACUACGGGGCGACCGCAAGUUUUCAGCCGUAGUGUUGGAGAGCCCGUAGACCUGAUUUUUUUUGGGUCCAUCAGACGAUCCAACCUCCAUCCAUAAAUCCGGAUUGAAAUCCGGAUGGGUCGAAGCAUCGUCCCCAUAUCUCUCCCUCAACCGCCUAUUAUAGGUCUCUUGAAAAUUUUUUUAAAAAAUCAUCAUAUUCAAUUCAAGAAAAUAAUAACUUACAAAAUAAAAUGAUUGAACGAACAUACCACGAAGUGCUAAGCACGGUUGUCCACGAACUGCUGCACCCCCUUUUGGCGGUCUUGACUCCGCACAUGCGUCUCUACAAACAGCUCCAUCGGACUCGGCUCACGUCCAAGAGACGCAACCUGUAAGGAAAAAAAUAGGUUGCAAGUUAAAUAUAUUAUAAGGAACGACAAAUUAAUUAAUGAUAUAUUUCAUUAAAAUUAAUCUUACCAUCCGCUUUGCAUGUGCGCUGAAUGGGACGGAGUUGCCGGUGUGCGUGGUCACCGAACCACGAAUUUGCCGGUUCCGGUUGUUGGCGCUGGAUUGUGAGCGUCGUGAGAACCGCUCUGAGGUCACGUGCUCAAUACAUGCCAUCCAUAUAUCUCCCGAGAUGAAUGGCGGUUUGAAUUCCCGCCAAACCGCCACCUCAUUCCAUCCUUCAAGACCGUUACCCCUCGCAUGUCUUUUUGAUUUAUUUUGGGUGUCAUACCAAAAAUCAUGCAACCUAUUUCCAUAGUAACAAAUUAGAAUUUAGAACAUAUAAUUAUAAAACAAAAAUAAAUAUUAUUUUCGAUGUUACCUAAUUGCCGCGUGAUUCUCCCAUACCCUCCUCACAACAUUAUUAUUCGCCCUAUCCCACUCAAAUUUAUGUUGUGUAUAUAAAUAAUUCAUACAAAAUAAAAAUAGUACAAGAUAUAAAAUUAUAAAAAUAAUUUAUUAAACAUAAGCUGGAAAUUAAAAGUUAACACCAACCUGAAAUCGUUGAAACCAUGCAUUGAUAUUAGGUCUCCACUCAGGAUGUCUGGAAACCUAACUCCAUUGAAACAAUGGAAUCUCUAUUGACGAUUUAAACGCCAAUGUUAUUGUCCUGGCAGCCUCAAUGUUUGUGAACCUGAAAUUAAAUAAAAUUAAUAAAAUAUUAAUUAGUUGUUCAUAAAUUAUGUUAUAAGUAUAAAAAAGACUAAAACCUAAACAAACUUAUAUUGAGAGGUCAUCCUUCCAUUGUGCCUGGUACUUGCGGGUGAAUUGACCCCGCUGUGAAGGCACGCCGCUUUUGUGCUGUGAAACCCCGCUAGAAGAGGCAGCAUCACAAGUUGGCGCAGAUUCCAACAUCUAAGGAUACGUCCUCCUCGCUGUUAGAAGAACUAGCUGCAACCGUCUGCUGACGACGUGCUGUUGAUUUCAUUCUACGCAUCUAUAUAAAUUUAUAUGAAUAAUUACAUACUUAACUUCAGUUAUUUAAAAAAAAUUCGGUAGCACCUCCCCUAUACUUAAGAUUACCUAUAGUUUUCAAACCUGCAAAUCUUUACAAUAACCACAAACCAAUUGACUCUAGCAACAUCAUCUAUACAACCUAAAAUCUAUAGAAAUUCAAUCAUUUAAAAAAAAUUCGAUAGCACCUCCCCUAUAUUAGAGACUACCCACAGUUUUCAUACCUACAAAUAUUGAUAAUUACACAAAUAUUGCAAAAUCAACUCUAUACAACCUAACAUCUAUAGAAAUUCAACAUCUAUAUAUUUUCAACUAACAUCAAUACAAAUUCAUAAAUAACAAUUAAGAUUAAUCAAAAUAAUAAACAACAUAACAAACAAUAAUAUCCUAAAAUUAAGAUAAACUAAUUAAAUUUAAUUAUAUAUUUCAAUUAACAUUUUAAAAAUAAAUUCAACAAUAACAAUUAUGGCAAUACAAACAAUAAUAUCCUAAAAUUAAUAAAUAAAAUGAAAAAACUAAAGAACACUACACAAAACAUCCUAAACACAAAACAAUCAAUACACAAAACUAAAAAACACAACAUCAAUUCAAAAUAAAUUUAGGAAUAAAAAAUGCUUACCUUAAUAGUGUAUUUAUUUUAAGAUUUUAUCUACAAACAAUACACAAAACAAAGAACACCAAAAAAAUAAUCAUAAUUAAAAUAAAAAAAUAAAAAAAAAAUACAAAGAUAAAGAAAAAAAAUACAUACCUUUUAAUAUGUUUAAAACUACCACCAAAACAAUAAAACCUCUUCCAAAAACUAAAUAAAAACGGAGAGGAGAAGAGAAAUGGAGAUGAAGAGCCGAGAGAAAAAAUGAACCAAAUAGAGGAGGGGGGUUUUAUAGAUAAUUUUUCCGACGGAAUUGCAAACGGAAAAUAAAAUAAUAAUUUUUUGGGCGGUGGCAUUAAAUGCCGUCGGUAUUUAAUUGAUUCUCGCACCAAAAGUUUUGAAAAUCCCUCCAUAUUUUUUGAAAUCCAUUGGAAAUUGUGCGCCAGAACACGCGCGCAUUGGUUUUGUCGUGCCCGUCGGCAAAUCAGUCGGUAACGUCUGACAGGCAUGCACUUUGGAAUGUGCACAAUCCGUCGAUGAACGCGUCGGUAUACACGUCGGUAAUUAUGGCAAGUCCGUCGGUAUUCCCGUUGGUAUACCCAUCGGUAAUUGUGGCAAAAAAAUGUAGUUUUUUUUCAACUCUCGGUGAAAUACCGACGGUUUCUACCGUCGGUAUGCCCGUCGGUAAUUAUGGCAAAAUAACAUAGUUUUUUUUCAACUCUUGGUGAAAUACCGAUGGGUACUAUUCCGUCGGUGUACCCGUCGGUAAUAGUGUCAAUAUUUCUGCAGCUGCUCCAUGUAUUUUUGUCUGUCCUUCUGCACAAAAUCUUGAAUUGCAAACUUACAUCACACAUUACAUCACACACAACACAAUAACAAGAGCUGAAAAUUAAAGAAGAAUAAAUAUUUCAUGUUCCAAAAUAUUACAUUAUAAAAAAUAAGGCUUUACAGCAUGUUUAGUCAGAAUUUUCAUCUUCAUCCUUAAUUGAAUUGUUAUCAUCAGCUUCAUUGUACUCUUCAAUGUGGUUGUCAUCUUCUUCAUCAACAUUAUCUAUUACACUAGUAGAGCUCAAAACAUCAUUCAACUCCUCUACAUCAACAUCAAAAAGACUAUCGUCACAAACACGAAAAUUUAAAUUUUCUUCUAAGUCAAUCGAAGGGGCAACUCGGUAUGGUUCAACCAACUUACUAGCUUGAAAGACUUCAUAUAUCACACUUGUGUCUUCGUUCUCAUCCUGAACAACCUCGACACGACCCCUAGGUUUUGUUUUUAAAACGGAUAACCAAUCACUCUUGCUCGGUCCUUUCUAAAGGAAAGGGUGUGUGUAAUAAACUUGUUGGCAUUGCUUUGCGAAAACAAAGACGUCGUUUACGUUGCGGUGUCUAGCUUUUGAGUUUAUUUCAACGAGACCAUAGUGAGGAUCUACUGUGAUUCCUCUAUUAGUUGUGUCAUACCAAUAGCAUUUGAAUAAAAACACUCUAUUCUGCUCGCUAUGAUAUUGCAGUUCGAUGACCUUUUCCAAUCUACCAUAGUAGUCAACUUCAAACUCACUAAAAGUCGAUCCUUUAAUACAAACACCGAUGUUGUAUGUCUUUCUUCCAUGCCCGUAUUCUUCAGUAUGAAAGACAUGUCCAUUGACAAAAUACCCGUUAUAGCACUUGACUUUUCUUUCAGGGCCCAGGCUUAGUAAAGAUAGUGAAAUAGCAGCACUACCUCCCAUUUGAUAAACCUUGUAUAUUAAAUACAACAACAAUCAAUAAACGGAUAUUAUGUAAUAUUGACGUACAGUUAAUUACAUUGCAAGAGAUAAUGAGUUUGUGAUAGACUUACAUGUGUUCUAAACCAUAUGGCAAAUUGUUCAUCUUGUAAUUGAAAGAUCUGGGAUUCGGUCAGCUGUGAGUUAUUGGACAGUAAGUAUCGUCGAUGUUGCCUAUAAGGUUGUUCCAAAUUAUAUUAUUUUAUGGUAUCACAAAACAUAAAUAGUACACUCCUGAAAAAGUUUAAGUCGAUCAUCUACUUACUUAAUAAAAGGCCUCAGCUCAUCACAGUUAAAUAGGACAUAACUGUGUGCUUGUCUGAACUCUAUUUCAGACGAAUAUCUUCCCCUCACGGCAUUUUUAGGUGUGGGUCGUCCAAGAUUGGAGAAUAUUGACAAGUUCCCACUUGAAGGCACUUCACCACCAUCAUCAUGUCGUGGAACACGGUUGAUCCUUGUUCUCAAAUGAGGUUCGAAAUAGUAUGAGAUAAAUGUUGAGAUCUCCUCAACAAUAUAGGCCUCAUAUAUUGACACCUCAACAUGCGCCUUGUUCUUAACCCUUUUUUUUAAGAUUGAACAAGUACCUGCAUAUAUAUAUAUAUAUAUUAUCAAUUAAAAAAAUAAAAAUAAAAACAUUUAAUUAUGAAUUACAUAGCAACUGUAAUAUCUAACCUCUCGAAUGGAUACAUCCAUCUGUACUGGACCGGUUCUCCAACUUUUACCUCAAGCGGUAAAUGUACGAGUAGAUGCUCCAUUGAGUCAAAAAAUGAUGGAGGGAAUAUCAUCUCAAGUUUGCAUAUUGUCUCGACGAUAUUCGUUUCAAGCCUUUCAAUGUGAUCAACAUUCAACUUGGUGGAGCAUAUAUCUCUAAAGAAAUGACUAAUAUCUGUUAGUGCAUCCCAUAUCCCCUUUGGCUACAAAUCACGAAAAGCUAAUGGGAUGCGUGUUUGCAUAAACACACGCCAGUCAUGACUCUUCAUUCCAUAUAAUCUGCAUUCCUCCAUAUUAACCAGCCCUGAUAUGUUCGAGGCAUGUCCAUCAGGACAACACAGACUANNNNNNNNNNNNNNNNNNNNNNNNNNNNNNNNNNNNNNNNNNNNNNNNNNNNNNNNNNNNNNNNNNNNNNNNNNNNNNNNNNNNNNNNNNNNNNNNNNNNNNNNNNNNNNNNNNNNNNNNNNNNNNNNNNNNNNNNNNNNNNNNNNNNNNNNNNNNNNNNNNNNNNNNNNNNNNNNNNNNNNNNNNNNNNNNNNNNNNNNNNNNNNNNNNNNNNNNNNNNNNNNNNNNNNNNNNNNNNNNNNNNNNNNNNNNNNNNNNNNNNNNNNNNNNNNNNNNNNNNNNNNNNNNNNNNNNNNNNNNNNNNNNNNNNNNNNNNNNNNNNNNNNNNNNNNNNNNNNNNNNNNNNNNNNNNNNNNNNNNNNNNNNNNNNNNNNNNNNNNNNNNNNNNNNNNNNNNNNNNNNNNNNNNNNNNNNNNNNNNNNNNNNNNNNNNNNNNNNNNNNNNNNNNNNNNNNNNNNNNNNNNNNNNNNNNNNNNNNNNNNNNNNNNNNNNNNNNNNNNNNNNNNNNNNNNNNNNNNNNNNNNNNNNNNNNNNNNNNNNNNNNNNNNNNNNNNNNNNNNNNNNNNNNNNNNNNNNNNNNNNNNNNNNNNNNNNNNNNNNNNNNNNNNNNNNNNNNNNNNNNNNNNNNNNUUUGACUUCCCCUUCAAGUCAAUAACGGUGUUGAAAAUAUUCUCAAACACCUUCUUUUCAAUGUGCAUGACAUCAAGGUUAUGGCGGUGAAGAUUGGUCUUCCAAUAAGAAAGCUCCCAAAAGAUACUUCGCUUCACCCAGUUAUGGGUCAAACUAAAACCAUGAAACUUCUGCUUACCUGAUUGGAGACCAAACACAAUGUCAUCGUACUCUGACACAACAUCAAGCAAUUCUUCACCAGAAAAACACGGGGGUGCAACAUCCUUUUCAACUCUGCCAACAAAGAAAUCCUUUUUGUUCUUUCUGUACCUGUGGUUAUGUGGCAAGAAACGACGGUGACAGUAAAAAAAAAAAGCUUUACCCCCGUUUGUUAGCGUGAAUGCCUUGUUGUUCUCCAUACAGUAUGGACAUGCUAGCUUUCCAUGCGUGCUCCAACCAGAAACCAUUCCAUAAGCUGGGAAAUCAUUGAUAGUCCACAUCAAACCCGCUCUCAUAACAAAAUUAUGUUUCCUCGAGAUGUCAUAAGUCAAAGCUCCAGAGGACCACAACUGCGUCAACUCAUCAAUCAACGGACGAAGACAAACAUCUAUAUUCCGCCCCGGACUGCUCGGACCUGGUAUGACCAUAGAUAAAAACAUGAACUCCGGCCUCAUACACAUCCCCGGUGGCAAGUUAUAAACCGUCAGUAUGACUGGCCAACAAGAAUAAAGAGCAGCAAAUGACCCGAAUGGGUUGAAUCCGUCUGUACACAACCCAAGACGCACGUUCCUUGAUUCAGCUGAAAAGUGAGGAUGCAUACUGUUAUAGUGUUUCCAGGCUUCACCGUCAGAAGGAUGAACCAUCACUCCAUCAACCGCAUGGUGUGAUUGGUGCCAUGUCAUGUGCUCAACAGUCCUUGGUGACAUGAAUAACCUCUGUAGUCUGGGUGUGAUUGGGAAGUAUCUAAGUUUUUUAUAUGCCACGAGAUUCUUCCAUCUACCAGUUCUGGGUUUGUAAUGGGAAUGCCCACAUGUCAUACACUCGGUCAGCUUAGCAUUUUCAAUACAAUAUAACAUGCAGAAGUUAGGGCACAUGUCAAUUUUCUGGUAUCCUAAACUGAGGGGUUUCAUCAUGGACUUGGCAACAUAGAAGUUCUCUUUCAGCCUGUUCCCUUCAGGUAAAAUGCUUCUCGCCCAUUCGAUAAUCUUGUCAUAAUCGGCCUCACUCACCCCAUGAUCUGACUUGAUGGUGAACACCUGUGCUACGGCCGAUAAUUUACUGUGGUUCGUCCAGCUAUCCCAUAAUGGUUCGUCAGAAUCUUUCAACAGAUCAAAAAACCUUGUUGCAUCUGCAUUAGGUUCUUUUUCUAUGAUUGGACAUUCACUGACAUUACCUUCACUCAUUCUCAUUGCAUCCAUAACCAUAUUCCUGUAAGGAUUACUGUUCUCAUUUCCAACUUCAUGCAUGUUGAUAGCACUAGAAGUUGACCCCACCACCCUUUUUACCAUGCUCUCAUUAGGAACAAAUAGUUCUCCGUGUGCAUACCAACACAUGUAAUCCUCCAUGAACCCUUUGGUUAGAAGAUGCAUCGUUACAACAUCUUGAUGCAGAAACUUUAAAUUUUUACACUUCCUGCAUGGACACCUAAUACCGCCAUCAGUAAAAUUCCUCGGGAUAGAUGUUGUGAAAUUAAUAAAACCCUGAACACCGUUACAAUAAUCUUUCCUUCGCAAUCCUUGGGGUGAGUCUCGAUACAUCCAUGAACGAUCAUCCAUGACUUCUAUUGAAUCUCUAUAAAACAUAAAAAAAAUAUUGGUUUCUUAUGUUGAAUAUUCAUUAUCAAUUAUCCAAUAAGCUAAAAAAACACUUCUGUUAAAUAUUCAUUAUCAAUUAUUAAAGUUCAUACAUACAAAUUUAUACAUAUAUAAAUUUAUGGAAAUCACAACUUCGCAAUAGAAUUGAUAACAAUUAAAAUAGACCCGUUAAACAAGCUAUUAUUUAUUUCAUCACAACACAUCUAAUUCGGUGUAAUUCAAACAAAAUUUCAACAAUUUACAAACAAAUAUAAUUUGAAAAAAUCUAAAACAAACUAUAACAACUACAAAAUUAUACAUUCAUACUACAAGUUUCUUUGAAAAAUAACAAUCAAAGAAAUACAUAUGUUAACAAAAUACAUAUACUAAAAAAAUAAUAAAAUUCACAUUUAAAUCUUAAAACUAAAAAUGAUAGAUUUACUUAUAAAAAUGAUAAAAUCCACAAGAACGGAUGUUGUGACCACGUACAAAAGUAUAAGAAACUUGAGAGCUUGUGUUGAGAAGAGGGGAGAGUUGGAAUGGGUGGUUGGCUGCAGUUUGGGAGGGGAGAGGUGGGUGGGGAAGAAGAUGCGGAAGAAGAAUGAGAAACAGAGGAAGAGAGUGUCGGUAGAGUGGGUAUAUACUAGAUUUUACCAAUGGAAUCACCGACAGACAUGUUCCGUCGGUGAUUCCAUUGGUGAUUCCGUCGGUGGAAGUGCUACGUCACUAUACGACUAUCCCGGUUUGAAUCUCUCGGUAAAAUCAUCUGAAAAAAAUCCACGUCAUCACACUGUUGCAACUUUUCAAAAAAACUAUAUCAUUCGUCGAUGAUACAGUCGGUAUAUACCGACGGACUUAACAACGGCUUACAUCUGUCGAUAAAUACCGACAGAGUUUGAGACGAAAUUAUUACCGUAGGAAAUAAAAUUCUGUCAGUAAUUCCGUUGGUUUUCUCUGAUUUUCUGGUAGUGUAAAUUUUCUUGCAAAUGUUCCAUACAUAUCACCCUGUGCUUUAAUACCAUAAGAAUAGUUGCCUCCCCCCUUUAACAAUUAGACACGCCAUCGUUUACCAUACAAACAUUUAUGAAUUUAACUACAAUUUCUAGAACAUGCUAUUUCGCAUUUCUACCCUGCAAGAACACACAAAACUUACGGUGUUAAUUUAUUCAAAGUAGGAUGUUUAGUUGAAAAGAAUGAAGCAUAUUUGUUAAACAAAAAGUUGGAUCGCAUGCCUGUCAGUCCUCACUUUUGCUUAAUAAAACUAGAGGCUACUCUACCAAUAUGCACAUGUUUUUAUGGAGAUAAUGAUAUAGACAUAUUUGAGCAAUCAGAAGUGAUUUGCUUAUAGAUUACGCGGAUGACCUAGCAGAUAUAUUUAUAGACUAGUGGAUAGUUCUAGACCCAAGAGGAGGUUCGGUCGUGUCAUAUCAGAAUAAUGGCUCAAAAAGGUCAUAACUUUUGAUUCAACCGUUGGAUAACGCUUAAAUAUUUAUAGAAGUUUUCAAAAACUGUUUUCCUCAAAGCCAUAUAGAAUUAAUGCCAUAACUUUUGAUCUGACGUUGAAUAGCGCUCAAAUAUUUACAUGAGUUUUCAAAAACUGUUUUCCUCAAAGCCAUAUGGAAUCACUACUCUGACCGUCAAAUCUUUAUAUUUUAAGAAUCUCUUCUCGAGACCCUGGUUUUGAUAAUUUCUUUGAUUUUUCUUGUUAUUUUAGAUUUUAUGUUUCUUUCAUAUUUUAUUCUUUCCUUUGUAAUUUCAAGUUUUGUUUUUAUUUUCUAGUUAAGGUAGGGUUUAUAGUCUAUUUAAAGUUUUGAUAAACCUUUUAAAAAGAAAAAUUUCAAUAUUAUUAUUUUAAAGAUAAUAAAUCAACAAAUUUAGAGUUCAAAGCAGCCUCUUUUUCACAUAAAAAAUCAUGUGCUUUUUUUAUUGUUUCUUUAGUUUCCGUCCGUAUAAAAUAAUUUACAUAAAGUUUCUACAUCAGGCACGCUAGAUGUUGAUGGUUAUUAUAAAGUCCAACUUUUGCUUUGUUGCUUGCUUAUACCUAUUGUCUAAAAAUAUCCAUUAUGUAAGCUUUCCCCAAUUAGUUUUCCAUUUAUUAGUCAUAUGCUCUGGAUAUCUUAGUAUGAAAAUUUAAAGAUUAAUUGCCCGCUCAAUCCAUAUCUAGUUUUAGUUUAAAGGAUAAUUAAUUAGGGCAUAUAUACGCCAAUCCUACUAAGGAGAAUCUUCUGUCCAUAACUGCAUGCAUUAUGUGUCCACAAAUAAGAAACUUCAGUUUAAGAAGAGGAUGUUUGGAAAUGUAGUUGUAGUUGUUUUUUUAAAGUUUUUUAUAUUUGGAAAUACAUCAAAAUAAUAUUUUUUAUUUUAAAAAAAUUAUUCACUACCAGAAAACCAGAGAAAACCGAUGGAAUUACCGACGGAAAUAAUUCCAUCUCAAAAUCUGUCGGUAUAUACCGACGGCAUAGAUUCGUCGGCAAAACGGUCGGUAUAUACCGACGAAAAUAGUCGGUAUAUACCGACCGUUUCGCCGAUGGGGUAUACAGUUUGUCUAGAAAUAUGCAACGACGUGGUGACGUCAGACGAUUUUACCGACGGAAUGACCGAGGGAUUCAAACUGAGAUAGCCGUAUAGUGACGUGGCACUGCACCGAUGGAAUCACCGACGAAUUAAUUCCUUCGGUGAUUCCAUCGGAAAAAACCAUUAUAUACCCACCCAUCUGCCGACACUCUCUUCCUCUGUUUCUCCUUCUUCUUCUUUCCCAUCCCACCUCUCCCCUCCCAAACUGCAGCCAACCACCCAUCCCAACUCUUCACUAUUCUCAACACGAGCACUCAAGUUUCUUAUAUCUUGUACGUGGUCACAAUAUCCGUUUCUUGUAGAUUUUAUCAUUUUUUUAUAAGUAAAUCUAUCCUUUUUAGUUUUAAUAUUUAAUUGUGAAUUUUAUUGUUUUAGUAUAUGUAUUUUGUUAACGUUUGUACUUGUUUAAUUGUUAUUUGUCAAAGAAACUUGUAGUAUGAAUGUAUAAUUUUGUAGUUGUUAUAAUUUGUUUUAGAUUUUGUCAAAUUAUAUUUGUUUGUAAAUUGUUGAAAUUUUGUUUGAAUUACACCGAAUUAAAUGUGUUGUGAUGAAAUAAAUAAUUAAUAGCUUGUUUAACGAGUCUUGUUUAAUUGUUAUCAAUUCUAUUUCGAAGUUGUGAUUUCUGUAAAUUUAUAUAUGUAUAAAUUUGUAUGUAUGAACAUUGAUAGUUGAUAAUUGAUAAUCAAUAUUUAACAUAAGUGUUGUUUUAGUUUGUUGGAUAAUGUCGGGGAAAACCAAUAUUUUUGUUAUGUUUUAUAGAGGUUCAAUAGAAGUCAUGGAUGAUCGUUCAUGGAUGUAUCGGGACUCACCCCAAGGAUUGCGGAGGAUGGAUUAUUAUAACGGUGUCCAGGGUUUUAUUAAUUUCGCAACAUCUAUUCUGAGGAAUUUUACUGAUGGCGGUAUUAGGUGUCCAUGCAGGAAGUGUAAAAAUUUAAAGUUUCUGCAUCAAGAAGUUGUAACGAUGCAUCUUCUAACCAAAGGGUUCAUGGAGGAUUACCUGUAUUGGUACGCUCACGGAGAACUAUUUGUUCCUGAUGAGAGCAUGGAAGAAUAGGUGGUUGGGUCAACUUCUAGUGCUAGCAACAUGCAUGAAGUUGGAAAUAAGAACAGUAAUCCUUACAGGAAUAUGGUUAUGGAUGCAUUCAGAAUGAGUGAAGGUAAUGUCAGGGAAUGUCCAAUCAUAGAAGAAGAACCUAAUACAGAUGCAGCAAGGUUUUUUGAUUUGUUGAGAGAUUCUGACGAACCAUUAUGGGAUGGCUGCAUGAACCACAGUAAAUUAUCAACCGUAGCACAGGUGUUCACCAUCAAGUCAGAUCUCGGGUUAAGUGAGGCCGGUUAUGAUAAGAUUAUUGAAUGGGCGAGAAGCAUUUUACCUGAAGGGAACAGGCUGAAAGAGAACUUCUAUGCUGCCAAGUCCAUGAUGAAACCCCUCGGUUUAGGAUACCAGAAAAUUGAUAUAUGCCUUAACUUCUGCAUGUUAUACUACCUUGAAAAUGCUGAGAUGACCGAGUGCAUGACAUGCGGGCAUUCCUGUUACAAACCUAGAACUAGUAGAGGGAAGACUCUUGUGGCAUAUAAAAAACUUAGAUACUUCCCAAUCACACCUAGACUGCAGAGGUUAUACAUGUCACCAAGGACUGCUGAGCACAUGACAUGGCACCAAUCACACCAUGCGGUUGAUGGAGUGAUGGUUCAUCCUUCUGACGGUGAAGCCUGGAAACACUAUAACAGUAUGCAUCCUCACUUUUCAGCUGAAUCAAGGAACUGCAUCUUGGGUUGUGUAUAGACGGAUUCAACCCAUUCGGGUGAUUUGCUGCUCCUUAUUCUUGUUGGCCGGUCAUACUGACGGUUUAUAACUUGCCACCGGGGAUGUGUAUGAGGCCGGAGUUCAUGUUUUUAUCUAUGGUCAUACCAGGUCCGAGCAGUCCGGGGCAGAAUAUAGAUGUUUGUCUUCGUCCGUUGAUUGAUGAGUUGACGCAGUUGUGGUUCUCUGGAGCUUUGACUUAUGACAUCUCGAGGAAACAGAAUUUUGUUAUGAGAGCGGGUUUGAUGUGGACUAUCAAUGAUUUCCCAGCUUAUGGAAUGGUUUCUGGUUGGAGCACGCAUGGAAAGCUAGCAUGUCCAUACUGUAUGGAGAACAACAAGGCAUUCACGCUAACAAACGGGAGUAAAGCUUCUUUUUUUGACUGUCACCGUCGUUUCUUGCCACAUAACCACAGGUACAGAAAGAACAGAAAGGAUUUCUUUGUUGGUAGAGUUGAAAAUGAUGUUGCACCCCCGCGUCUUUCCGGUGAAGAAUUGUUUGAUGUUGUGUCGGAGUAUGGUGACAUUGUGUUUGGUCUCCAAUCAGGUAAGCAGAAGUUUCCUGGUUUUUGUUUGACCCAUAAUUGGGUGAAGCGAAGUAUGUUUUGGGAGCUUCCUUAUUGGAAGACCAAUCUUCUCUGCCAUAACCUUGACGUCAUGCACAUUGAAAAGAACGUGUUUGAGAACAUUUUCAACACCGUCAUGGAUGUGAAGGGGAAGACAAAGGACAACAUCAAGGCUAGAUUGGAUGUAGCGCUGUUCUGUAACCGUAAAAAUAUGGAGUUGAUUUGUGAUGGGUCACGGGUCGCAAAACCAAGAGCAAGCUUCGUGCUAGAGAAAAACGCACAACUACUAGUCUACAAAUGGCUUAAGAGUCUGCGUUUUCCCGAUGGACAUGCCUCGAACAUAUCAAGGCUGGUUAAUACAGAGGAAUGCAGAUUAUAUGGAAUGAAGAGUCAUGACUGCCAUGUGUUUAUGCAAACACUCAUUCCAUUAGCUUUUCGUGAUUUGUUGCCAAAGGGGAUAUGGGAUGCACUAACGGAGAUCAGUCAUUUCUUCAGAGAUAUAUGCUCCAGCAAGUUGAAUGUUGAUCACAUUGAAAGGCUUGAAAAGAAUAUCGUCGAGACAAUAUGCAAACUUGAGAUGAUAUUCCCUCCAUCAUUUUUUGACUCAAUGGAGCAUUUACCCGUACAUUUACCGUUUGAGGUAAAAGUUGGAGGACCGGUCCAGUACUGAUGGAUGUAUCCAUUCGAGAGGUUAGAUAUUACAUGAGCUAUGUAAUUUAUAAUUAAAUGUUUUUAUUUUUAUUUUAAUGUUUUUAAUUGAUAAUUUUUUAUUAAUAUAUAUAUAUAUAUAUAUAUGCAGGUACUUGUUCAAUCUUAAAAAAAAGGUUAAGAACAUGGCGCAUGUUGGCGUCAAUAUGUGAGGCCUAUAUUGUUGAGGAGAUCUCAACAUUUAUCUCAUACUAUUUCGAACCUCAUUUGAGAACAAGGAUCAACCGUGUUCCACGACAUGAUGAUGGUGGUGAAGUGCCUUCAAGUGGGAACUUGUCAAUAUUCUCCAAUCUUGGAUGACCCACACCUAAAAAUGUCGUGAGGGGAAGAUAUUUGUCUGAAAUAGAGUUCAGACAAGCACACAAUUAUGUCCUAUUUAACUGUGAUGAGCUGAGACCUUUUAUUAAGUAAGUAGAUGUUCGACUUAAACUUUGUCAAGAGUGUACUAUUUAUGUUUUGUGAUACCAUACACUUAUAUAAUUUGGAACAAUCUUGCAGGCAACAUCGACGAUACUUACUGUCCAAUAACUCACAGCUGACCGAAUCCCAGAUCUUUCAAUUACAAGAUGAACAAUUUGCCACAUGGUUUAGAACACAUGUAAGUCCUAUCACAAACUCAUUAUCUCUUGCAAUGUAAUUAAUUGUAGUCAAUGUUACAUAAUAUCCAUUUAUUGAUUAUUGUUGUAUUUAAUUUACAAGCUAGGUUUAUCAAAUGGGAGGUAGUGCUGCUAUUUCACUGUCUUUACUAUGUCUGGGCCUUGAAAGAAAAGUCAAGUGCUAUAACGGGUAUUUUGUCAAUGGAUAUGUCUUUCAUACUGAAGAAUACGGGCAUGGAAGAAAGACAUAUAACAGUGGUGUUUGUAUUAAGGGAUCGACUUCUAGUGAGUUUGAAGUUGACUACUACGGUAGAUUGGAAGAGGUCAUCGAACUGCAAUAUCAUAACGAGCAAAAUAUAGUGUUUUUAUUCAAAUGCUAUUGGUAUGACACAACUGACAGAGGAAUCAGAGUAGAUCCUCACUAUGGUCUCGUUGAAAUCAACUCAAAAGCUAGACACCGCAACGUAAACGACGUCUUUGUUUUCGCAAAGCAAUGCCAACAAGUUUAUUACACAUACACCCCUUCCUUUAGAAAGGACCGAUCAAGAGUUGAUUGGUUAUCCAUUUUAAAAACAAAACCCAAGGGUCGUGUCGAGGUUGUUCAGGAUGAGAACGAAGACACAAGUGUGAUAGAUGAAGUCUUUCAAGCUAGUGAGUUGGUUGAACCAUAUCGAGUUGCUCUGUUGAUUGACUUAGAAGAAAAUUCGAAUUUUUGUGUUUUCAACGAUUGUCUUGUUGAUGUUGACGCAGAGGAGUUGAAUGUUGUUCUGAGCUCUACUAGUGGAAAAAAGAAUGUUGUUGAAGAAGAUGAUAACGAAAUUGAAGAGUGCGAUGAAGCUGAUGAUAACAAUUCAAUAGAGGACGAAGAUGAAAAUUCCGACUAACUAAACAUGUUAUAAAGCCUUAUUUUAUAAUGUAAUAAUUUGAAACAUUAAAUAUUUAUUCUUCUUUAAUGGUCAGCCCUUGUUAUUGUGUUGUGUGUGCUGUAAGAUUGCAAUUCAAGAUUUUGUGACAGGGUUACAUAAAAAAAAAAUUUACGGUUUCACCGACAGAUUCACCGAUGGACAAUAACCCGUCGGUAUUUCACAGAGAGUUGAAAAAAAUUUACGGGAUUGUGCCACUUUCACCAACGGACUCACCGACGGACAAUAACCCGUCGGUAUUUCAUAGAGAGUUGAAAAUAAUUUACAGGAUUGUGCCACUUUCACUGACGGAUUCACCGACGGACAAUAACCCGUCGGUAUUUCACAGAGAGUUGCAAAAAAAUUACGGGAUUGUGCCACUUUCACCGAUGGAUUCACCGACGGAAAAUAACUCGUCGGUAUUUCACAGAGAGUUGCAAAACAAUUAUGGGAUUGUGCCACUUUCAUCGACGAACAGUAACCCGUAGGUAUCUCACAGAGAGUUGCAACAAAAUUACAGGAUUGUUCCACAAUCACCGACGGGUACACCGACGUCACUGACGGAUUUACGCACAUCCCAAAGCGCAAGCAUGUCUGACACGUGUCCGUCUGCACAAAUACCGACGGCUUUACCGAUGUCAAAUACCGACGGAUUUACGCACAUCCCAAAGCGCACGCAUGUCUGACACGUGUCUGUCUGCACAAAUACUGACGGAUUGAAAAGUCUGGCGGGAUUUUCGAACUUUUUUUGUGCGCAUUUCAAUUAAUUUCUGACGGUAUUACCGACGGAAUUUAAUGCCACCGAUAACAAUUAAUUUCCGUCGAUAAUACCGUCGGAAAAAUUGCUAUAUAAAACCCCCCCUCCCCCCAUUUGGCUCCGUUUCUCUUUUCUCCAUUUCUCUUCUCCUCUCGGUUUAUAUUUGGCUUUUGGAAGGGAUUUUAUUAUUUUGGUGGUAGUUUUAAAAGGUAUGUAUUCUUUUUUCUUUAUCUUUGUAUUUUUUUAUUUUAAUUAUGAUUAUUUUUUUGGUGUUCUUUGUUUUGUGUAUAGUUUGUAGAUAAAAUCUUAAAUUCAACACACUAUUAAGGUAAGCAUUUUUUAUUCCCAAAUUUAUUUUGAAUUGAUAUGGUGUUUCUAAGUUUUGUGUAUUGUUUGUUUUUUGUUCAUGUUGUUUUGUAUAGUGUUUUUUAGUUUUUUCAUUUUAUUUAUUAAUUUUAUGAUAUUAUUGUUUGUAUUGCUAUAAUUGUUAUUGUUGAAUUUAUGUUAAAAAUGUUAAUUUAUAUAUAUAGAAUUACAUUUAAUUAGUUUAUCUUAAUUUAGGAUAUUAUUGUAUUGCUAUAAUUGUUAUUGUUAAAUUUAUGUUAAAAAUGUUAAUUUAUAUAUAUAGAAUUACAUUUAAUUAGUUUAUCUUAAUUUGGGAUAUUAUUGUUUGUAUUGCUAUAAUUGUUAUUGUUGAAUUUAUGUUAAAAAUGUUAAUUUAUAUAUAUAUAAUUAAAUUUAAUUAGUUUAUCUUAAUUUUAGGAUAUUAUUGUUUACAUGUCAUUGUUAUUGCUUGUUAUUACAUUUUUAUAUUUAUGGGUACAAGUUAAUUUCUAUUUUGAGGUCCAUUAGGGUCGAUCGUGUUAGGAAUGAUAUUGAUUUAGUUACUUUUUGCUUUUGACCAUGUAAUUAUUUAUAAAUUAAGAGUCUUGUCUUCUAAAACUUGAAAUGUAAUAUUAAUCCGUAAAUUUGAAUGUAUGACUUUAAUCUAAUGUUUGUAACUCUAAGUACCAAUUUAACAAUAAAUGUUCAUAGUUGAAAUUGAUUCUUUUACUUGAAUAUCAUUAUAUGAUGUUAUUGCAUAAAAUGUUGUGUUGAUGAUGAUGAGUUGGGUUGAGAUCCAGGAUGAUUGGAUCGGGAUGUGAAAUAAAAUUGGAAGUGUAAUAUGAUUUUGUCGAUAACUUGGGACCCCCCAGUAUAGGGGAGACUCUGUCGAAUUUUUUUAAAAAUAAUCGAAGUUAAUUAUGUAAUUAUUCGUAUAAAUUUGUGUAGAUGCGUAUAAUAACAUCUACAGCACGUCGUCAGAAGACGGUUGCAGCUAGUUCUUCUAGCAGCGAGGAGGACGUAUCCUUAGGUGCUGAUCACAGCGAGGAAUCUACGCCAACUUGUGAUGCUGCCUCUUCUAGCGCGGUUUCACAGUGCAGAAGUGGUGUGCCUUCACAGCGGGGUCAAUUCACCCGCAAGUACCAGGCACAAUGGAAGGAUGACCUCUCAAUGUAAGUUUGUUUAGGUUUUAGUUUUUUUUAUAUAUAUACUUAUAACAUAAUUUAUGAACAACUAAUUAAUAUUACUACUUUUAUUUAAUUUCAGGUUCACAAACAUUGAGGCUGCAAGGACUAUAACAUUGGCGUUUAAAUCAUCGAUGGAGAUUCCAUUGUUUCAAUGGAGCCAGGUUUCCAGACAUCCUGAGUGGAAACCUAAUAUCGAUGCAUGGUUUAAGCAAUUUCAGGUCGGUGUUAAUUUUUAAUUUCCAGCUUAUUUUUAAUAAAUGAUUUUUAUAAUUUUAUAUCUUGUACUAUUUUUAUUUUAUAUGAAUUAUUUAUAUACACAGAACAAAUUUGAGUGGGAUAGGGCGGACAACAAUGUUGUGAGGAGGGUAUGGGAGAAUCAUGCGGCAACUAGGUAACAUCGAAAAUAAUAUUUAUUUUUGUUUUAUAAUUUUAUAUUUUAAAUUCUAAUUUGUUACUAUGGAAGUAGGUUGCGUGAUUUUUGGUAUGACACCCAAAAAAAUCAAAAAGACAUGCGAGGGAUAACGGUCUUGAAGGAUGGAAUGAGGUGGCAGUUUGGCAGGAAUUGAAAUCGUCAUUCAUCUCAGGGGAAAUAUGGAUGUCAUAUAUUGAGCACAUGACCUCAGAGCGGUUCUCAAGGCGCUCGCAGUCCGACACCGACAACCGGAACCGGCAAAUUCAUGGUUCGGUGACCACGCACACUGGCGGAUCCGUCCCAUUCAGCGCACAUGCAAAGCGGAUGGUAAGAUUAAUUUUAAUUAAAUAUAUCGUUAAUUAAUUUGUCGUUCCUUAUAAUAUAUUUAACUUUCAACCUAUUUUUUCCUUACAGGCUGCGUCUCUUGGACGUGAGCCGAGUCCCAUGGAGCUGUUUGUAGAGACGCAUGUGCGGAGUCAAGAUCGCCAAAAGGGGGUGCAACAGUUCAUGGACAACCGCGCUCAGCACUUCGUGGUAUGUUCAUUCAUUCAUUUUCUUUUGUAAGUUAUUAUUUUCUUGAAUUGCAUCUUGAAUUGCAUUUGAUGAUUUUUUUACCAACAGAAUUUUCAGGAGACCUAUAAUAGCCGGUUGAGGGAGAGAUAUGGGGACAAUCCGUCAACCCAUUCAGAUUUCGAUCCAGAUUUGUGGAUGGAGGUGGGAUCGUCUGGUAGACCCGAUAAAAAUCGGGUCUACGGGCUCUCCAACACUACGGCUGAAAACUUGCGUUCGGCUUGUAGUGUCUCAACCGUUGGAAGCUCUCCAUCAGUAUCGAACACUCAGUCUGAGGAGUUCAUUGCGUUGAAACAACAAUAUCAACAACUCUCGACGAAUUAUGAUGAGCUCCGUCAAAUCGUCAUGGAGAUGAGAUCAAAGAUGAGUGACGAUACUUGUGCAGCUCCUUUUUGGCCGUAUGGUCCCGGGAACAACCAGCCUCCUCCUCCUCCUCCUCCUCCUCCUCCAGCUCCGCCGCUAUUCUAGUUUAAUUUUGUUUUUUAAACACAUUAAAUUUGUAAUGAAUAUUAUUUAACAUUACUUUUAUAUUUUUAAUGUUUAAUCCAAUUUUAUUUGUUUAUUAAGGUUUUUUAGUAUUAAUAAAUUAUUUUUUUAUAUAUAUUUUAAAUACAUACCGACGGAUAUUAGCCGUCGGUAUUUCACAGAGAGUUGCCAAACAAUUACCAGCCAUGCCAUAAUUACCGACGGAUAUAUUCCGUCAGUGAUUACUUACAAACAGAUUUACCGACGGAUAAUAUCCGUCGGUAUUUCACAGAGGGUUGGCAAACAAUUACUACCGAUGCCAUAAUUACCGACGGAUAGGCCGUCAGUAAUUACCGUUGAAAUUGCAGACGGAUUUAUUCCAUCGGUAAUGUUCCCGCGGGAAACUUUUUUUUUGGCACGGCGUGUAUCCGUCUGUAAGACCAUCAGUGUUCCGUCGGUGGGUGUUUUUUUAUUUGCGACAGAAUUAGCUACGGAAAUGGGAGUUACCGAUGACUAUUAUACCGACGGACGUGUUCCGUCGAUGAGGCCGUCGGUAAUUAUUUCACCGACGGAGUUCAUUCCUGUCACCGACGGAAUUAGUCCGUCGAUAAAACUGUUUAAUGGUGUAGUGAUUUUUGACGUAAACACAUCAAAAUGAUCUAAAAACUCCAAAAAAUAUUAAUUUGAAAUAAAAAAAAAUUUAAUUUUUUUUUUAAAAGUACUUUUGGAACACAAAAAUAAACGGGGUAUAAAUAUUAUGGUCAUUUCAAUGAAAGUACAUUAAAUUAACCAACCAAUUUACAUUAGGUUUUUGCUACACAUUAAGAUGAGUAGUGCUGUAAAUGCCCAUACCUAUAUAUAUAUAUAUAUAUAUCUUUUAAUGCUUGUUUCUUUUUCUUUUCUAUGUUUUGAGUGAUGGUAAUAAAUGUAAAAAUAUUACUUUUCUCCUACCUGUUUGUAAGAAAUUAGAAUCGUAAAAUAACUAUAAGAAAAAAAAUCCAAUUCUCGUUUGGAAAUUUUCAAGUAGACUUGGCAUGUGUUGGCAAGAAUCAAUCAAUCAUACGUUAAUAUUUUAUUUAUUUUGCUUAUAGAUUAUAAUAGAGAAAUAUACAUGGACCAAUUAACUAUAAAGUAUUGUUUAAUUUUUGUCAAGUAGACUUGGCAUGUGUUGGCAAGAAUCAAUCAAUCAUACAUUAAUAUUUUAUUUAUUUUUCUUAUAGAUUAUAAUAGAGAAAUAUACAUGGACCAAUUAACUAUAAAGUAUUGUUUAAUUUUUGAAAUAUUUAUUUAGAAUUAGUUUUUUUUUAACAAAAUGUACAUGGACCACUUGAUGGUUAGAAUAACAAGUGAUCUAUAUAUAAAAUCUAUAACAAUGAUUCCAAAACUAAUUUGAGGUAGAGGUUUUAGAAUGUGUCAAGGAACCAUCUUAAUUCAAUAGCUUAAAUUUUUAGGUGAUGUCCCAAAAUAUGAUUUAUGUUAUUCUCUAACACACCCCCCCAAACCCUUUGGGUUUGAAACUUGCACAGGCUCACACUACCUUAUGCUUAAUUUUUAUCAAAUAAAUGAGGAUAAUGAGAUUCAAACUCGUGACCGCCUGGUCAUCAAGUCUCUGAUAUCAUGUUAAAGAACUAUCUCAAUGCAAUAUUUUCAAUUCAACCUAAAAAUUUAAGCUGUUAGGUGAAGUUUCAAGAUAUAAUUUAUAUUAUUCUCUAACACACCCCCUCAAGUGAAAACUAUUUGGACUUGAAAUUUACACAAAUCCACAUUACUUUAUACUUAAGUUUUUAUCAAAUAAAUGAAAGAUGGUAAGAUUCGAACUCGUAACCGCUUAGUCAUCAAAAUUCUGAUAUCAUGUUAAAAAACUAAUUUAACCAAAAACAUUAAGCUAUUAAAUAAAAUUUAUAUUAUUAUCCAUCGGAUAACGUAAAAAAUUUGCCCCCUGUCCAAGGGUCCAAAAAUCUAAUCGCCUGUCCGUCCUUGUUCUUGCAUGAAACAUGGAUUUAUGCAUUUAUAUACUUGGGUGGAGAGGGAAGACAACACUUACAUCAUGACACAAAUAGCACCGCGAUAGCUGAGGAGAUGGUGAAUAUCAUGGUACAGAAUAUUUACAGUCUUUUAUCUUAUAUAUUAUUAUUAAACAUAAUUAUAUCUAUUGAAUCACAGGACAUUUACCAUAUUGGGGUCGGAGAGGGAGGGAACAAAUCCCAAGAAGAUUUAUUUUAAACAUUAAUGCUUAACUUUAAAAUUCAUUAAAAAUCACAAAGUGGCUGAAGAAAUCCUAGCACAAUGUCAAACUCGUGAGAUAAUUUAUAAAUUCAUAUGGAUUUAUGAGUUAAUACAGAUAUAUCAUGUGAAAUUAAAUAACAAAUUUAAAAAUUAAUAAUCUCAAUUAAACUCGAUUAAAAUUGAUCAAACUUGAUAAACUCAAACCGAGUUUACCGAGUUUGACAGAAUUAAGUUUGUCAAAAAAAAAAACAAGAAGAAAAAGAAGCAUGCAGGUGUGGAAAUGGUGGGUCUUGAGUCGCCAAACUCAUUGUUUUUAGAUUUUUUAAAUCAAACCAGUGGCUUUCUUUACUUACUCUGCUAUGCUGAAUUGAAAGAGCAUCAUGUAGCUGAAUUGAAAUAGCUAUGCUUCUUCUUCAUCUUUUUUUUAUUAUUAUUAUUAUUAUCAUUGAAAGCUAAUAAUUAUAUGGAUGUCAACAAAAGAGCCCGGAGUUAGGGCAGGCAAAAUAAAGUAGAUUACAUGGCUGUAAAAGAAACAGAAGACGGAAAACUCACUUUUCUAUAUCUAUGAUUAUUUCUUUUUGAAUAGGUGUGGUUGUUGGAACAAAAAUAUUAAGGACCUGUUUGGUUAGUGUGGAAAUAACCAGGCAUGUAUGGUAUUUCUUUUAUUUCUUGCCAUAGCAUGUGAAAAUUCUUGGAUGUUUCAUUUCUGACUUCGAAGGCACUACCCUGGCUUUUGAUAGGAAGGUGCCAGGCUGCCAGCAGUCCAAUGCGCGUCAUAUUCCACUUGCGUUUUCUUUUAUCGACCUUGUCUGCAUUGAAAGUAAUAUUCUUCACAAUCUCAUAAGAAAAAAUCCAGGACGUUUACCAGUACGAGUUUCUGCUCUAAGGAAACCGGAUAAAAAACACUCGGGAAAUCUGGAAAAGGUAAAAUGCUGGAGAGAUUGUCUCUCCACAGUGGCCAAUCUAUCUGGCUGGGAUGUACGGAACAGGUAAACUAAGCCUGUUUAUAUUUAUUUUGGAAGGAGUUAUUACUGUCUCACAUGUCUUAGUUCGAUAUCCUUGUGGUGGGUGAUAUUUAUUAGUAAUUGAUCAUUUCUUUAUUUGAUGUAGAAUAUGUUAUCUAAUAAUAUCUUUUUAUCCUUUCUUCGAAUAUUUACUAGCAAAUUGUUUGUUAAAAAAAUAUAUAUAUAAUAUCGAAAAACUAAUAUUGAAGGCAAGUGAUUGAGUUUUCAUGGCGAGCUUGACAGAUGACAAUACACAAAAGAAAUGUUAUGUCGAAUAAUCUUUUCGAAAAAGAACUCUUGACAAUUUAAAAUCUAAAAAGUUCUUUUAUAAAAGCAAAUCAUUGCAAGAUAAAUUGAUAAAUUGACAUGGCAAUUUAAGAAGUGAUCGAGCUUUUUCUUGGAAAACAAUUAGAAGAUAGUGAUUGGUUUUUUGCCUGUCAAAACCAUACUUAAUCAGUGGCUUUUGUGUUCUUACAUGCAUGCUAUUCUAUGUGCAAUAAGCUAGCUAUUACAAGGAUCGAUCAUUCUGUGCAUCCACAGAAUCCUAGUUCCUUUUCCAAUUAUUCUUUCCUUUUCCUCCUUCUUCUUGAGGUAUUAUCGAAGGUUGAUUGAUUAAUUUCUCGUUAACAACCAUAUAUAUAUAUCAAGUAACAAUAUUUCAUGUUUUCGCGCACUGCAUGCUUAAUGUUUUUACCCCUUUUACGCAGGGACGAGUCACAAUUAAUUAAAAAGAUUGUUGAAUAUAUACAGUGCAAACUAAGCUUCACUUUGCCAACAAUUAGCAAAAAUCUAGUUGGAAUAGAUUCUCGUCUGAAGGUAUUGAAUGAAUAUAUAGACGAACAAGCAAAUGAAACUCUCUUUAUAGGGAUAUGUGGAAUGGGUGGCAUGGGAAAGACAACUGUUGCAAGAGUCAUGUAUGAUAGGAUUCGUUGGCAAUUCGAUGGCAGCUGCUUCUUAGCAAAUGUGAGAGAAGUUUUUGCAGAGAAAGAUGGACUGUGUCGUUUACAGGAACAACUUCUUUCGGAAAUCUCAAUGGAGCUUCCCACUGCUCGGGAUUCUUCAAGAAGGAUUGAUUUGAUAAAGCGCAGGCUGCGGCUUAAAAAGGUUCUUCUUAUUCUUGAUGAUGUAGAUGAUGAAGAACAAUUACAGAUGUUGGCUGCAGAGCAUGGAUCGUUUGGUGCAGGGAGCCGGAUUAUCAUAACGAGCAGAAAUAAAUAUGUGCUGGAUAGCCAUGGUGUUACUAGAAUAUACGAGGCUGAGAAAUUAAAUGAUAAAGAUGCUCUUAUGUUAUUUAGCUGGAAAGCUUUCAAAAGAGACCAGCCUGCUGAAGAUUUAUCGGAACUAUCCAAGCAAGUUGUGGGCUAUGCUAAUGGCCUUCCACUAGCUCUUGAAGUCAUAGGUUCGCUCUUGCAUAAAAGAGGUCUGCGUGAUUGGAAAAGUGCAAUUGAUAGAAUGAAUGACAUUCCUGACAGUCAGGUGCGGAGCUAGAAUUAUUUAUUAGAGGGGGCCAUAAUUAAUAUAAUAAAAUAUAAUAUUUAUUUUAUUUUAUUGUACAUGAGUUGUAAAAAAAACCUACAUAAUUUAGUUUUAUUCAAAUAACUUACUAUAAAUAUAUAAUAAUCUUUGUAUAAGAUAAAGGGUUCGAAGAAAUACCAAAUUGAGUCAAAGCAACGAAGUUAAUUUCAUCUUCAUAAUAUAUUCAUCACUUUAAUGUUGUUGGUCUUUAUAUCUAUCAAAUAUAAACAUACAAAGUAUAUAAGAAACAUUAGUUAAAAUGAAGCAUUAUUUAUGUUCGAUAAACUUUGAAAUAAAACAAAAAAUAAUAAAGAACUAUUCUCACUAAUUAACGCGGGUUCUUUGUAAACUGAGGUGCAUUGGAGUUGCUCAACCAUAACUUUAACAUUACACAUUGGAGUUGGUUCACUAGGAUGCGAGUUAUCAAUAUUUUUUUUGAAAAAAAAAUCAAAUUCUUCUUAUUUUAUUCAUGGUUCAACCUAAAAUCAAAACAUAUAUCGUGAGAAAAAAUUGAUAAUUUUGGUGAUUCUGCUAAAAACAAAACAUAAAAAAUUCAAAGUAUAAUCAAAACAAACCAAUAAAAUAUAUCUAAUUAAUUAAAAAAAAGCACUAUAACAAGAAUUCAAAAAACAAUUGGUAAAAUUAGCAGAUCUGAGAAAAAAAUAAAGCAAAAAUGAUAUAAUUAUAUAAAAAAAAAACCUCAUCAAAUUAUUAACAAACAUCUCAAAACAAAAUAAAAAUAGAUUUUAAAUUUAAGUUACCUUGUUUUGUUUGAUGAAAAAUAAAUUAAUUGAUGGCUCUGCUUCAAUCUUUCCGUUGAAAAAUUUUACUUAUGAUUUAUAUUUAUAUUUUUGUUUUUGACCGGCUGCAGAAUUUAUUGAACAAAGUAAUAAUUUUAUCUUUAUAUGAUUUAUAUUAGGGCUACGUAAAUUAAUUUUAAAAAAAUUAAAUUGAAAAAUCACACUUAAUUACAGUAAAAAAACUCACCUUUAUAAAAUAAAAAACUUCAUCCACACUUAAUUACCUAAUAUAUAUAUAUAUAUAUAUAUAUAUAUAUAUAUAUAUAUAUAUAUAUAUAUAUUUUAAUGCUGCUUUAAGAGAAUCAUAUGAAUUGCCCAGAAAGAUACGGGCACACAUUAUUUAAUAAUCUAGUGAAAAUGAAGGGAAUCUGAAGCGAACACUCCACUACUUUCCAUAUAUAUUACAGGGGCAGAAUAUUUCAGGGGGGCCCGGGCCCCUGCUUACCCCCCUUCCUUCCGCCCCUGCUGACAGGAAGAUUAUUGAUGUUCUUCGCAUUAGUUUUGAUGGCCUCCAUGAAUUAGAGAAGAAAAUAUUUUUAGAUAUCGCUUGCUUCUUGAAGGGGAUGAAAAAGGAUCGUAUAACAAGGCUACUUGACAGUUGUGGGUUCCAUGCAGAUAUUGGGAUGCAGGCUCUUAUUGAGAAAUCCCUUAUAAGCGUCUCACGAGAUGAGAUAAGGAUGCAUAAUCUAUUACAGAAAAUGGGUGAAGAAAUUGUUCGUUGUGAAUCCCCUGAAGAGCCUGGAAGACGCAGUAGAUUGUGCACUUACAAGGAUGUCUGCGACGCACUGGAGGACAGCACAGUGAGUAGUAGCUGAUAUAUACAGAACAUUCAUUAUCCAUAAGAUUUCAUGCUCCAUCUCUACUCUGCAAUAGCUUCUUACCUAUUCUUCCUCUUGGUCGACAGGAAAAAAUAGAAAGUAUAUUCUUGGACUUGCCCAAAGCAAAAGAGGCACAAUGGAACAUGACAGCCUUCUCAAAAAUGACCAAACUAAGAUUGUUCAAAAUUCACAACGUGGAUCUUUCUGAAGGACCCGAGUAUCUCUCCAAGGAGUUACGAUUCCUUGAAUGGUAUGCUUACCCUUCAAAGUCAUUGCCAGCUUGUUUCCAUCUGGAUGAGCUUGUUGAACUCUACAUGUCUUGCAGCAGUAUUGAGCAAUUAUGGUGCGGAUGUAAGGUAAGACCCACUAGCUCUGUAAAUUUGUUUUUGUCUUUUCAUAAGCCAUAAUAAACCACAGAGGGCAUCAAAGAGAAUGGUGAAACAAAAGAGAACAUGAAGCUACAGUAUAGUUACAGCAAUAAAGAAAUAGGACAAGGAACCGAUACAUGACAAAUUGUGAUAGGAUUCCCUUACACUCUCGGCUCUCAUGUAAGAUUUCAGUUUAGAGAGAAGAAGAAAAAAACAUAUAAUAGACGAGUGCAAAUAAAGAAGAGAUUAAGAUAUUUUGAUUGAUUUUUAAAGUGUUUUUUUUAAUAAAUAUAUUAAAAUAAUAUUUUUUGUUUUUUAAAAUUUGAAGUAAAAAUAAUAAUUAAUAGAGAGUCAGUUAAAAUAAUUAAUUAAUAGAGAGUAUAAUAAUUAAAAUAAUUAAUUUGGAGUAAAAAAAUAAAAAUAAAAGUUAAUCCAAUGGGCUAUUGUGUUGUAAAAGAAAGAAAUAAAAAGUAUAAUAGAGAGUCAGUCAAACAUGAGAUUUAAAUUACAACAAAAAGAAAGAAAACAUCGAAACUUGAGAUUACCUAUUAAUGGCUGCUUGCUUGUCAAUUGAAUAUCCGUAACUGUUAGAUACAUGUUUUAGGAUUGGGGUAUAUAUCAUGAUAAUGGACGGCAAAACUUUCGACAUUUCCCUCUCUUUUUUUUUCUGUUUUUUUUAUAACAAAAUAUACUAGAAAGGGAAGGGGUGAGAAUACUACCUAUCCUCUAGCACCAAACUCAUUUAAUCAUUGGUUACAACAAUGAAUUUAAUAUUUUGCCCCUUCAAGAAAAAGCAGUUAGGCUUGAUGAGGAGGGUAAGAUAGUCUUUUUAGUUUUUUUUAUGAACAGUGAAACCACUCAAAUGCUCUGGAAAACAAAAUAUAAAUGCAUUGUUCAGGGGUAAUUUUGGUUUUUCUCUCCAGGGUUAUUUUCAUUGUUUUCAAAUUGAUUUUUUUUUAUUUACUGUUUUUUCAAGGGAAUUAUGGCUAAUAAAACUUGAGGUUGCCCUACCAAUAUGCACAUGUUUUUGUGGAUAUAAUGAUAUAGUUGGGCUUACGAUAAUAGGUGAUUUUGAGUAGUCAGGUGUAGUUCUGUCAUAAUUAGAUGAGAAUCUGCCCUGGAUAUAUUACAUGAAUGGUGUAGCAAAUACAUUUAUGGACCAUUGGAACAAGUUUAGGCUCAAGAGAUCAUAACUUUUAAUCUAAUCGUUGGAUCGUGCUUAAAUGUUUACAAGAGUAUCCUGAGGUUGCUUUCCUCAAAAUAAUAUGGAAUCGCUACUCUGACUGUCAGAUCUUUAGAUUUCAAGAAUCUCGUCCGAGGCCCUGAUUUUGAUAAUUUUUGUGAUUUUCCUUGUUAUUUUUGGAUUUCCUACUUCUUUCAGAUUUUAUCUUUUCCUUUGUAAUUUCAAGUUUUUGUUUUUUUUUUUCGUAGUUAAGAUAGGGUUUCUAGCCUAUUUAAGGCUUUGUAAACCUUUUAAAGAGGUAGACUUCAGUAUUAUUAAUUAGAGAGAAUAAAUCAGUGAAUUUAAGGUUCAUAUCUGCCGCCCUUUCGCUUAUAAAAAAAUAUGUAUUCUUUGUUUAUUAUUAUCUUUAGCUUCCACCUGUAUCAUAUAAUUUACAUAAAGUCCUAGUUUUGCUUUGUUGCUUGCUUAUACCUAUUCUCCAAAAAUAUCCAUGAUGUAAGCUUUCCUCCUAUCAUGUGCUACGCCAAUUAGUUUUCUAAAUUGGGUGUGUUUGGGAGUGUGGUUCUGGUUGUUUUUUAAAGUGCUUUUCACUCGGAAAUGCACAAAAUAAUGUUUUUUUAUUUUUUAAAAAUCAUUUUGAUAUCAGCGUAUCAAAAUGAUUUGAAAACAUAAAAAAAAUAUUAAUUUAAAAUAAAGAAAAAAAUUAAAAAAAAAUUCAAUUUUUUUCAAAAACAUUUUUAAAAUGCAAAAACAAACAGGACCUUAAGUUCAUUUGUAUAAAGAUUUAAAGAUUGCGUGCUCAAUCCAUCUAGUUUUAGUUUAAAGGAUAAUAAGGGCAUAUGCACUGUUUGUUUCACUAUAGUGCGGACUACUGUGCAUUGUGAGUGAAUUUACUGUGGAUUGCACUGUUCUAUACUGUAGUGCGGGUACUGUAGAUUGUGAGUGCAUUCACUGUGAACUGCACUGUUUGGUGGGGGCUUGUGGUAAGGCUGCAGCUUGCAGGACCCGAGUGCCACUUGGGCUGCGGACACCUGGCGCUGGGCUGCCAAGCCUGGGCACUGGGCCGACCACACCUGCUGGCCGCGCUACAGGCCGCAGUCACCUGGCGCUCGGUCUGCCCAGCCUUGGGCACUUGGGCUACCUACCUGUGUGCUGGGCAGACCAAGCGCACAUGUGGCGCUUGGGCUGACUGCUAGUGUGUUGGUAGACCAACCGCACACGUGGCGGUUUUUUUUUUAAUCUCAGUUAAUUAUAUAAUUUUCUUAAGAUCAAUCUUUUAUUGAUUUUGUUUUAAUAAGGCCUCUCAUCUUUGAGAUUUAUUAAUCCAACUAUUCUUCUAUUAGUCCAUCCAUAUCGUUAGCCCUUUCCUCACUAAUGCUAUACUUUUGGUUAUUAAUUUUGAGAUAUUCUCUUCUAUGUUAAAAAAAAAUUCAUAAAAAUAAGAAAUGGAUUAAUAAUUUAAAAGGACUAAAAAAUAAAAAGAAUAAAUAAGAUUAAGGCCUACCAGUGAUUCUUUUCCCUCAAAUGUAAUUGAUCAUUUUAGAAAUUAAAUAGAAGAUUAAACUCAUAAAAGCAUAAAAUUAACACUGUGAUCAAUUCACAUUAAAAAGAAAUAACUAAACUAAACUAAAACAGAAAAAACAUAUGCAUAUUUUCCCUUAUAUUUUAUCUUACGAAAAACCAAACACUAACAAUCAUUUAAUGUGCCCACAAUCUCUAUCACGACCACAAAAUUACUAAACGCCGACCGGAUAUUUCAUCAACGUUUAUACUUGCUAACAUUUUUUUUUGGCAGGAGGUUGAAGAAUGGGGACAAGGAACUUAUGUUUAUACUUAGAUCUUUAAAGUUCUAGGUGGGUUUGGCUUAUGACUGUUCUCAUACCUUUUUUUCUACAAUUCAUUGUACUAUGUUCCUUGAGGAAAUUGGAGUACUCAGUGGUGCAUACAAUGUAGUUAGUUGUAGUGUCACCUGUUAACACAAAGGUCGAAGUUAUUUUUAUGUGGCUAGAAUUAUAACUUUAGUGAACAAUUUCAUGUAAUGAAUGAUUUGUCGAAGGAGAUGGUGCUCCUGUAGUGGGGGAGAUCGUUACCUCUCCCUUGUCAUGUCAUUUCUAAGCUAUCAUAAAUGAAGCGAACUAGGAAAGAAAAGUAACUAAACUAGUUUUUGUUCAAGUUCCAACAGGAGAUGUUAUUGAUGAAGUUGAAAAAACUUCAAAUUAAACCUAGGUCUUUCCACAACUGGUGUAAUGAAUUUUGGAAUUUUUUAAGUUGGGUAAGUUAGAAACUCCUGUAAAAUUUAGAUCGCGAUCCAACAGUCGGAUCAAAAGUUAUGGCCCUUACGAACUGUUACUCUUGCCUGGGGCUACCAGACAUCCUCCUCAUCGAGUAUCAAUUCCACAUCCACUAUAUGAAAAAGCGGCAUCUGGAAACUCCUGUAAGAUUUCGAUCGAGAUCCAACGGUCGGAUAAAAAGUUAUAGCCCUUGCGAACCGUUACUCUAGCCUCUCCUGACCUGACCUCCUCCUCACCGAGUAUCGAUUCCACAUCCACUAUAUGGAAAAGGGCAUCCGGAAACUCCUGUAAAAUUUAGAUCGCGAUCCAACGAUCCGAUCAAUAGUUAUGGCCCUUACGAACCGUUACUCUUGCCUGGUGCGACCAGACGUCGUCCUCACCGAGUAUCGAUUCCACAUCCUCUAUAUGGAAAAGGGCAUCCGGAAACUCCUGUAAAAUUUAGAUCGCGAUCCAACCGUCGGAUCAAAAGUUAUGGCCCUUACGAACUGUUACUCUUGCCUGGUGCUACCAUACAUCCUCCUCAUCGAGUAUCAAUUCCACAUCCACUAUAUGGAAAGCGGCAUCCAGAAACUCCUGUAAGAUUUUGAUCGAGAUCCAACGAUCGGAUAAAAAGUUAUAGCCCUUGUGAACCGUUACUCUAGCCUCUCCUGACCUGACUUCCUCCUCACCGAGUAUCGAUUCCACAUCCACUAUAUGGAAAAGGGCAUCCGGAAACUCCUGUAAAAUUUCGAUCGCGAUCCAACGGUCAGAUCAAAAGUUAUGGCCCUUAUGAACCGUUACUCUUUCCUGGCGCGACCAGACAUCCUCCUCACCGAGUAUCGAUACCACAUCCACUAUAUGGAAAAGGGCAUCCGGAAACUCCUGUAAAAUUUUAAUUAAGAUCCAACGAUCCGAUCAAAAGUUAUGGCCCUUACGAACCGUUACUUUCCACAACGAAGUUCCAACUGAUUGGACUCAAAAACUUUCAAAGACAAAAUCAAUAGUAUACUAUACGAUCCCUCAAACUCAUUAACCCCUCACAACUCACUAACCCAAAUCCUCUUGUUUUUGGAUAAUUAAAAAGAAUCCAUUUUUUUAUGUUGUUUUGAAUUUUUUUUAUUUAUUAUUUGAAUUUUUAUAUAAAAAAAAUGGUUUGAUGAUAGAGGAAUCGUCAUGUUUGUAUUACUGGUUGUCAUGUUUGUAUUACUGGUUGAAAUUGUGUUUGGGAUUUAAUUAAACUUUUUAUAAUUAUUUUUUCUUNNNNNNNNNNNNNNNNNNNNNNNNNNNNNNNNNNNNNNNNNNNNNNNNNNNNNNNNNNNNNNNNNNNNNNNNNNNNNNNNNNNNNNNNNNNNNNNNNNNNUAAACUUCCGUCCAUUUUUUCUUAAAAAAAACAUUUUAUAUUUUGUUACCAGACUGUGAAAGGCAAGGAAUGUUUUUUGGAUUUAAUUUAAUGUUUUUUUUUUAAUCUCAGUUAAUUUUAUAAUUUUCUUAAGAUCAAUCUUUUAAUAAAAAAAUAUGUAGGAGCUAUAAAAUUGGUGGGACUUAUUCUUCUUAUUUUGAUUUUGUUUUUUUUUUUGAAAACAUGUUUUUCUUUUCAGUGCUUACGAACUAGAUCAAAACAUGUAUUUUCAAUCCAAGUAAUAGUCUCAAUUUUGAAUAAAUCACAUGUAGAUUGAUUUGUUUAUGGGAAGUGCAAUGUACUAAUUAAGUGCUAAUACAUUCCAAAUUAAUUCUAUACAACUGUUUUUUUUUUUUUUUGUUCAAUGAUGAUCUCACCCGUUAUUCUUGCCUCAUCUUCUUCUUGAUCAUGGGUGAUUACUACUGUGAACGAGUACUGCGAAUUGUGGAGGGUUAGCUUUUUAUUGAACGAAUUGUAUGAAUUACUUUCAAUGAUAAUGUUGGUGAAGUUACUUCCUUGUUUAUUGCUUGUUUUCAUCCAGCUUGAAAAUAAUAUAUAUUCAUUCGUUUAGAUUGGUUUGGGAGAGUAACUCUCUGAAUCAUAAAGACUAUGUCAAUGGUGAUGCUAAGCCUUUACGAAUUUUCAUUAUUGGACGUAGAACCAUUUUUAUGAGUUUGCACUUAGUGUUCAAGCUAUGGUGGCUAGCUACAUUAUCCAAGAGGUUGGAUUCAGUUUUGUUAUACAAGAACUAGUAUAUUAAAAAUUAAUAAUAAAAACAUUAUUAUUAUUAUUAUUAUUAUUAUUAUUAGAAUUAAUAAAGAAAUAAAAGACCAUGAUGUUUUACUAUAGAUAGAUCGAAGUCUAGAUCAUAUAUAUUUUUUUACAAAACAUUGAUUUCAAUUUAAGACCGAUUAAAUUGGAUUGUAAUAGAUUUUGAAGUUAGAAGUAGGUCUCCAGAAGAAAAAAGGAUGAACAUGGAUAAUAUUGGUGGCCCUUGAUUUUCUGACUAUCGAAGCAUUCUCGAGAAAACAUAGCACCACAUGUUCUUCCAAUAAAUGACGUGUCCUUUUCUACUUCUUGUUGUGGAUAUCGGAUUAAAAGUUACUUUUCAAUGGAAAAAAAAAAGUGUGCGCACUGUCAACUUUUUUUAAGUUGAAGAAAUUUUUUUUAUUGUGAAUAAAAAGAGUUGACGCAUGUUUUUAAUCAAAGCAAUCAGAAUUAUAUACAAUAAAAAAAUGUGAAAAUGCAAAUCAAAGAAUAAAUCUAGAAACUAGGUGAUCAUAAAUACGGUUCAAAAUAUAUGAUUUCAUGUAGCCAAAAAAUUAACAAUUUAAGUUCUAUCAACAUAAAAUAAUUUUCUAGUAUGUUUAUCAGAAUGUUUAUUUUUUGAAGAAAAAAAAGUUAUGAGAGUCAUAAAAAAAUUAAUUAAAAAAAUAAUUAAUGGUUUUAUAAUUAUGCCGUGAAUGUAAUAAAAAAGUUGUGCGGAAAGCCAAAAAUCAAAAUUUAUUGUAGAGCCAACGGAAAUAAAGGUCGCGAAGAGGGUGAUGCCGCUGAUGGUUGCCAACAUAAAAAAAGUUGUGAGUUUUUGUGGACACGUUCGGCCUCGAACAUUGAGGUUGAGGCAGGUAAUUGCUUGGACUGGUGGAAGAAAAAUUGGAUUUUUCCUCUUGGAGUCUUCGUCUAUGCUAUCUUAUGGGUAGAAAGUGUCGGGAGAUGAGUGGCUGGGAUUCAUUAAUGGGUAGCGGCGUUAAGAAUUUUCAUUAUUGGACGGAGAACCAUUUUUAUGAGUUUGCAUUUGGUGUUCAAGCUAUGGUGGCUACAUUAUCCAAGAGGUUGGAUUCUGUUUUGUUGUACAAGCACUAGUAUAUUAAAAAUUAUAAAUUAAUAACAGCAACAACAUUAUUAUUAUUAUUAAUUAAGAUUAAAAUUAAUAAAGAAAUGAAAGACCAAACUGAUAGAUAGAUAGAAGCCUAGAUAUAUUUUUGUUUCAAAAAAUUUAUUUCAAUUUAAUUAAGACUGAUUAAUGUGUGUUUGCCUUAUAAAAGCAUUAAAUUAAUGUCUUUUUAAUAUUUUUCAAUAAUUUUAAUGUACUAAUAUUAAAAAAAAACUAAAAAAUAUUUUAAUACAUUAAAAAAAACACUUUUAAAAAUAACUUUGCACCAUGAUAUACUAAGCAUGCACUAAAUAUCGAAUAGACUCUAAAGAUCCAAAAAACUAAGCUUACAAGGGCACAAGUUUUUAAAGAAAUUGAGUCUUUCAAUAAGGCCCUUCUGUAAAAGUAGUGUCGACAAUCGACAUAUCAUGAAUAAACCGAAUGAUUUGUAUAUAAUUAAAUAUUUUUUAUUGAUUUUUUUUACAUACGAGUGAGGACAUAAUAUGUUAUCAUAAAUCAUAAUUUCUUAAAAAAAAUAGAAAUAAAAUGAUAAAACUAUACAUAUAAUGAUCAAGGAUCAACUUAAUUACUUUUUAUUGUAUGUAAAAUGUCCUUAUUUACUUUUUAAAAAUAGAUGCUUGACUUGAGAAUUCAUUACAAAACAUGAAUCAACUCAAUUGUGAUGUGUGUGGCCCAACCCCGGCUCUACUGCCCAAUGCGCGUUCGAUAUCCCUUUCAUUUCUUUCUCUACUUUUUCUCCACCGAAACUCCAUCUUCUUUACAGUGUAAGAUCCGUAAGAAAAUCAUUGGAAACUUACCACUACGAGUUCUUGACCUAAAGGAACCGGAAAAAAUUCGAAGUCAUUGGAAUAAAAAAAAGUUGUGAGGGCUUUGGAAGUAUGUUACUAAGAUACCAGAAGAAGAAAAAAUAUUGAGCCUGGCUGGAUCUUGUGCCUCUUUAGCCAACACUUACCCCACGGUUUGUUUCGUCUAGAUUCGUGUAAUACUUGUAGAAAUUUGGUGCUUUCUGAUUUAUACGUAGAAUUGUACAUGUUCCAGCUUGAAAUUGCUAUUUGGUAGAUUUAAUUGCCAAAUUUCUUGAUCUUACCUUCUGUUUCGUGUUUGAUCACAAGAGCAGGCCUUACACAAAAUAGCGUGGAAAGCAAUUUCUGAACCAAGCUUAGCUAGUUGAGGCUAGAAGGAUCGGUACUAAUUUAUCGCUAUAGGAAGGCAACAAAGGGAAAGAGACAAAAGAAGUCCAAAAAUAAUAUAACCCCUGCUCUUGACAGGAAGGUGCCUCUGCUGCCCAAUGCGCGUUCGAUAUCCCUUUCAUUUCUCUUUUUGCUUUUUCUCCACCGAAACUCCAUCUUCUUUACAGUGUAAGAAAAAGAUCCGUAAGAAAAUCCAGGAAACUUACCGGUACGAGUUCUUGACCUAAAGUAACCGGAAACAAUUCGAAGUCAUUGGAAUAAAAAGAAAGAAAAGGGCUUUCGAAGUUGGUUACUAAGAUACCAGAAGAAGAAGAAAUAUUGGGUUUGCACUUAGUGUUCCAGAUUAAAAUUAAUAAAGAAAUAAAAGACCAUGAUGUUUUACUAUAGAUAGAUCGAAGCCUACAUGUAUUUUUUUUUAUUGUUAAUAGAAGAAUUGAUGCAUGUGAUAUCAAGAAUUAUAUACAAAAAUAAAUGUUAGAAUAUAAAAUUGAUGUAAAGUGAAGACUAAAUCAAGAAAAACUGAAAGAUAAAUAUAAUUUAAAAUAUUUGAACGACUUUUGCUUUUUUGCAGACUUUAUCAAGGUAUUUGGUUUCCUGAUUUUGACCAACUGAACGAGUUUGUUUUGAAUUGAUUCUUGGUUUUUUCAAAAAAUUAUUGUUCCUGGUUUGGUGAAUUUCUUAGAUCUAAAUUGGAUCGAUCCGGAACAUGAACACCCCUGGUAAUCCCUUUGGCUUUAACUUCAACCACCCAACUACCUCAAAAUUGCAAUCACAUCAGGCACAUGGCGUUGCAUUCGCAUUCAUCCCCUGACUAUGAAAUGGAUUUCCUGGAAAUUGAUCUCCUUGGUCUGCAGGAACCCUAAUUAAAUGAAAUGGAUUUCCUGGAAAUUGAUCUCCUUGGUCCACAGCCUAUUUUCUCCGAGACCGUGCAACAUGUUGAAAAACUGAAAGAUAAAUAUAAUUUAAAAUAUUUGAUCUCUUGUAACCAAGAAAUUAACUUUCAUAAUUCAUGCACUUUUGACUAAAUUUUUCUUUUGCUUUUUUAUGCUGUCCCACUGAGAUGAUCUCUUAUGCUCUUUUAUGUGAAUUGAAAUUAGAUUAGAUGCUUAUAAUUGGUUCAUCUUAUUUUUAUUUUUAUUUUUAUUUUAUUUUUGAAAAGUAAACUUCCUUUAGUUAGAUAGUUUUUUCUUGGCUAUUUUGUUUUGCAUGCUUUAAUCUUUUUUUUCUUUGAUUAUCCUUGCUGAUAUAUCAAAUCAUCCCUUUGCUAUUUUGCAGACUUUUUCAAGGUAUUUGGUUUCCUGAUUUUGACCAAACUGGACCAGUUUGUUUUGAAUUGGUUUUUGGUUUUUUCUAGAUUUUUUUUUCAAAAAAUUAUUGUUCCUGGUUUGGUGAAUUUUUUCUCCGAGACCGUGCAACCAAGAUACUGUUUGAUUUAAUUUAUUUUUUUUGAAUUUUUUUGGAUUUUAUAUUUUUUUUUUGGAUUCUUAGCUAUCUUUCCGUUUUGUUUUAGGAUAAUAAUUUUCUUACCAUGUUAAGGUCAAUUUCACGCCUAUAUAAAGACUUGUAAAUAUCCAGAGGACAAAAGUUAUCAAUUCGUUAUUUCAGAAAUAAAAAUAAGAUCUUAGGGUUCUUCGUGUUUUAAUAAAAAAGUUAUCCUUGUACGGCUUUCAACUAUAUCAAAAAGUCUACCCAUAAUUUUCAUUAAUUGUAUUUAAGAAUGGAGUUAUAGUUUGACUCACGGUGAUGAGGGAUGAAUGUUCAAUUUUGAAAACAUGACCUUUGAGUUUUAGAUAAUUAGACUCGGUUAAGAGGGUGGUGGCUCAGUUUUUUUUUUAUAAAAAAAAUCAAUGUAAAAUUUAUAAUAUUUAAUAUAAGAGCUUUAUAAUUAUUAGUUUGAAAAUAAUAAUAAUUUUGUAAAUUAUUAAAUGUUUUUUGUUGAUAUUUUUUAAAAUAAUAAUAAUUUUAUAUAUAAAUUAUUACGUGUGUUAGGGAGGACAUAAAUUGUCAUCAUAAAAUAUAAUUUCUGAAAAAAUAAAGAUAAAAUAACUAAACUACACAAUGAUCAAGUAAUUUCUCCUUUUUAAAAAAAUAUCAUAGAAACUUUUUAUUGUAUCUAAAAUGUCCUAAUUUACUUUUUGAAAAAGAUAGUCAUAGGAAAAACUUUAAAGAUUAGAGAAAUAAACAUGAUUAUUUAAUUUAAUUUUGUUUUUGAGUUUAUUUUCUUAAAAAUAUUUCUAUAAAUUCUUAUUAUUUUCAUUUUAACUAUUUUUAUCUAGACAAUAAUUAAGGGCGUUAUAUGUAUUAGAACAUGUUCCUAUAAAAUCGCCAAACUUUUAAAUAAUUCUUACAAUUUUACAGUACUUCGCACGAUUUUUGUGAUUCACCUUGGAACUUAUUAAUGCACGGUUUAUGGUGUUUUUUUCACGGUCAGUUUUAAAAUUUUGUUGGAAAGUUCUUGGAAUGCAAAAAUAUUUAUGUUAAAUAAUAUGGACUUGAUAAUUCAUUAAAAAAUAUGAAUCACUCAAUUGUGUGGCCCUGCUCUUGACAGGAAGAUCCGUAAGAAAAUCAUUGGAAACUUACCAGUACGAGUUCUUGACCUCAAGAAACCGGAAAAAAUUCGAAGUCAUUGGAAUAAAAAGAAAGAAAAGGGCUUUGGAAGUUGGUUACUAAGAUACUAGAAGAAGAAAAAAUAUUGGGCUUGGCUGGAUCUUGUGCCUCUUUAGCCAACACGUAAGUAGAAAUUAAACACAAGGUUUGUUUCGUCUAGAUUCGUGAAAUACUCGUAGAAAUUUGGUGUUUUCUGAUUUCUAAGUAGAAUUGUACUUGUUCCAGCUUGAAAUUACUAGUUGGUAGAUUUAAUUGCCAAAUUUCUUGAUCUUACCUUCUGUUUCAUGUUUGAGCACAGGAGCAGGCCUUAUACAAAAUAGCGUGGAAAGCAAUUGCUGAACCAAGCGAGCAAGUUGAGGCCAGAAGGGAUCGGUACUAGUUUAUCGCUAUAGGGAUUUUCAUGGCUUCCACCAGCGUGAAAGGAAUAACCUCAUCUUCAUCUUCAUCUUCUCCUCCUCCACUAUAUAUGCAUGAUGUGUUCCUUAGUUUUAGAGGCAAAGACACCCGGGACAACUUUACUAGUCAUCUAUAUUCUAAUCUGAAACAGAGAGGCAUCGAUGUGUACAUGGAUGAUAGGGAGCUCGAGAGAGGAAAGACCAUCGAACCUGCUCUCUGGAAGGCCAUCGAAGAAUCAAGGUUUUCUGUCAUUAUAUUUUCAAAAGAUUACGCUUCUUCACCAUGGUGCUUGGAUGAACUUGUCAAGAUUGUUCAGUGCAUGAAAGAGAUGGGGCAAAGUGUUCUGCCAGUUUUUUAUGAUGUGGAUCCCUCAGAGGUAGCCGAGCAGAAAGGGCAAUAUGAGAGAGCCUUCGUUGAGCAUGAACAAAAUUUCAAGGAAAACUUGGAGAAGGUCCGGAACUGGAAAGAUUGUCUCUCUAUGGUGGCCAAUCUAUCUGGCUGGGACAUACGGAAUAGGUAAAUCAUCUAUCUACUUAUUCUUAUUCUCAAAUCCUCCCUGUAUUGUUUCAAUGAUGAUCAUAGCUUUUUUUUUCAAUGUUUUUCAAUUUAAACGUGUGAUUAAAUAUCGAAAUAAUCACAAUACAACAAGAAUAUCAAAACUAAUUCUUGAGUAAAUAAUUAUUAGUAUAUAUUUUUGAUUCAUUAAACAGCUUUUUAACGACCCUUUUGUCUAUGAUCAACCUAUUUUUUCUUUAAUUUUGACUUUUAAAAUAAAAGAGGAGCACGUCUCAAAUCUCAAUUGUCACAGUUUUUAUAAAAUAAAAAUUGAAAACAAAUUAAAAAAAUUCUUGAACUUUUUGCUAAUUUCUAUUAUUUAAUAGAUCGAAUCAUAAAAUUUCAAUUAUCUAAAUUGAAUUUAUUGAGGCAUCUUUAGAAAAAGUCAAUGUUACAAAGACACUUUUAGUAUCACCCCAGGCUUAUUCGUACUUUAUUUUUUGUGAUAAAAAAAAAAAAAAGAAGAAGUGGUUGGCUUAUCUAUAGAACAUACAAGCGAGCAGCACGAGCAAUUGUUUCCGACACCUAAAAAAGACCUUCAUUGAUGUUUUCUGAUUCACCACGACAUGAUCUACCUCCCUGAGUGGCACGUGUGGAGUAAUUCCUUCGGGUUUGAUGUUAGAUGAUUUUUUUUUUCUUUUCUGUUUCCUCACGCAACAUUCUAAAAUUUUACAGCAGCUUUUCUAUUUAUUUUUUUAUAUAUAUAUUUGAUUUAUUUUCUUUUAAUUGAUAUUUUUUUAUAUGAAUUAUUUUAUAUAAUUGAAAUUUAUUUUUAAUUUUAUACCUUUUUAAUUUUUAAUUAAUUAGAUUUGAUUCUUAUUUUUUUAUUACUAUUUAUUUAAUGUGAGAUUUAUUUUUUGCGAUUUUAUCCUUUAUUUUUUAUUUUUCUGUUUUUUUUCUUAAUAUUUUUAAAGUGUUUUUCUAGUAUGUAUUGAAUUUUUUACUUUCAAAUAUUAUUAUAUUUUAAAGGUUAGAAAAAAAUAAUACAACCCUGCAGCUAAAAAUCUGGUUAAAGAACUACACAUUGAAGUGAAGUUUUCAAGUGGCAACUUAUCAUUUUAUAAUUUUUGAAGGGUUAUUUAGUAUUUUUAAUAGCUUACUUUGUAUGGUUCAGUUUUGAAGGCAUGACAGAUAAUAUAUAUAUACACACACGCGCACACGCGCACACUUGACACAUACAGGUCUCACAUGUCAAAAAAAUCUUCCUAUCUUUUUUUGUUGGGUUGGUCCCUCAAUUUUUAUAUUUAGUUAAUUUUAAUUCCAAUUAUUUCAUUUAUUAUUUUGAUAAAAAAAAUAUAUGAACAAAAGUUAAUAUUUAUUUCAAACGAUCGCUAAAAAAUAAGUUUAUAUUAAUGAAAUGAUCAUUAUAUUGAAAUUAAUAUUAAGAUUGUAUAAAAAUUAAAAGACCAAAUAAAAGAUUAAAUAGAGAAGAAAAGCAUAUGUGAUACAUGUGUAUCUCAAGGUGCGUGAACCAAUUAAACUUAUGUUAGUCUGGGAAAUUAAUUUACAACAUAAUCAUUCUUAUCAGGGCCCUAUCUUUCUCAAAGGUUGGUGUAUUAAUUUCCGGCUAACAACCAUACAUUUUCGAGCUAAAAUAUGCUAAUGUUUAUUUUCCUCUUAUCACUAUCUGAUUUGAUUUCUGCACACCGCAUGAUUAAUGUUUUGCACCCUCCUAUGCAGGAAUGAAUCGGAAUCAAUUAAAAUAAUUGUUGAAUACAUAUCGUACAAACUAAGCGUCACUCUGCCAACAAUUAGCAAAAAAUUAGUUGGAAUAGAUUCUCGUGUAGAUGUAUUAAAUGGCUAUAUACGUGAAGAAGUAUGCAAAGCAAUCUUCAUAGGGAUCUGUGGAAUGGGUGGCAUAGGUAAGACGACUGUUGCACGGGUAGUAUAUGAUAGGAUUCGUUGGCAAUUUGAAGGCAGCUGUUUCUUAGCAAAUGUCAGAGAAGUUUUUGCUGAGAAAGAUGGACGACGUCGUUUGCAGGAACAACUUCUUUCUGAAAUCUUAAUGGAACGUGCUUCUGUAUGGGAUUCUUCUAGAGGGAUUGAGAUGAUAAAGCGGAGGUUACGACUUAAAAAGAUUCUUCUUAUCCUUGAUGAUGUAGAUGACAAAGAACAACUAGAAUUCUUGGCUGAGGAACCUGGAUGGUUUGGUCCAGGGAGCAGAAUUAUCAUAACUAGCAGAGACAAAAAAGUGGUAACUGGAAAUAAUAAUAAUAGAAUUUAUGAGGCUGAGAAAUUGAAUGAUGAUGAUGCUCUUAUGUUAUUUAGCCAGAAAGCUUUCAAAAAUGACCACCCUGCUGAAGAUUUUGUGGAACUAUCCAAGCAAGUUGUGGGUUAUGCUAAUGGCCUUCCACUGGCUCUUGAAGUUAUAGGUUCAUUUUUGUAUGACAGAAGUAUCCCUGAAUGGAGAGGUGCAAUUAAUAGAAUGAAUGAGAUUCCUGACGGCAGAAUUAUUGAUGUGCUUCGUGUUAGUUUUGAUGGCCUCCAUGAAUCAGAUAAGAAGAUAUUUUUAGACAUUGCAUGUUUCCUGAAGGGGUUUAAAAUUGAUCGAAUAACAAGGAUACUUCAAAGCCGUGGAUUCCAUGCAGGUAUUGGAAUACCAGUUCUUAUUGAGAGAUCUCUCAUAAGUGUCUCUCGGGAUCAAGUUUGGAUGCAUAAUUUAUUACAGAUAAUGGGUAAGGAAAUUGUUCGUUGUGAAUCCCCUGAAGAGCCUGGAAGGCGCAGUAGAUUGUGGACAUACGAGGAUGUCUGCCUUGCACUGAUGGACAACACAGUGAGUAGCUGAUAGAGAACGCUAUUCAUAAGAUUUCAUAAAAUUUAUUUUAAUUUAUGCUCCAUCUCUAAUUUGUAUUUGUUUUUUUACUUAUAUUCUGUUUUGGUUGACAGGGAAAAGAAAAAAUAGAAGCCAUAUUCUUUGACAUGCCUGGAAUAAAAGAGGCACAAUGGAACAUGAAAGCCUUCUCUAAAAUGAGCAGACUAAGAUUGCUCAAAAUCGACAACGUGCAGCUUUCUGAAGGACCUGAAAAUCUUUCCAAUAAGUUGCUUUUUCUUGAAUGGCAUUCUUACCCUUCAAAAUCAUUGCCAGCUGGUUUACAGGUGGAUGAGCUAGUUGAACUUCACAUGGCUAACAGUAAUCUUGAUCAAUUAUGGUAUGGGUGUAAGGUGAGAUCAACUAAUUUAAAAGCCUUUGUAUUUCUUUUUAUCGUUUUCCUAUAUAUAGUAGUGUCCAAAUUUCUUCUCCCCUGCCUGAUUGCAGAGUGCUUUUAAUUUGAAAGUCAUCAAUCUCAGCAACUCACUACACCUGACCAAGACUCCAGAUUUUACUGGAAUUCCAAAUCUCGAGAGUCUGAUUCUUGAAGGUUGUACAAGUUUGUCUGAGGUCCAUCCAUCACUCGGAUAUCACAAGAAGCUUCAAUAUGUGAAUCUUAUGGAUUGCGAAAGUGUUAGGAUUCUUCCAAGCAACCUUGAAAUGGAAUCACUUAAAGUUUGCAUUCUUGAUGGAUGCUCAAAACUUGAGAAGUUUCCAGAUAUAGUAGGAAACAUGAACUGUUUGAUGGUGCUUCGUUUGGAUGGGACAGGUAUUGAAGAACUGUCUUCAUCAAUUCAUCAUUUGAUUGGCUUAGAAGUAUUGAGCAUGAAAACCUGUAAGAACCUUAAAAGCAUUCCGAGUAGCAUAGGUUGCUUGAAAUCCCUUAAAAAACUUGAUUUGUUUGGCUGCUCUGAACUUGAAAAUAUACCAGAGAAUUUGGGGAAAGUUGAAAGUUUGGAGGAGUUUGAUGUAAGUGGAACUUCAAUAAGACAACCGCCAGCAUCCAUUUUUCUUUUAAAGAAUCUUAAAGUAUUAUCUUUUGAUGGAUGCAAAAGAAUAGCUGAGAGUCUCACGGAUCAAAGGUUGCCUUCUUUGUCGGGUCUGUGUUCUUUAGAAGUACUGGAUUUAUGUGCUUGCAAUCUAAGAGAAGGGGCACUUCCUGAAGAUAUUGGCUGCUUAUCUUCAUUGAAGUCUUUAGAUCUGAGCCGGAAUAACUUUGUUAGUCUGCCUAGGAGCAUAAAUCAGCUUUCUGGACUUGAAAUGCUUGCCUUGGAGGAUUGCACGAUGCUUGAAUCAUUGCCUGAGGUUCCAUCAAAAGUUCAAACAUUAAAUUUGAACGGUUGUAUACGCCUAAAAGAAAUUCCAAAUCCGACAGAGCUAAGCAGUUCCAAAAGAUCAGAGUUCAUAUGUCUUAACUGCUGGGAAUUGUACAAUCAUAAUGGCGAAGACAGCAUGGGGUUGACGAUGCUUGAAAGAUACCUCGAGGUAUUCUCUUAAUCAUACCCCCAACCUUUUUGUAUCUCUCUCCCUCUCCCUCUAUCUAUCUAACAUUUUUGUUUUUCAUGGUACAGGGUUUGUCUAAUCCAAGACCUGGAUUUGGUAUCGCUAUUCCAGGAAAUGAAAUUCCAGGCUGGUUUAACCAUCAAAGUAUGGGAUCUUCAAUUAGUGUGCAAGUGCCUAGUUGGAGCAUGGGGUUUGUUGCAUGUGUUGCAUUUAGUGCAAAUGGUGAAAGUCCUUCUCUUUUUUGUCAUUUCAAAGCCAAUGGAAGAGAGAAUUAUCCUUCGCCGAUGUGUAUUAGUUGUAACUAUAUCCAAGUUCUGUCAGAUCAUAUUUGGCUAUUCUAUCUAUCUUUUGAUCAUCUUAAAGAGCUUAAAGAAUGGAAGCAUGAAUCCUAUAGCAACAUUGAGUUGUCAUUUCAUUCUUUCCAGCCUGGAGUAAAGGUGAAGAACUGUGGUGUCUGUUUGUUAUCUUCUGUAUAUAUUACACCACAACCAUCUUCUGCCCAUUUUAUUGUUACAAGCAAAGAAGCAGCUUCUUCAUUUAGAGCUUCUUUAACUUUUUCUUCGUCGGACCAUCAAUGGAAGGCCACUGUUUUCCCUGAGAUUGCAGACACUAGUCGUAGACCUUUAAAGUCAAAUCUAGCCCAGAGAUUCAUUGUCCCAGUCGAGAUGGAACCAGAGAAAGUAAUGGCAAUUAGAUCAAGACUCUUUAAGGCCAUUGAAGAAUCAGGGCUGUCAGUUAUUAUAUUUGCAAGAGAUUGUGCUUCUUUACAUUGGUGCUUUGAAGAACUUGUCAAGAUUGUCGGAUUCGUGGAUGAGAUGAGAUCGGACACUGUGUUUCCAGUUUCUUGUGAUGUCGAACAAUCAAAGAUAGAUGAUCAAACAGAGAGUUACACAAUUGUCUUUGAUAAGAAUGAAGAAAAUCUCAGGGAAAACGAGGAGAAGGUGCAAAGAUGGAGGAAUAUUCUCAAUGAAGUUGAAAUUUCAUCUGGAUCGAAAAGGUAAUAAUUACUUCUUUUUUGUGUGUGUAGCUCGACUUAUCAACCACUUCAAGUAAAUGAAACUAGGAAUGCUGGAAUAUCGACUUUCAGAACUUAAUGUUAACAAAUCUGUUUUUUUUUCUUGUUUUUUUCAUGGGAAAAACACCGUGAAACUUUUUUUUUCAAGGUAGAUUAUGAAUUUCAGAAAAAUUAAUAUUAAACUCAUUGGAUUUAUGGUCUGGAUUAAACUUACAUGUUUUAAUGUGGAAGAUAUUGUUUACUUUAUUUUUUUUUAGGUUUGUUAUAAAUUCAAAGGGAAAAAAAUAUUGAAUCGGUUGAGUAUAUAAUCUAGAUCACGAGUUUUUUUUUAAUAGUUGAGUAUAAAUUUAAGAAAAAAAAAUUUCAACCCGGUUGAGGUUUUUUUUAUAAAGAUUCAUCUUUUCAUGAUGUUGUGCAUUUUUAACUUUUGAAUUUUUUUUAAAGUUGAAUAUAAAUUUAAGAAAAAAAAAUUAUUGAACCUCAUUGAAUUCAUGAUCCGGGUCAUAUAUUUAAUUUUUUUUAAGGUUUAAGGAAAAAAAUAUUGAACCCAGUUGAGUUCAUGAACUGAGUUACGAGUUUAACGAGUUAAGCCACAAUAACUGGAUAAUUAUUUUUUUUUUCUAAUGUUGUUUUUUAUUUACUGAUAUCUUUUUUUAUAUAUCCCUUUUUAGAUAAUUUUCAAUUUAUUUUUCAAUUAAUAUCACUAAUAUGUGAUUUGUUUUGUUUAUUUAAUCUUUUUUAAUAUAAAUUGUUUUUUUUAAUAGUGUUGUAUGUGUUUGUUUUUAAAGGUUGAGUAUAAAUUUAAGAGAAAAUAAUAUAGAGUCUGGUUGAGUUUAUGAUCUGGGUCACAUGUUUAAUUUUUUUUUUUAUUAAAGGUUGAAUACGAAUUUAAAGGGAAAACAAUAUUGAACCCGGUUGAAUUCAUACUCCAAAUCACGGAUUUAACGAGUUAAGCCACAACAACUAAACAAUGUUUUUUUUUUUUCUGAUAUUUUUUAUAUAUCUUUUUUAAAAUAUUUUUAAAUUUAUGUUUUAAUUAAUAUUCCUCAUUUGUGAUUAUUUUUUUGUUUAUUUAUUUAUUUUUGGAUAGAUUUUUUUAUGUUGCUGUUCGUAUUUAAUUUUUGAAAAAUUUAUUAUGAUUCAUAAAUAAUUUUUUUAAUCUUUUUGUAUAAAAGAAUUUUAUUUUAAAAAAUAAAAAAUAUUUAUUUUCAGAUAACAUAAUAUGGACAACAAUCUUGCAUAAUAUUUUUUUCUAUUUUUAUUUUAUUUAAUCAAUUUAAUAUGUGUGUUUUUUUUUAAUAUCAUUUGAUUGAAUAAAAAUAUUAAUUUUAAUAAAUAAAUUCAAAAAAUAUAACUGUAUAAAUGUUAUGUUAUUAACACAUUUGAAUUUUUAAAUUUUUUUAUGUAUAAAAUUGCAUAAAAAAACAUGCUUGCACAACUUUUGUGUAAGAGAAAAAAAUAUUUGAUCUAUAAAAGAGCAUCAUCUUAUUUUUUUUCACAAACAUCUUGCAAAAAAAAAAAGGGUUAGUGGGUGUGGGCCCUAACAAAAUGCAGCAAUUGGAUUGGCUUGACUUACUAGUCCCAUCAACGCUUGGCUUUUGCUUUUUUUUCUUUUAUAUGUUUUUUUUUAAAUUAUAUUUAGAUUACCAUCCGUUCUCUUUUUUAUGUUGUUUAGAGAUCCUCUUUGAAAUGAUGGUUAUUUUUUAGUUAUGUAUUUAAUUUUUGAGAAAAUUUUUCUGAUUCAUUUAUAAUUUUUUUAAUCUUUUGUAUAGAUAAACUUUAUUCUUGAAAAUAAAAAUUUUUAUUUUCAAAUAAUAUUUCUAAUAUGUGCAGCCUUGCAUAUUAUUUAUUUUAUUUUAUUUUAUUUUAUUCAAUCAAUUUAAUGUGUAUAUCUAUUUUUAUUAUCGUUUGAUUGAAUAAAAAACUUGUUUUAAAUAAUAAAUUUAGUAAAUACAAUCGCGUAAAUAUCUCUUCUUUCAAAAUUAAAUAUUUUAAUCUAUACUUGUUUCUUGAUUUUUCCACUUUUAUUUUUAGUUAUAGUUUAUGGUUGUUUUUUUUUUUUUACUUAUUAACACACAUAAUUCUUGAUUUAUUUGAUUAUAUUUAUGCAUAUUUUUUUUUAUUUUCACUUAGAAUUUUUUAAAUACAAAAACAUGUUGAAAAAUCUAUUUGUUAAUUUUUUAUUAAACUUUUUUUUUAACACCCAACAAAACAUGUAACAUCGAUUCCAUGUACAGUUUGACUAUACCUAAACUGCAGCAGCUGCUCCAGCAGCACCAGCAGCUGCAGCUGCUCGAGCAUAAGCUAAUGCUCGAGGAGCAGCAGCUCCAGCAGCAGUGGCAGCAGACAUGGUGGCGGCAGCAGCAGCUCGACGAGGAGCUGCUCCGGCAGCAGCAGGUGCUCCAGCCGGUGCUGAGGCAGCAGCAGCGGCGGCAGCAGCAGCUCCAGCGGCGGCAGCAGCAGGGGCUACAGCAGCUGCAGCACCUGCUCCAGCAGCAGCAGCUACAGCAGCAGCUCCCUUGGUUUUGGUCAGGAAUUAACUUGCUUUAGCUUGAAGAUCUUCGUCAGUUUUUGCUCAUGGUUUUGGUUUGGGGUAAUUAGAUUCACUUUUUACUAUGUAUGGAUUUUCUUCUUAAAUUUAUGAUAAUCCCAUGUUUGCGGAUGGAAGGAUUGUUUCCAUAUUAAAACUUUUACAAAGCGGAAAGCCCGUGCUCUGGAAAAUUUCAACCAUUAUUUUGGAAUCGCCAGUCUGCCUAUUUUUUUAACUCUGGUUUUGGGUGUAUGUGUUACAUUUAAAUUAAAAACAAUAUAUAUUUCUAAAAGAUAAAACCAAUAAUUUCAUAUCAAUAUGAUUUUUUUUCAUCAAUUUCAUUCAGAAUUCUUUGAAAUUAAUUUUUUAUUUAUCUAUAAUUAAUUUUAAGUAUUUUAAUAUUUCAUGUUAUAAUUAAUAUUCAUGCAAAAAAAUAUUUUUCAACAAAAUCUUAACUCAUUAAUUUAGUUUUUGAUUAAAAUUUAAAUACAAUAACUACGUUUUAAAACUAAUUUCUCCUAACUGUCAAAUAAUCAAUUCAAUCCAAUAGCUUAAAUUGUUAGGUGAUGUCUCACAAUAUUAUUUAUAUUAUUCUCUAACACCCCUCUCAAGUGAAAGUAUUUUGGACUUGAAUUUGCUUAAAGCCACAUUAUGUUGUGUUUAAUUUUUAUUAAAUAAAUAAGAAUGAUGAGAUUUGAACUCAUGAUCUUUUAGUCAUCAAGACUCUGAUAUAAUUUAACUCGGUAGCUUAAACUAUUAAAUAAAAUUUCAAAAUAUAAUUUAUAUUAUUCUCUAAUAUCAACUAAAAACAUUUUACAUUCAAAAUACAUGAAAAUUGAUCUUACAUGCGACCAAGCUAUAUGUAUGCAUUCUAAUCAUUCUAAACAAUUCUCACAAUUCUUUAUUUUAAGAGUUGGUAACAGAUUUUUUUUAAAAUAAUUUUCAUUUAAAAAUUUAUUAAAAUAAUAUUUUUUUUAUUUUAAAAUUUUUUUAAUAACAAUACAUUAAAAUAAUAUAAAAAUACUAAAAAACCUUAAUCUAAAAUAAAUAAAAAACUUAAUUUUUUUAAAAAAUAUUUUUAAAAUACAAAAAUAAACAUAAACUCUAAAUACCGACAACGUAUCAGAUCAAAUCAGGAGGAAAGGCGGCAUCUUUAAUUUGUUACUUUUACGUAAAAAGUGUUUGUUAGCUAGCUGCUGUCAAAACCCUGCAAUAUUGGAAAUUAAAGUUUGCUGGUAGUAAUUUUAGGUUAUAUCUUUGGUGAACAUCUUGGAUUCAAUUUGCCAAAUUCUCAGUUAUUCUUGAAUUAACAUACAAUGAAUAAAUCCUCAGUUAUUCUCAAUUUGCCAGAAACAGAGUCCUUCAAUUUUCCUUCUUUUGAAAAUGAUUUGUAAAUAAGCUGAAUGUUUUUUCUUCCUCUAUAUUUGUGGUUGGAUUGCUCCAACUUCACUCACUAUUUUUAAAUUCAAUAAAAAAUGGUGUUUGAUUAUUAUUUUAAAAAAAUAAAAACAGAGAAAAUAUAUGGAUAUAUAAUUUAUGUUUUGGAUUUUAUAUAUUUCCUUUUAUUUUUUAGUUAUAUAUAUAUACUAAACAAACACAACAUACAUGUAAAUAUAAAUUCAAAAUAUCUUUACUCUAAUAAAAAAAAUUAAUUUAGUAACAAUUUUUUUUUGUAUAAGCCUGACAAAUUGUCGCUUUGGUAGGCAUGCUUUUAAAUAGAAUAUGAAUUUCGGAAGGUAUUUCUUUAGUGAUUGGCACCAACAAUUUUUAUUAUUAAUAGCUUUAUAUUUACAACUAUAUAAACACAUAAAUAUUAAUAUAUAUAAUCACUUACUCCAAAAUUGGACUCGCUUCGUUUGUAACAAAAAUAAUAAAAUUUAAUUCUACAUUCCUAAUUAUGCUCUGCAAAUUACAAACAACAAAGAUUAAUAAAAUUAUAUGCUAAAAUUAUUUUUCUUUGUUAUUUCAAAUUGGCCCAACUUUAGGAGGAGGCUACAUGCUAACCCUGGAAUAGGGUCAAGGAAGCAUAGGGUCUUAAGGAGAAGGCAAGUGAAGAUUGAGGCGGAAGCAUGGGAACUGGCAACGAAAGAAUAUAAGGAGCUUUUGAAGGAUAUGUGUGAUCUGUUGAAGAGUUGAUUAGAACGGGGAAGAGUAGGCAGGGUUAUGCUCCGUAUUUUGAUCUGUUGCCAGCUGACAAGAUGUCUGUUAUUGCAAUGCAUCAACUCGCAGCAAUGGUAAUGACAGGUGGGGAACAUGGAUGUGCAAGAGUUGGGACUGCUGCUUGUAUGAUUGGUGAUGCAAUUGAGCAGGAGGUAAGUAAUUUUUAAUGUUUUAUUUGCUUACUUUUACUUGCGGUUUGAUUUGUAGACAGGAUAAUGAGUGCCCGUAUAAAAAUAUUGAAAGAUAAGGGAAAACAUAAAGUUUCUUAAAUUUAUUUUUAGACAACCUUCAUCUGAGGUGAUGAACUAGGACGAAAGAUGAAAGUUACUAUGUACAAUUAUCAGAUAAAAAUCAGCUAUGGAGCUAGUAGUGCCUGGAAAUUAGAUUUUGAAGUUACGUUCCGUAAAGUUUUGUCGAAUGUUGAAUGGGGUUUUUCUGGAUUUCUUUUUUAUAUAUUAUUAGUUUUUUCUUUGAGUCCAAGUUCUUCUGCUGUUCAUAGUUCCAGGGAGGACACUAAAUGCAGGUAGGAAAAACAAUGUAGUGUAAGAUCCUUUAGAUACUAAGUUUUUACAAUUUUGUCAUUAUGUAUCAAACUUUUCAUAUCACGGGCCUUAUUAAGGUGAAUAUUCUAUUACGCCUUUCUUUUUUGAGCUACAAUUUCUUCAAAGCAUGGACAUGGUGGACUCAUAAGAGUGACAUUUGAACUUUCCUUUGUCAGAGCUCAUCUCAUGUUUGGACAUUGUUUCACUAUGCAUUUCCCUGUUGGGGAUAGAAAUUAUCUUUAUCAUUUCAAUUAUGUGUGUUCUUGUUUGUGCCUUUGUUUAAGUUUUUUACUUAGUUUAGACUUUAAAGGCACGCGUGACACUUUGCUCUACUGUCUCUUCUGACUAUGGGAGUUCCUUCCUCUUUUCUUUUCCUUUUUUUUUAAGAAAAAAAGGACUUUAGAAUGCAGAGAUAUUUAAGUAUACCAUUCUUAAUCCAUGUUUUGGACCUCCUAACUCUUCAGUCUUGUUCUCUUUCUUUGAACUGAGGACUGAAUCUGUAACAGUUUCUGUGAUGAAACAGAUUAGAAUACACAAUAUCUUGGAGAAAACAAGGAAGAAAAAGGAAAAAGGCUAAUGACAGCAAGAAUGGUGUAGAAGGUGAAUCCCCUGUUGUCAUGAAGGAACAAGAAAACCUAAGAAAAAAGGUUACUGAUUUGAUUAAAAAACAAAAGCUGCCAGCUGUGACGAAGAUUGUGAAGGGGAAGGAUGAUUCAAAACCAUGGAAUGCAGAUGCUAGGGCUAAGGUUUGUAUGCUUGUAAUCAUUGAUAAAGGCUAAUUUUCUUGAGCAAAUGUAUCGUGUGCAAAUUUGAUUUCUGUCCUUGCACUUUGAAGGUUGGAAGCCGUCUAAUUGAAUUGCUUGCUGUUACAAACAGCUUAUAUACAGCCUCCCUGUGAUCAGUUAGCUGAUAGUCCAUCUGAACCUCGACCUGCAUUUGUACAUACGUUCCGAACUGUGUCGUAUGAAAAUAAGUAUGGGGUCAUUCUUUAAUUGACUCGAUGAGCUCAAUUUAUCUUUUCUUCCUUGUAAUUGCUUCUAACUGAUGCACAAUGGCCUUUUCUUAAACAGGAAGGGCGCAAAAAAAUAUGGUGUUAUUCAAUGUGACCCAUUAGUCCUCAAAGGCCUAGAGAAAACUGUGAGUAACCCUGUCAUAUUUUAUUCUUCUAGUGAUAUCUAGUUUUCAUAUUUUAUCAUCCUUUAUGACAUGAACUUGUGUUGGGGUGCCAUAUACUUUCACAGCAGAUAGGUUAGUUUCUAGAUUUUAGAGCUGAAACAGAUAAGAUUUGCAGGCAAUUUCCAUGGUGCCUCUUAAGCUGCAGAUGUUUGUCUUUCAUUCUUUUUUCUUGCACAAGAAGUCAUAAAAACGUUGUUUCUCCAAACAGGCUAGGCACAUGGUGAUUCCUUAUAUGCCAAUGUUGGUGCCACCACUUAGAUGGAGAGGGUAUGUUAACUUGUUUAUAUUUACAGUUUUGCCACGAUUGUCUUGUUUUAAUUUUAUUCCAAGUUCAGAAAUAUUAACAUAGUGUUUUGGUUACUUCUGCUUGAUGCCUGGAGCUGUUUUCAAUUUUCAUGUCAAGUUAAAUGCUUAAAAUGGUAUAAUAGAUGAAGGGAUGAAUCUCUGAUUAUAAAGACUGGAAUUCCAAUCCCAAUUUCAUUUAAUUGAAAUUAACAUUCCAGCAUAUUUCAAGGCUCUGCCUCUCCAUUUCUGUAAUCUCCAUUGGAAGGGAAACUAAUUGUCUUACAGGUGUUUAUUGAAAACAUUGUUGAAUGUGAGAUAUGAGAUGGAAGGGUUUGUCUAGGAUUCUCAACAAAACAGAGAACACUGUCUUUAAACAUUAAAGAGCAUUUCCUAAUCACAACCACGUCUAAUACGGUAAAAUUAACAUUAUUGCCACAGGCAGGAGAAUUUAGGGAUUGCUGUGGAAUUCUUUAUUAUAAUGUUUUUGAUGUUAAAGGGAGAGGUAUACUUCAUGGAAAAGAAUGAUUGGCAGUUAGAGAUAAAAUAUAGAGAAAGAAAAAGUGUUAGGUUUUCUACAAGGAUGCUAUGGUGGAUUAUUUUAGCGCAAGAAAAGACAAGAGUAUCGAAUUGUUGUUUUCAUGUGAAGUCAGACAUGUAGUUAAUUUAGGAUUGGGAUAGUAUAUAGAGAACUUGAUUGAAGUAGUUUAGUUUCUUUAGGUGAUGAUUCGGAUACAGGUAUUUAUUUCAAAUUUCAAAUGUGCCAGAAGCGCACGGGGACAACACAUGAUUACAUGGGAGAAAUGACGCAGACGGAUCUCUGCAGUCAAACUGAGAUUUUUGAACCUUAUUGUUUUUCAUGGACUUUGGUUAAGUUUUUCAUGAAUAGGUGAUCACAAUCCUCAUUGGAAAAACUACACAUGCUUUGGAAUAUGAAGAGGCCUCUAUAGCAGCUUCUGCCAUUCAACCUAUUGCCUUUAAAUCUGAUAAGCUCCCUGGUGCUUUUGGUUGUAAAUUGCCCAUUAGGACUAAGAUUCCUGGACACACUUUCUAUCUACAAAAAGAAAAGAUUUAAACCAGUGAUUGCACUCUGAAUAUCUUUAUUUGAUCAGAUCUAGCAUCAGACGAAAACCAUUUCAUGAAUUGAUCCUUAUAUUGGGAAAGAGCACUUUGUUUUCUAGCGAGUUUAUAGUGGGUCUUGGCUCUUUCACUCAAUCAUCAUCAAGUUGCAGGAGGCACAUUAGCAUAGUCCCCACUAAAAUUAAUUUUAGAUCCUUAUAUUUAAAUUUGGAAGAUUUAAAUAUUAACAUUUAUCACCUUCUGCGUUCUAUUUGUUUAACUGAAUAUAGAGCCACCUUGUUACACUUUAUUAUUAUGAAUAAUAAAAUAACUCCAAACUGCAUUUAUUGGAAGCUUCUGCGAUGUGCCCAUCAAAUACGACUAUAGUGAAUCCCUGGAUAAGAGAUUGUUGCUUUCGACUUUCCGACCGCCGUUGCAUAGCUCAUCACAGCCAUCCCCCCCUUUCAAAAACAGCAGCAGCUCCCAUUCCUGUGCCUGCAUUUAAUUAGUGACAGCAGUUAGCCAUAAGCAUACGUUUCCAGCAACACUCCACGCACCCAGAGAGAGAGGGAGAAGAAGAAUACCUAUGCACAUUGACACCACCCCGAAGCGACAGUCCCUGCCACGACGCUUCAUCUCAUGCAGUAAAGUAGCCACACAUCUAGCACCUGUAACAGUUGAUGAGGCAUGAAUUAGUCUCAGAAAAUGAUUAAACAAAUAACUGCUGCACCACAUAUUCAUGUGUAAAAUUAAAGAACAUAUAUUAAUGGAUUGAUAUCACAAAGAUCACCGUACACAACUCAAAAGUGAUGCUCUAUACAAGUCUUGAGCAGAUUUACAAGCACCAAAAACUGUUUCCACCACCGACACCGACACAACGCAAAACCCCUGAAUUUACCCAUGUUUGUGUCAAUUCAUUUAUGCACUUUUGACCAAAUUUUUCUUUUGCUUUUUUAUGCUGUCCCACUGAGCAGACCUUUUUUUUGUUCUUUCUUUUGUAUGAAAAAAAAAACUAAAUAAACUAAUUAAAAAAUAAAAAAAUAUUUAAAAUUUUAAAACUGAUUGAACUAGAUCAAGUCAUAGACUAGUUAUUUUUAUUAUAUUCCCAUUAUUAUUUAUUAUUCUAUAGAUUUUUCUACAUUGAAGCUUUUGAAAAAUUAACAUUGAUCAUGCUUUUUUAUGUUGUUCCACUGAGAUGACCCUUUUUUUUUUGUGAAUUGAAAUUAUAUUACAUGUUUGUAAUUGUUUCAUCUCAUUUUUAUUUUUGAAAAGUAAACUUCCUUUAAUUAGAUUAUUCUUAAUAUCAAAUUAUCUCUUUGCUUUUUCCAGGUCUUAUCAAGCUGUUUGGUUUCUUGAUUUUAAAUGAAUCUAAUUAAACUGGUUGAAUUGAUUUUUAGUUUAUUUCGGAUUAUGUUUUAAUGAAAUGAAUAGGACAUUAAACUCUCUUAAUAAUUAUCUUGCCUUUAACUUUAAUUAGUUAUCUCUUAUCACUUCAAGUUUCAUAAAUUUUACAACUACUAAUAAUUUAUGUAAUAAUUAAUUUUAAAGUCCGUAUAAUUAAUAAUGAAAACAAAAUUACAAUCACAUCAGGCACAUGGUUGCAUUCGCUUUCACCCCCUGACUAUGAACAGGAACCCCAAUUAAAUGAAAUGGAUUUCUUGGAAAUUGAUCUCCUUGGUCCACAGCAUAUAUCCUUGGUCUGAAGGAACCCCAAUCAAAUGAAAUGGAUUUCCUGGAAAUUGAUCUCCUUGGUCCACAGCCUACUCGGUUAACCAAGUCGGCUACCACUUGCAGCACAAUUCAUCAAAAAACGAUGUGAAUUAUCAUUUGACGUCAAACCAGGUGGAUUAUCAGCUGCAGCCACAAUUAUUUGAUGCAUAGCAAAAUAAUUAUUCAGAAUCACAGUACCUUGGCAGUCCUUUCCAGCCAACUUGAUGUGUUGUGUGCUAAUCCGAUGAAAAUCAAGAUCCCAAAGAGGGUGAUGCCGCUGAUGUAGUAGUUGCAAUGCCGAGGACUUUUAUGUAUAUAUAAUUAUCUAUAUUCUAUACUGUGUUUUUUAUUUUUAUUUUACUCGAUCUCAUAAUUAAAUUUUUGUUGCAUAAUUUUUAAUUAAUAAACAUGUAAUUAUAAAUGAAGGAAAGAAAAAAUUGGAUGGACUUGUUGGUUUCAAUUUUAUUUUUUUGGUUUUAUCUUUUUUAUUUGUUUUUUAAAGCCUUUUUUUAACUCUUAAUCAAUUCUUUAUUUUUUAUUAUUUUUUUAAGUAUAAAAGUAUAUUCCAAAGAAUAUUUUAAAGUAAUUGGGCAAAUAACAUUGUUAGCCACGGAGAGAUCAAUGGUAUGGACAAAAUAAUAGUAUAAUGAUUGGACUCAAAAACUUUCAAAGACAAAAUCAAUAGUAUACUAUACGAUCCCUCAAACUCAUUAACCCCUCACAACUCACUAACCCAAUUUCUCUUGUUUUUGGAUAAUUAAAAAGAAUCCAUUGUUUUGAAAAUUUUUUAUUUACUAUUUAAAUUUUUAUAAAAAAAAAUGGUUUGAUGAUAGAGGAAUCUGAUGGUUGAAAUUGUGUUUGGGAUUUAAUUAAAUUUUUAAUAAUUGUUUUUUUUUUAAAAAAACAUUUUAUAUUUUGUUACCAGGAUGGAGCUGUGAAAAUGAAGGGUUGUAGUGGCGAGGAAUGUUUUUUGGAUUUAAUUUAAUGUUUUUUUUUUUAAUCUCAGUUAAUUAUAUAAUUUUCUUAAGAUCAAUCUUUUAUUGAUUUUGUUUUAAUAAGGCCUCUCAUCUUUGAGAUUUAUUAAUCCAACUAUUCUUCUAUUAGUCCAUCCAUAUCGUUAGCCCUUUCCUCACUAAUGCUAUACUUUUGGUUAUUAAUUUUGAGAUAUUCUCUUCUAUGUUAAACAAAAAUUCAUAAAAAUAAGAAAUGGAUUAAUAAUUUAAAAGGACUAAAAAAAUAAAAAGAAUAAAUAAGAUUAAGGCCUACCAGUGAUUAAUUCUUUUCCCUCAAAUAUAAUUGAUCAUUUUAGAAAUUAAAUAGAAGAUUAAAUUAACUCAUAAAAGCACAAAAUUAACACUGUGAUCAAUUCACAUUAAAAAGAAAUAACUAAACUAAACUAAAACAGAAAAAACAUAUGCAUAUUUUCCCUUAUAUUUUAUCUUACGAAAAACCAAACACUAACAAUCAUUUAAUGUGCCCACAAUCUCUAUCACGACCACAAAAUUACUAAACGCCGACCGGAUAUUUCAUCAACGUUUAUACUUGCUAACAUUUUUUUUUGGCAGGAGGUUGAAGAAUGGGGACAUGGAACUUAUGUUUAUACUUAGAUCUUUAAAGUUCUAGGUGGGUUUGGCUUAUGACUGUUCUCAUACCUUUUUUUCUACAAUUCAUUGUACUAUGUUCCUUGAGGAAAUUGGAGUACUCAGUGGUGCAUACAAUGUAGUUAGUUGUAGUGUCACCUGUUAACACAAAGGUCGAAGUUAUUUUUAUGUGGCUAGAAUUAUAACUUUAGUGAACAAUUUCAUGUAAUGAAUGAUUUGUCGAAGGAGAUGGUGCUCCUGUAGUGGGGGAGAUCGUUACCUCUCCCUUGUCAUGUCAUUUCUAAGCUAUCAUAAAUGAAGCGAACUAGGAAAGAAAAGUAACUAAACUAGUUUUUGUUCAAGUUCCAACAGGAGAUGUUAUUGAUGAAGUUGAAAAAACUUCAAAUUAAACCUAGGUCUUUCCACAACUGGUGUAAUGAAUUUUGGAAUUUUUUAAGUUGGGUUAGGCUUGUGGAAUUCAUGAACUCCUAGAAAAUAAGUUUUUCAUGGGACAGGGAACUCUCUGGCAACUAAGUUAACAAACACACAUGAGAAAAAUAAUGUAUAACAAUGAGAAAAAUAAUGCACUUUUGUCCCUUUUUCUUUAUAUAUUUUUACUUUUGUUCCUUUAGUUUGAGCAUUUUAGGUUCUGGUUGAGGAGAGAGAAAGAGAAAGGUUGGCCACAAUUCGACAAAAAAAAAAAUUUCUUAGUAAUAAUGGGUUUCACUUGUGCCGAGAUUAGUUUCCUUGUGGUUUGCACUCUUCAUCUUAUAAAAAAAAAGAAAAGUAAAUCGAAGUUUGAAAGUUUUUUUUGAAUUGAAUGAUUUUUUAGUUUUUUGAUCGGUUAAAAGUUGUUUUGAUGUUUGAUAUGGAUUUACUAAGAAUUGUGGGGUUGUUUAUUAGGUAUUUUCAAGUGAAAAAUAACAAACAAAAAAUAAAUUUUUUUGGGUUCAAGAGAUUGAAACCUCACUUUCAAACCACAUAAUUUGGCCGGAAAGAUUACCAAUUUAUUUCCCCGCAAUACGAGAUCAAAUAUUUUAAAUUGCAUUUAUCUUCUAAUUUUUUGAUUUAAUAUUUAAUUAUUGUCAACAACUCUUUUUAAUAUUUAUCAGCGCAUAUGAUUAUCGAUUUAUUUAAUUAAAUAUACAUGUCAAAUUUUUAAUUCAUAGUUAGUUUUUUUAUACACUAGAAAAACAUUAACAACCCUUAUAUUUUUUUUACUAGAAAAAAUAAUAUUUGAUCUCACUUGCUGUGAAGUUGCUAGUUAGGUUAUCAUGUAUUGAAGUGGUUGAGUUUUAGAGGUGAGUAUGAUAGGUAAUAAUAUAUAUGUAUUUUGUUUCGAAACUUUAAUUUCAAUUUAAAACUAUUUAAAGUGGAUUAGAGUUGAUUUUGAAGUUAAAAAUGGGUCUAUAGAAACUAUUAGGAUGGGUUUGAGGUUUUUAUGCUGAAAAUGAUUGAAAAUGGCAUUUUGGAUACCUAUGGAUGGUGGCCCUCGAUUUUCUAGCUAUCGAAGCAUCGCUUAGAAAACAUAGUAGGAAUCAUCCCCACAGUAUAGCAUUGGCUAACGGAAACCAAUUGAUCAAGAAAGGGUUCUACGAAACUACAAAAUUAACCAUUGCCACUCAUCUUCUAGAGUGAAGGAACCCUUCUCCAGAUCUGGUCAUAGAUGAUUUCCCCAUCACAAGCUAUAAGUGCCUCUAUAUAGAACCCUAAUCCCGUCUCUAUGCUUCUUUGACAGCCUAUUAAAAAAGGUUCAAGAUUAGUCAUUUCAAAUGAGAGAAAAAAAAAACAAUCAUAAAGAGCGAAUCUUGUGAAAGUAAAUUAACGGUAAUUCUGGACGCAACGAAACCGAGAAAAAACAAAGGUAAAGUCUAGACAAGAGCGCGCGCAUAAACUAUUUAUUGAUGAGCUUGUUUGUAUCAGCAUAAAUAAAUAUCAAAGUAAUCCAAGCAAACUUUUGCAGAUUACGAAGAAUCUAAGUCGACAAAAAAGCUUUCAAUCAAAGUGUAUAUAUAUUUGAUAUAGAAUCAGUUGGUUAUUAUAGUAAUAAUUCCUUUUUAAUAUUUUAUUUUUAUUUUUAUUUUUAAAAAUUUAUUUUUCACAACAUAUUAAAACUAUCUAAAAAAAUACACUAAAGAAAGCAUAUUCUCCUCUCUUUUUUUUAAUGUUUUGAUAUGCAUAUUAAUUCAACAUUACAUAAGGCUUUUAUGAAUAAAAAGCCAUAAACAAAUGUGCAGCAGACAUCCAUCAAUGCAAGAAAAUGCCCAUUUUCAAGAACUCCAAGCAACUCCUAAAACCAGAACAAAACCCUCAAAUAUCAAAUCUUUAUAUGUUUCAAUAUCUAAAAAGAAGAAAAAGCAACAAUUUUCAAACUUUUUUCCUCUAUUUGAAAAAGGGGGUAAAAAAAAAAGCAAUAUAGGUCAUGGAUUUCUUCUUUUAUUUUGUUACAUGGAGAGUACUUAGAUCUCAUUAAAGCAAGCAAUUCAUCAAUCAUAAUCAAAACUCAAAACAAAGCAUGCAAGUAAACCAUGAAUAAUGUUGAUGGUAAAAAAUUAAAAAUGAUGUGUAAAUUGAGAUGGAGACCUAAAUAUAUAAAAAGACAAAAAAAAAAGAAUGCUGUAGUCAAAUUUUGAACAUCUAAAAGGCAUCUUGUGUGCGACUAUUUCCAUCACGACAGAAAAAAGAGAGGAUACUAUAUUCAUACAUCAAUCAAAGAAUGUGUGGAUCCAAGGAGAACAAUGAACAUCCAAGAGCAGAGUUUGAAAGUGAUGAAUUAAGAUUUUAUUUGUAUAUUUUUAUAAAAAUUCAAGAAAGAUUUAUAAGUUUAGAUUUUCAAGAAUAUAAACAUGCCCAAUGAAAACAUGUCAUGUUUGGCGCUAGCCAAAGCUGGGCACAUUGAACUUGACAAUGUGUCAAGUCCCGGACAUGCUAGGUCUGGUAGUGUGGAAUGACCUUCCUUCUUUGGGCAUAUCCAAGAUAAUGACUAUCCUUCCUUGGAUCUAAUUUAUGGGAAUAACUCAUCCUCUAUGAGCAUUAACUAUAUUUGAUAUCUUAAACUUUAAUUUUUCUAUAUCUUUUAGGUGUAUAAAAAUACUUCAAAAACCCAUUAUAUUUCCAUCAAAUAUUAAUAUAGAUAUAAGAGAUAUUUAUUCAUCAUUAAAUGUUAUCAAAGUCUCUUCAUAAAAGAACAAGACUUCUAGGCUAUAAAUACACAAUGAAACCUUCAGAACAGAGGUUCACAAUCUUUAUUUUUUACUGCAUAUAUAAUUUCAGAGUAUCUCUUUUUAGAAUAUUAUUAUAUUUUUUUCUUUUAAAAAAUAAUUUUUUAAGCAUCGGACUUCAUCAUGAAAGCAUGUUCAUAGCAAAAAAAAAAAAAAUUUGAUUCAGCAAAGCAAGUUAUAUUUGCUAAGUAGAAUUGUACAUGUUCCAGCUUGAAAUUGGAAAUUGAUGAUCAAAAUAGCAAGAGCAACACAAUCCAUAUACAUAGUGUGUUCAUCCAAAUCAAUUGGGAAUUGAUGAUCCAGAAAAAAGAGAGAAAAAAAAAAAAACAGGAAGCAUUACAAACAACGCCGUGCAUGCCAUAGAGGUGAACAUUUUUUUUUUUCUAACCAGUGAUUUCACUGCAUGUUUUAGCUUUUUGUUAAUUAGUAUAAAUAUUUAAAACAAAAAUAUUUUCUAACUUUUAGACUAAAUAUAUUGUUUUAAACAACAAUAAUUUAUACAUUAAAGGGUCUUUCCGAUCCUACUAGACCAGCAAAAUUAUAUAAAUAUUUAAAACAAAGAUAUUAAUAUGAUAUUUAUUAUAGAUUAUAUUUUAUUAUGCAUUUCAUUGUUAAAUUUUGUCAUCCAAUUUAUAAUUUGAAGUCAUUGCAGCAUAGCUAUUUGAAUAGCUAGAAUACCUUUUUUUCCUAUUAAAAUACUAUUUUUACAUUUCUAUGUUGAAAAAAACCAAAAAGCAAGGAGAAAGUAUACACACCCGUUAGCUAACAUAUCUUUAUUUACAGUUGGCAUUUGUUUCUCUCUUUAAAAACAGAACAAGAAGAAGAAAGAAGCCUGCAAACCUCAAUUGUGAUGUGUGUGGCCCAACCGCUGCUCUUGACAGGAAGGUGCCUCUGCUGCCCAGUGCGCGUUCGAUAUCCCUUUCAUUUCUCUUUUUGCUUUUUCUCCACCGAAACUCCAUCUUCUUUACAGUGUAAGAAAAAGAUCCGUAAGAAAAUCCAGGAAACUUACCGGUACGAGUUCUUGACCUAAAGCAACCGGCAAAAAUUCGAAGUCAGUGGAAUAAAAAGAAAGAAAAGGGCUUUGGAAGUUGGUUACUAAGAUACCAGAAGAAUAAACAGAUAUUGGGUUUGCACUUAGUGCUCAAUUAAGUUAUGGUGGCUACAUUAUCGAAGAGGUUGGAUUCAGUUUUGUUAUACAAGCACUAGUUUAUUAAACAUUAUUAAUUAAUAAUAACAUUAUUAAUUAAUAAUAACAUUAUUAUUAUUAUUAUUAUUAUUAUUAUUAUUAUUAAUGAAGAUUAAAAUUAAUAAAGAAAUAAAAGACCAUGAUGUUUUACUAUAGAUAGAUCGAAGCCUACAUGUAUUUUUUUUUAUUGUUAAUAGAAGAAUUGAUGCAUGUGAUAUCAAGAAUUAUAUACAAAAAUAAAUGUUAGAAUAUAAUAUUGAUGUAAAGUGAAGACUAAAUCAAGAAAAACUGAAAGAUAAAUAUAAUUUAAAAUAUUUGAACGACUUUUGCUUUUUUGCAGACUUUAUCAAGGUUUUUGGUUUCCUGAUUUUGACCAACUGAACUGUGGUGUCUGUUUGUUAUCUUCUCUAUAUAUUAUAUCACAACCAUCUGCCCAUUUUAUCGUUACAAGCAAAGAAGCAGCUUCUUCAUAUAAGACUUCUUUAGCUUUUUCUUCGUCGUACCAUCAAUGGAUGGCCAAUGUCUUCCCUGUCACCAGAGUCGCAGAUCUAGUCCCGAGAUUCAUUAUGCCAGUCGAGAAAGAACCAGAGAAAGUAAUGGCAAUUAGAUCAAGACUCUUUGAGGCCAUUGAAGAAUCAGUGCUGUCAAUUAUUAUAUUUUCAAGAGAUUGUGUUUCUUUACCUUGGUGCUUUGAAGAGCUUGUCAAGAUUGUCGGAUUCAUGGAUGAGAUGAGAUCGGACACUGUGUUUCCAGUUUCUUAUGAUGUCGAAGAAUCAAAGAUAGAUGAUCAAACAGAGAGUUACACAAUUGUCUUUGAUAAGAAUGAAGAACAUUUUAGGGAAAACAAGGAGAAGGUACAAAGAUGGAUGAAUAUUCUUAGUGCAGUUGAGAUAUCAUCUGGAACGAGAUCAUUAAAAAGGUAAUAAUUACUUCUUCUUUUUUUGUGCCAGAUGAUAUCUCAAUUGCCAAAAAAAAAAAAGUAAAUGAAACUGGGAAUGCUGAAAUAUAGUGUUGCUUUUAGAACUUAAUGUUAACAAAUCUAAUCUAUUUAUUUUUAUGACCAUAUUUAGGAAAUAUAUUUUUGAAAGUUAAAUACUUACAUGAGUUUUAAAUUAUAUAGUAAAUUAUUCAUUUCAUAAAUGAAAAAUUUAAACUUUAUAGUUUAAUGGGAAAAAGAAUGUUUAAUUUUCACGUCUUUUUUAUCCAAUCUAUUUUUUUAUGACAAUUUUACCUGAGCUGCGGCUGCGGCUGAUGGAGCUGCGGCUGCUGGAGCAGCUGCCGCUGCUGCCGCAGCUGCCGCAGCUGCCGCUGGAGCUGCAGCGGAAGCAGCUGCAGCUGAGUUUUGGUUUGGAAUCUAACUUGCUUUAGCUUGAAGAUCAUCGUCAGUUUUCCAUGGAUCUAAUUUCUUAUCAGCCCUUGAUUUUCUUUUUCCUUGUUAAUUGCCAUCAAAGUACAGUGAGUAGUGAUUGCAAGACAUCAUGUGAUCUUCCUUCUUGUUUGCAUGUUCAUCAAAGCAGCCAACACGAGGGAAAAAACAUAGCAAGGAUUUUCAUCAUGCUAGGACAGGUCCUUGUUUUUGCACAUGGUUUUGGUUUGGGGUAAUAUAUUUAUUUUGGCGUCUCGGUGUUUCUGUGACCGUAGAUCCCAAGAGGUUUUUCCAGCUACUAAUUUCUUAUUAGCUCUUCUUAUAAGGUUUGAUAGGUGGUAAGAGAAAAUAAAGUCCCUAAUAAAUGCUAAAAAGUCAUAACAAAACUCUUAAUUAAUACUAAAAAUCUUGUUAAUUUGAAUGAAGGAAAAAUGGAUUUGGGUAAUAUUAUUUAAUUAUAACCAUCAAAGAUUUUAACUAUUCAUUUUUAUAAAUAUGUUUGUUAUACAGUAAUAGAUAAGUAAGAAAAAAAAUAUAAAUAGAGGAGAAUGGACUCUCAAAUAAAAUAGCCAUUUUGCACUAUCAUGUUGUUGAAUUACAUGACAUGAUUCUUCAUCAUGCUUGAUUGUCACCACUGACAUUGUCAUUGAAUAUCCCAACCGUUCAAUUUGCGGUUAUUGGCAAUAAGAAAAAUUUUGUUGUAGUUCAUGCCUUCAAGAGCUCACAAAAGAUUUUCUUUCCCUUAAAUACUGAAUUCUUCAACACUUGGAACAAUCAUUAAGGGUAAAUACUUGGAUGAUCUUUUAGCUGUAACCACGAAGAAGAUUUUGUUAGUUGCUCCACUUGUGUAAGAUCUUAUUACAGAAGAUGAUAAAAAAUCAGAAAGUAUCAGACUCAGUCUUUUGUUCGUAAUUACAUAUUCAAAGAAAAAGACAGCAAAGAUUGUCAAAUAUUAACAACUAAGAAACUCUAAAAUUCCACCAUGAUGUGAUUGAGAAAAAAAAAUUAAGCAGUGAAAGAUGAGCUCUAAAUCCCAAUUGAUUCAAAUAAAUGGACAAAUGCAAAAAAAAUAAUAAAAAAAAUUGCUUGGUCGAUGAACAUCUCUGACCCUUAAACAAUGGUGCUUCCAGCCUCCUGUGCUUCUAUUAAGAGAGAAGCUAAUUUUGGAGUGUAAAUUGUUUUGAAGAUUAAUGAAUAGUGUUCAGAAGCUAUCCUUGGUUCCAUUCCAGCAGAUGUGGUAUUUGCAAGGAUCAUUCCUUCCUUAAGAUAAAAAUCUUUUAGUUAAGCAACUUUGAGUUAUUGCUUGUCCUCCAACUUUACCGGCAAGAACUUUGGCGUUGCCUGUCAAAUAAAUCAAUAAACAAAAGUGAUAUUUUAAUUAGCAAAUCGAUCGGUAAUUCAAUGUUCAUCUAAACAAUAUAUGAUUCCCAAAAAUAGGUUAAAGGGGAUAAAAAACCUAAUGGCACUAACACUAUAAAGGAUUCAUUUACAUACUUAUAAAGUUGGCAUCAACAAUGUGGAAAUCUAUGGCAUAACCAACUCAUAUUGAAGAUCACUUAUCUCUGCCUUCAAUAUUUUUAAGCAACAAUUUCAUAAGAACAAAAUCCUUCAGGAUCUUGGGUUUCCCUUUGCUAGUUUCUAUUUACGAUAUUGUUUGCUUUCACAACCAUGUAUAAAAAUCUUAAACCCUUGCUUAAUUUGAUAACCAUGCUUAUUAUAAUGUCCUCUUUUUUAAAUUUGUUAAAAACAAUAGGAGUGCACCAAAAGCUAACCAACAGGAGCUCAUAAAAGCUACAAAGGUUGAUAAAGAUUAGCAUGAACAUAAGCAAAAACUACGCGUGAACAUAUUCAUACGCAAAGCAAAAAAUCCAUUAAUGCAAUCCCAGCAAGUGCAAAAAACUAAAGCAGCUGGGAAGUUGCACCGGAGCCUAUUUUUGAGUGAUUGAAAACAGAAUCCCAUCGAUGAAACUCAUUAUUUGAUUAAUCAACCACCCUCUUAGAAUCCACGUAUCAAUGUUUGGUAAAACACACAUCAUAAUGGUCAAAACAUAAUGAGCCCACGACACUCUACAUCACACUCUACCAAAACAAAAGGUUGCGAAGAUGAUAGGAUUAGUUUCUUUGACACGAAAAAAUAUUGGUAAGGUAAGGAAAAAGAAACAACAAACAUAUAAGAAAUCAUACUAGCUAAAACCAGAAUGAAUAAAAGACGAAAAUGAAAAAGAGAGAGAGAGAGUUGAGCUAGAAGAGGAGCACACAUAGAAAAGCACCAAAGUUGCAAGAAGCAGCACCAAAUAAGCAUAAUAAUUAGCAAAACCCACAGUAGUAGAAAAUAUCACAAAGGACAAAACACUGAAAAAGACAAAAACCACAGACACAGCACACAAAACAGAAGCAAAAAAAAGAAGAGAAAACAAUGCACCAGUAAUCAACGCAAGAAGCACAACAGGAAACCACACAAUGCCAAAAACAAAAGCACCCCAUAGUUGGGACCAAGAGGUUUGCUCCUUUUAUGGUCUCAGGUUCGAGCCCUGUAGUUGCUCAUAUGAAGGCUACUAGAGGCUUACAUGGUCGUUAACUUCAGGGCCCGUAGGAUUAGUCGAGGUGCGCGCAAACUGACCCGGACACAAAUCUUAACUGCAGUCUAAAACUCAUCUGGAAGUUCUGUAUAUUCUUAAACCACAACCGAUAGCAUGACACAAAUCUUCAGACCUAGAAUAAUUUAAAAUCUAGGAAAAAAGAGAGAAAAGAAAUGAGGAAAUAUCAGUCUACUGGAAAUGGAAGAAAGUAAAAUUACUCUACCUGUCCAGUUUCCCACCUAUGUCUAAGUCUAAUGUUAUGCCUAAGUCUAAUGUAGAACUCAUCAUUCAAUAACUCCUCUAUCCAGUUGCCCUCCUCUCUCCUUUCUCUCGCAUGGCCAUAGCAGCCUCAACAUCACCCAUGAUCACCUGCAACAAAUAACAAACCCAACAUCUAUUUUAGAGCACAAAAAUGACAACCACGUUAAUAAUCUCUACCUAUUUCUCUAUAUAUUUCAAAUACAAAUGCAAAAGAAGAAGAAACUCGAAUUUCGCCAUCUCUUUCUAUCUCUCUAUCACAUAAAAUUUGUCACAGACAAAAACGCACAACACUGAAAAUUCGAGAUCCCAAAUUCAGAUUUGGAAAAGUUGCAGACAACUUUUUGCUAAUUAACAAAUAUUAUGUUAAAGGGUGAAGAAAUUGGGGAGAAAGUUAGAGUUUGAUUUUGUUAGCUAAUUUCUCAUAGUUUUUUAUUUAUUUCAUUCUACUGAAAGAAAUUGACGGAUUCAUUAAAUAUAAAAAAAACCCAAAAAUCCCUUAUUAAUAAAAAGAUUCUUCAAUACAAAAACUCAAUCAAUCAAACAAAAUUAAUCUUUCAAUGCCAUAGGAAAAAAAUAACACGUUGAGCCUUCAGCCUUCAGCGUUCAAGAUCAAUCUCCAACUCGAAAUAUGGCCAGUGAACACUGAUUUGUCCACUAAGUGUUUCCCUAACUCACAUUCCUUUAUGUAAAAGGGCUAAGACUUGAUGUAUUUGUUCAUUCUGUUAUGUUUCUAUUAGUUUUCUUCUUCUUCUUCUUUGUCUGACAAAAAAAAAUUCAAAAAUAAAAGGUAGGAAAGAGAGGAUACAAAGUUGAAAAAAUAAAUGUAGUGGAUAUCCAUCAACUCUUUUCAAGCAACAGAAGUUUAGAAAACAAAAAAGAUGAGAGUGUAAAAAAAACAUGUGAAAAAGCCUGCGAUAAAAACAAAAACAAUACUAUUAAAAUUCAUAGUAAAAUAAUAAAAAUAAAGUAGAUAUACAGUGUUUUCAUGAGCUCUUUUUGUUUUUUUUAUAUAAUUAUAAUUAUAAUAUGGUAUAUGGUAUGAAAGAGAUCUAUUUUCACCGUGCUUUUCUUCUUACCUCCUCCCCUAGUUAUUUUCUAACAGUAUCUAAUAGAUGGGCGAAUGACUCAAUUCUCCAUUUAGGCUUCAAUUUUUCAUAUUUGUGUUUAAACUAGUCAGUUUUUCUAUUGAUGUAGAAUAGGAAAGAAGACGAGGGAGAGAAUAGAUGAAGGAGGAGAAUAGUGUUGAAGAAUGCGGGGAGGAGAGCAGUAGGAGUUGAUAUUCAGAUUUUAAAUGUCGAUUGUCAAAAGCCUUUCUAAAACAUAAUAUGCUAGUUGGUAAGAGUGUCCUGGAAAAUAAUUCCUAAUAAAUGCUAAAAAGUCACAAUAAAACUCUUAAUUAAUACUAAAACUCUUGUUAGUGUAAAUGAAGGAAAAAAUGGAUUUGGGUAAUAUUAUUUAUAUUAAUAAAUUAAUAUAAGAAAACAAGAUAAAAAGUUACAUCCUGACAAUAACCGUUAAAGGUUAUAACUCUUCAAAUGUGCAGGAUUGUUAUGCGCUUUACAACCUUUAUAAAGAAAGUGGAAAUUGAUCUCCUUGUUCCACAGCCUACUCGGUUAACCAAGUCGGCUACCAGUUGCAGCACAAUUCAUAAAAAACGAUGUGAAUUAUCAUUUGAUGUCAAACCAGGUGGAUUAUCAGCUGCAGCCACAAUUAUUUGAUGCAUAGCAAAAUAAUUAUUCAGAAUCACUCCUUGGCAGUCCUUUCCAACCAACUUUGAUGUGUUGUGCGCUCAUCUGAUGAAAAUAGCGGCCUUAAUUACGAGAGUUCCAUUUUUACAUAAAAAAUGGCUGGGAUUUCCUUUCGUUAUUUAGUAAUACUGGGGUUAAUGAGCUUAGAGUUCUUAUGUUAUUGAUUUUGUUUUAAUAAUUAAGGUCUCUCAUCUGUGAGAUUUAUCAACCCAACCAUUGUUCUAUUAGUCCAUCCAUAUCAUUAGCCCUUUCCUCACUAAUGCUGUCGCACGUGGACGCGCGGAGGGGGUCGUUUGGAGUCGCCACCUAUAUUUGUUUCUUCAUUCAAUUAUUCUGUUGUUCAAGUUAUUAAGCGUUUAAUGUCGUGGUUAAUCAGUUUUUUAAUUGCUUAAAAGGUUCCUGAAUCAAUUAAUUCAUUAAAUAUUGUCGAUUAUUUUACGAUUUUCUCUUUUUGUUUAUGCAAGAGGAGCAAAGUAAUUACAGAAAAAUCGAUUAUAUGAAUGUGAUUUAGUAGUGAUUUUCCGGAAUUAUUGUUGAGUUUGGCACGUGUGGGCAUAGCCGCAUAGGAGUUUGGAAUGAUUAAUUGAGGACCAAAUUGAAAAUAAUAAAACAAAAUAAACUUGAAUUGAAUGUUGAAAUUGAAAAAAAAAAUUGUCAUAAAAGGGUCAUCUAAAAAAAAUUAAGAAUAAAAAAAAUUAAGAAUCAAAUUAAAAAUAAUAAAACAAAAUAAGCUUGUCGAGGCAUGAAUUUUAAAGAAAUUGAGUCUUUCAAUAAGGCCCUUCUAUAAAAGUAGUGUUGGCAUCUCAAGUAUAAUCGUAAUGGUUUGUGUUGCAGAGUGCUUAAAGAGAUUUAUUUCCACACAAACAGAAUUUUUGAACGUAAAAGGAGGUUCAUCUAGGCAGAUCUAGGCACAUUUGACGUGGUAGUGUACCAAGUCCCGGCCAUGCUGAGUCUAACAAUGUGGAAUGGCUUUCCUGUCCAAGAGAAUGACAAUCUUUUCUUGGGUCUAAUUAUGGGAAUAACUCAAUCUCUAUGAGCAUUAGUGUAUUUGAUGAUUUAGAUUCUAAUUUCUCUACACCUUUUAGGUGUAUAAAAAUCUUUCAAGAACUCACCAUAUUUCCAUCAAAUAUUAAUAUAGAUAUAAGAGAUAUUUAUUUUUCAUUAAAUGCUAUCAGAGUUUCUUUAUAGAAGAACAAUACUUAUAGGUUAUAAAUACACAAUAAAACAUUCAGAAUAGAGGUUCACAAUCUUUAUUUUCUACUACAUAUAUAAUUUCAGAGUAUUUUUUUCUAGAAUAUUAUUAUAUUUUUUUAAAAAAACAUACUUAUUUAUACAUCAGAUUUCAUCAUAAAUAUAUUCAUAACAAAAAAAGAAAAAGAAAAAAAGAGCUGAUUCAGCAAAGCAAAUUAUCAAGGGUCUGUAUUUGCUUUCAUUAACUAAAAAAGCAAGAGAAACACAAUCCAUAUAUACAUGUUCCGCUUAGAUGACCUUUUUUUUUUUCUUUUGUGAGUUGAAAUUAUAUUACAUGUUCUAAUUGUUUCAUCUCAUUUUUAUUUUAUUUUUAUUUUUGAAAAGUAAACUUUCUUUAAUUAGAUUAUCCUUAAUAUCAAAUUAUCUCUUUGCUUUUUACAGGUCUUAUCAAGACCAAGCUGUUUGAUUUCUUGAUUUUAAAUGAAUUGAAUUUGGUUAAAUUUGAAUUGAUUUUUAGUUCAUUUUAGAUUAUUUUCUCAUGAAAUGAAUGGGACAAUAAACACUCUUAAUAAUCAUCUUAGCUUUAACUUUAACUAAUUAUCUCAAAUAGAAAUUACUAGUUCGAGUCUUAUAAAUUUCAAGAUUAUUGAAGAUUUAUAUAGUCGUUAACUUCAGGGUUCGUGGGAUUAGUUAAGGUAUCUGUAAACUGUCCCACGUAUCCAUGUUAAUUAAAAAAAAUUACAAUCACAUCAGGCACAUGGUUGAAUUAUUCAUGGUUGCAUUCGCUUUCACCCCUUGACUAUGAACAGGAACCCAAUUAAAUGAAAUUGAUCUCCUUGGUCCAGAGCCUAUUCGGUUAAGAUUUUAUGUUAAUAUUUAUAUUAGAUGAGUCCAGCUCACCAUAAGCCUACAUGGAUGAAUAUGAGUUAAUGGUGAGUGGAGCUUGUAUAAUAAUUUAUGGGUAACAAGUGUUGUGCCCAGUAUUUCUAUAAUACGACGAAGUUUAAUUUCUUUUCUUUUCAUAGUAAUCUCUCAGUGGAUAGCAGCAUCAAUCAUAAGAACUUCUAUAUUUAUAUUUAAUUUAAAUACUAAUUAAACGUGAUAAGAGUGGGAGUUAAAUAUAACGCCGCACAUCAAAUGCUCUUCAAAAAAAAAAAAAUCUACUUCUUUUCAUUCUUAUUAUUUAGAGUUUUGGUUUUAAAACUCUAAAAGCUAGAUCAAUUUAGAGUGGUCAUUAUUAUUAUAUUCCCAUUAUUAAUUCCUAUUUUAUAGAUUUUUCUACAUCGAAGCUUUUGAAAAAAAAUAUUGACAUUGAUCAAUUUAGAGUGGUCAUUCACUUUUGAAAAAAUUUCUUUUGCUUUUUUACUCUUUUGUGAAUUGAACUGAAACUGGUUAAAUUUGUUCUUUUGUGAAUAAAUUGGGAAUAAGAUGUUUGUUUUCUCUGUGGCCUCAGGUUCGAGUCCUGUGAUUGCUCAUAUGAUAGCUACUGCAGGUUUACAUGGUCGUUAACUUCAGGGCCUGUGGGAUUAGUCGAGGUGCGCACAAGUUGGCCCGGACACCUACAUUAAUAAAAAAAAAAAUUCAAAGAUUAGUCAUUUCAAAUGAGAGAAAAAAAAAACAAUCAUAAAGAGCGAAUCUUGUGAAUAAAUUACCGUAUUUGGACGCAACGAAACCGAGAAAAAACAAAGGUAAAGUCUAGACAAGAGCGCGCGCAUAAACUAUUUAUUGAUGAGCUUGUUCGUAUCAACAUAAAUAAAUAUCAAAGUAAUCAAAGUGUAUAUUUGAUAUAGAUUCAGUUUAGUAAUAAUUGUUUUUUAAUAUUUUAUUUUUAUUUUUAAAAAUUUAUUUUUAACAUGAAAAGCAUAUAAAAACAUUAUAAAAGAUUGAAAAAUUACAGUAAACCAUAUAACUUUUUGAAAGAUUUUGUACACGAAACCCAUUUAUUUUUUGGAUAGUUCAAACUCAUUAAAAUACUAUUUUUUGGAUAGUUCAAACUCAUUUAAAGUAUUUUUAGUUGGAUGUUCAUAUAGGUGAAAACAAAAGGAUUACUGUUACCUAACAUGAAGUCGAAUGAAGGUUGACAAAGUCAAAGACAGCGAUCAUACACGCAAAAAUGCAAUGAAUCAGCAUGUUCUGGACUUCCCACAGAUACACCUGUUUUCUACCAUUAUAUCUGAGAAUGUCUUCAACAAAGCAUAUUCUCCUUCUUUCUUUCUUUUUUUUUUUUAAUCUUUUGAUAUGCAUAUUAAUUCAACAUUACAUAAGGGCUAAGGCUUUUGUGAAUAAGGGGCUAUUCACACAAAAGAAUAAAAUGCCAUAAACAAAUGUGCAGCAGACAUCCAUCAAUGCAAGAAGUGCCCGUUUUCAAGAACUCUAAGCAACUCCUGAAUCAUUAUAAGAAGCACCAUACUGUCCAGUUGUUCUCAUGAAAUUAUUUUCCUCUAACCUCAUUAACAAUUCAUUGAGAAUCCCAAUAACUGAUUCAGUCACUUAAAAACCUGAACAAAACCCUCAAAUAUCAAAUCUUUAUAUGUUUGAAUAUCUAAAAAGAAGAAAAAACAACCAAAUUUUCAAACUUUUUCCCUCUAUUUAAAAAAGGGGAAAAAAAAGCAAUAUAGGUCAUCGAUUUCUUUUCCUUUUUUUGUUACAUGGAGAGCAGGUAGAUCUCAUUAAAGCAAAUAAUUCAUCAAUUAGGAGGUGAUGCCACCUAACUCGGCGUUUGACGCAACACUGAUGAAUUAUAGAAAAAGUGAUGUGGCAGAGGUAAUAGAAAUUAAGGGUUUUGAGCAAUUUUUCAGAGCUAAAUAGAGAUUUAUCACAAACAAAUUUUAUUAGUAAAUGCUUUUAUAAACAAGUGAGAUAAGGCUAAAUCUAAAAGAAUGCUUGAUGAAUCACACCAAACUAGCAAAAUGAUAAUAAAAGAUCAUAAUUUUUUAUCUUACUAUUAAAUUAGACUAAAAUUUCUAUAGAUUAUUUCUAAGGCUUAGUUUUAUAAGUUGCUGCGCUUGCGGCAACCAUUCGAGUCCUGGAAGACCUCAAAUCAUGCCUCAAUGAUACUGUUUGAUUCAAUUUUAUUAUUUUUCCUUGAUUUAUUUUGGAUUUUAUAUUAUUUUUGAAUUUUUGCUAUCUUUCUGUUUUGUUUUAGGAUAAUAAUUUUUCUUACUGUGUUAAGGUUACUUUCACGCCUAUAUAAAGACUAAGCUUGUAAAUAUCUAGAGAGACAAAAGUUAUCAAUUCAUUAUUUCAGAAAUAAAAAUGAGAUCUUAGGAGUUAGGAUUCUUCGUGUUUUAAUCUUAUUUUGGCUAAUUCUUUAUCUUUAUGUGCUUAUUGUUAUCCUUGUACGGCUUUCAACUCUAUCAAAAAGUCUACCCGUAAUUUUCAUUAAUUGUAUUUAAGAAUGGAGUUAUAGUUUGACUCACGGUGAUGAGGGAUGAAUGUUCAAUUUUGAAAACAUGACCUUUGAGUUUUAGAUAAUUAGACUCGGUUAAGAGGGUGGUGGCUCAGUUUUUUUUUUAUAAAAAAAAUCAAUGUAAAAUUUAUAAUAUUUAAUAUAAGAGCUUUAUAAUUAUUAGUUUGAAAAUAAUAAUAAUAAUUUUGUAAAUUAUUAGAUGUUUUUUGUUGAUAUUUUUGAAAAUAAUAAUAAUUUUAUAUAUAAAUUAUUACGUGUGUUAGGGAGGACAUAAAUUGUCAUCAUAAACUAUAAUUUCUGAAAAAAUAAAGAUAAAAUAACUAAACUACACAAUGAUCAAGUAAUUUCUCCUUUUUAAAAAAAUAUCAUAGAAACUUUUUAUUGUAUCUAAAAUGUCCUAAUUUACUUUUUGAAAAAGAUAGUCAUAGGAAAAACUUAAAAGAUUAGAGAAAUAAACAUGAUUAUUUAAUUUAAUUUUGUUUUUGAGUUUAUUUUCUUAAAAAUAUUUCUAUAAAUUCUUAUUAUUUUCAUUUUAACUAUUUUUUUCUAGACAAUAAUUAAGGGCGUUAUAUGUAUUAGAACAUGUUCCUAUAAAAUCGCCAAAUUUUUAAAUAUUUCUUACAAUUUUACAAUAUAUAUAUUUUUUUUUUAGUUUAACGUGGGUGUCCGGGCCAGCUUGCGCGCACCAUGAUGGUUACAAUUUUACAAUAUUAAUGGGCCCUGAAGUUAACGACCAUGUAAGCCUCCAGUGGCCAUCAUAUGAGCAACCAUAGGGCUCGAACCUGAGACCACAGAGGGAGCAAACCUCUUGGUCUCAAGUUUUUACCACUAGACCACCACCUAGAUGGUUACAAUUUUACAAUAUUAAUACACGGUUUAUGGUGUUUUUUUCUUGUUUAAUUUCAAGGUCAGUUUUAAAAAUUUUGUUGGAAAGUUCUCGGAAUGCAAAAGCUUUAUGCGCUGGAAAAGAGACAAAAGUAGUUAAAGAAUAUGUAUUUUAAACAACUCCAAGCAGUAUACGAAUCAACUCCAUUGUGAUGUGUGUGGCAGAGCCUGACAAAAGUUCUUGGAAUGCUUGACUUGAGAAUUCAUUAAAAAAUAUGAAUCAACUCAAUUGUGAUGUGUGUGGCCUAACCCCUGCUCUUGGCAGGAAGGUGCCUCUGCUGCCCAAUGCGCGUUCGAUAUCCCUUUCAUUUCUCUUUUUGCUUUUCCCCACCGAAAGUCCAUCUUCUUUACAGUGUAAACUUACCGGUACGAGUUCUUGACCUCAAGGAACCGUAAAAAAUUCGAAGUCAUUGGGCUUGGCUAGAUCUUGUGCUUCUUUAGUCAACACUUACCACUCGGUUUGUUUCGUCUAGAUUCGUGUAAUUCUUGUUGAAAUUUGAUGUUUUCUGAUUUCCAAGUAGAAUUUAAUUAUACAUGUUCCAGCUUGAAAUUGCUAAGUGGUAGAUUUAAUUGCCGAAUUUCUUGAUCUUACCUUCUGUUUCAUGUUUGACCAGGAGCAGGCCUAUAGAAAAUAGCGUGGAAAGCAAUUGCUGAACCAAGCGAGCUAGUUGAGGCCAGAAGGGAUCGGUACUAGUUUAUCGCUAUAGGGAUUUUCAUGGCUUCCACCAGCGUGCAAGGAAUAACCUCAUCUUCAUCUUCUUCUCCUCCACUAUAUAUGUAUGAUGUGUUCCUUAGUUUUAGAGGCAAAGACACGCGGAACAACUUUACUAGUCAUCUAUAUUCUAAUCUGAAACAGAGAGGCAUCGAUGUAUACAUGGAUGAUAGGGAGCUCGAGAGAGGAAAGACCAUCGAACCUGCUCUUUGGAAGGCCAUCGAAGAAUCAAGGUUUUCAGUCAUUAUAUUUUCAAGAGUUUACGCUUCUUCACCAUGGUGCUUGGAUGAACUUGUCAAGAUUGUUCAGUGCAUGAAAGAGAUGGGGCAAACUGUUCUGCCAGUUUUUUAUGAUGUGGAUCCCUCAGAGUUUUAUGAUGUGGAUCCCUCAGAGGUAAUCGAGCGGAAACGGAAAUAUGAGGAAGCCUUCGUUGAGCAUGAACAAAAUUUCAAGGAAAACUUGGAGAAGGUCCGGAACUGGAAAGAUUGUCUCUCUAUGGUGGCCAAUCUAUCUGGCUGGGACAUACGGAAUAGGUAAAUCAUCUAUCUACUUAUUCUUAUUCUCAAAUCCUCCCUGUAUUGUUUCAAUGAUGAACAAGCAUGAUAGUAAAUGUGUAUUUUUUUCAUAUGCAUGAUUUUUUAUUUUUAUUUUUUUAUGAUAUUUUGAACUGAUGUGAUCAAGCAUUUCUAAUCUUUAUAUAAAACUUCUUUCUAUUGUUAGGUUUUUCUUUAUAUUUUGAAAAUAAAAUAAAAUAUUAAACAGAAAAAUUAAAAUGUAUAAAAAUGUUGAAAAACAAAUCUAGCAUGAACAAAUAAAAAGUUAGCUUAAAAAAUUAAAAAUUGGAAGAAAUGACAACAAAUUCAUCAUAAGAAAUAAAAAAUUGACCAAAGUUUUUGAAUAUGUUGGUUUUAGCUUUUCAAAAUAAAAUAAAAAGAUUUUCCAUCUUGAAUUAAAAAAUUCAAACUAUUUAUAAAUCAAAGAGACAAAUUUAUUUAUAAUUUUUUUUGUGAAUAUUUUUAUUUUUUUUAUUUGGAAUUAAAAUUUGAUAGGUGUCUUUCUUUUACUAAUGGAUUGUAACAAUAAAUUUACUUAUUUUUCAUUCUAAAAACAAUACACUACUUAUUAGGGUAUUUUUAUAAGGGCCAAUAGUCAUUAUAGAAUUGAUAGGGGUAGUUAGAUUUUUUUUUUACGAUAUAAUUACUUAAUUGUCUUUAAAAGCAAAAAUAAAUAAAUUAGCUAUAGGGCUCUUUUAAGAUUGUUCACUUUUUAGGGUGCAAUAAAAUAACAGCCAUACAUUUUCGAGCUACAAUAUGCUAAUGUCUAUUUUCCCAUUAUCACUAUCUGAUUUGAUUUCUGCACACUGCAUGAUUAAUGUUUUGCACCCUUCUAUGCAGGAAUGAAUCGGAAUCAAUUAAAAUAAUUGUUGAAUACAUAUCGUACAAACUAAGCGUCACUCUACCAACAAUUAGCAAAAAAUUAGUUGGAAUAGAUUAUCGUGUAAAGGUAUUAAAUGGCUAUAUAGGUGAAGAAGUAGGCAAAGCAAUCUUCAUAGGGAUUUGCGGAAUGGGUGGCAUAAGUAAGACGACUGUUGCAAGGGUACUAUAUGAUAGGAUUCGUUGGCAAUUUGAAGGCAGCUGCUUCUUAGCAAAUGUCAGGGAUGUUUUUGCUGAGAAAGGUGGACCACGCCGUUUACAGGAACAACUUCUUUCUGAAAUCUUAAUGGAACGUGCUUCUGUAUGUGAUUCUUAUAGAGGGAUUGAGAUGAUAAAGCGGAGGUUAUGACUUAAAAAGAUUCUUCUUAUCCUUGAUGAUGUAAAUGACAAAAAACAACUAGAAUUUUUGGCUGCGGAGCCUGGAUGGUUUGGUCCAGGGAGCAGAAUUAUCAUAACAAGCAGAGAUAAAAAUGUGUUUACUGGAAAUGAUGAUACUAAAAUUUAUGAGGCUGAGAAAUUGAAUGAUGAUGAUGCUCUUAUGUUAUUCAGCCAGAAAGCUUUCAAAAAUGAUCAACCUGCUGAAGAUUUCGUGAAACUAUCUAAGCAAGUUGUGGGUUAUGCUAAUGGCCUUCCACUGGCUCUUGAAGUUAUAGGUUCGUUUUUGUAUGGAAGAAGUAUCCCUGAAUGGAAAGGUGCAAUUAAUAGAAUGAAUGAGAUUCCUGACUGCAAAAUCAUUGAUGUGCUUCGUAUUAGUUUUGAUGGUCUCCAUGAAUCAGAUCAGAAAAUAUUUUUAGACAUUGCAUGUUUCCUGAAGGGGUUUAAAAAAGAUCGAAUAACAAGGAUACUUGACAGCUGUGGAUUCAAUGCAGGUAUUGGAAUACCAGUUCUUAUUGAGAGAUCUCUCAUAAGUGUCUAUGAGGAUCAAGUCUGGAUGCAUAAUUUAUUACAGAUAAUGGGUAAGGAAAUUGUUCGUUGUGAUGACCAUAAAGAGCCUGGAAAGCGCAGUAGAUUGUGGACAUACGAGGAUGUCUGCCUUGCACUGAUGGACAACACAGUGAGUAGCUGAUAGAGAACAUUAUCCAUAAGAUUUCAUAAAGUUUAUUUUAAUGUAUGCUCCAUCUUUACUUUGUAUUUGUUUUUAACUUGUAUUCCCUUUUGGUUGAUAGGGAAAAGAAAAAAUAGAAGCCAUUUUCUUAGACAUGCCUGGAAUAAAAGAGGCACAAUGGAACAUGAAAGCCUUCUCUAAAAUGAGCAGACUAAGAUUGCUCAAAAUCGACAACGUGCAGCUUUCUGAAGGACCUGAAGAUCUUUCCAACGAGUUACGAUUUCUUGAAUGGCAUUCUUACCUUUCAAAAUCAUUGCCAGCUGGUUUAUAGGUGGAUGGGCUAGUUGAACUUCACAUGGCUAACAGUAGUAUUGAGCAAUUAUGGUAUGGUGGCAAGGUGAGAUCACCUAAUUUAAGGGCCUUUGUAUUUCUUUUUAUCGUUUUCCAAUAUAUUUAUGAUAGUAGCAUCCAUAUUUCUUCUCCCCUACCUGAUUGCAGAGUGCAGUUAAUUUGAAAAUCAUCAAUCUCAGCAACUCUCUAAACCUGAUCAAGACUCCAGAUUUUACAGGAAUUCCGAAUCUCGAGAACCUAAUUCUUGAAGGUUGUACAAGUUUGUUUGAGGUCCAUCCAUCACUUGCACGUCACAAGAAGCUUCAAUAUGUGAAUCUUACGGAUUGCGUAAGUAUUAGGAUUUUCCCUAGCAACCUUGAAAUGGAAUCACUUAAAGUUUGCAUUCUUGAUGGAUGCUCAAAACUUGAGAAGUUUCCAGAUAUAGUGGGAAACAUGAACAAAUUGAUGGUGCUUCAUUUGGAUGAGACUGGUAGUACAAAACUAUCUUCAUCAAUUCGUCAUUUGAUUGGCUUAGAAGUAUUGAGCAUGAACAACUGCAAGAACCUUGAAAGCAUUCCGAGUAGCAUAUGUUGUUUGAAAUCCCUUAAAAAACUCGAUCUGUCUGGCUGCUCUGAACUUCAAAAUAUACCACAGAAUUUAGGGAAAGUAAAAAGUUUGGAGGAGUUUGAUGUAAGUGGAACUUCAAUAAGACAACUGCCAGCAUCCCUUUUUCUUUUAAAGAAUCUUAAAGUAUUAUCUUUGGAUGGAUUCAAAAGACUAGUUGUGCUGUCUUCUUUGUCUGGUCUGUGUUCUUUAGAAGUACUCGGUUUACGCGCUUGCAAUCUAAGAGAAGGGGCACUUCCUGAAGAUAUUGGCUGCUUAUCUUCAUUGACGUCUUUAGAUCUGAGCCGGAAUAACUUUGUUAGCCUGCCUAGGAGCAUAAAUAUGCUUUAUGAACUGGAAAAGCUUGUAUUGGAGGAUUGCACGAUGCUUGAAUCAUUGCCUGAGGUUCCGUCUAAAGUUCAAACGGUAUAUUUGAAUGGUUGCAUAAGCCUAAAAACAAUUCCAGAUCCGAUAAAGCUAAGCAGUUCCAAAAUCUCAGAGUUUAUAUGUCUUAACUGCUGGGAAUUGUACAAUCAUAAUGGCCAAGACAGCAUGGGGUUGACCAUGCUUGAAAGAUACCUCAAGGUCUUCUCUUAAUCAUACCCCAACCUUUUUGUAUCUCUCUCCCUCUCCCUCUAUCUAUCUAACAUUUUUGUUUUUCAUGGUACAGGGUUUGUCUAAUCCAAGACCUGGAUUUGGUAUCGCUGUUCCAGGAAAUGAAAUUCCAGGCUGGUUUAACCAUCAAAGAAAGGGAUCUUCAAUUAGUGUGCAAGUGCCUAGUUGUGGCAUGGGGUUUGUUGCGUGUGUUGCAUUCAGUGCAAAUGGUGAAAGUCCUUCUCUUUUUUGUCAUUUCAAAGCCAAUGGAAGAGAGAAUUAUCCUUCGCCGAUGUGUAUUAGUUGUAACUCAAUCCAAGUUCUGUCAGAUCAUAUUUGGCUAUUCUAUCUAUCUUUUGAUCAUCUUAAAGAAUGGAAGCAUGAAUCCUUUAGCAACAUUGAGUUGUCAUUUCAUUCUUCCGAGCAACGAGUAAAGGUGAAGAAUUGUGGUGUCUGUUUGUUAUCUUCUGUAUAUAUUACAUCACCAUUUUUAAAAACUGUUAUUACAAUCGGAAAAAAACCACGUGGGGACACGUGACACUUGAGCUCCUGCCUCAAUGCUGGGCACAGCCCAGUGCACACGUGACGCUAGGCUGCCUGCCUGUGGUUUGGGUCCUUCAUCAAGACUCAAGGUUUCUGGGUCCUAGGAUUCUAAAUAUUAUUAUUUGUUUUAGUAAUAUUCUUAUUUUUAUUUUAAUUAAUAUUAUUAAUAAAAAAAUUAAUAAAUUUGAAAGAAAAUAUUAUUAUUAAUAUUGAAAACAUAUUAUUAUUUCUAUUAUAAAAUUUUAUGGUAUUUUUUAUAAAAAUAAAAAGUGAGCCCACGAUAUAGUAUUAUUAAAAAUAUUCAAUAAUUCUACGUAUUAAUAUAAAAAAUAUUAUAAUUUGCGUUGUAAAUAUUAUUAUUUUUCUUAUAAUUCAAAGUAUUCAUAUUAAAGAAAUUAUUAUUUGUGUUAUAAUAUUAUUAUUUAUAAUAAUUCAAAGUUUAAUAUAAAAAAAUUAUUAUUUGUGUUAUCAAUAUUCUUGAAAUUAAAAACAGUAUUAUUUAUGUUAUGAAUAUUAUUAUUUUACUCUAAUCAAAAGUAUUAAUAUUAAAAAUAUUAUAUUUUGUGUUAUAAAUAUCAAUAUUUUUACAUGCACCCAACCACAUGUUGGACCUGGACGCGUCCGCGCCCAACCCCACGUUGGGUCUGGACGCAACCACGUCCAACUCUAGGUUGGGCCUGGACACGUCGGCGUCCAACUUCAUGUCGGGUCUGGACGCGCCCGCGUCCAACGCCAUGUUGAACCUGGACGCGACCAUGACCAACUCCAUGUUAUUAUUUUUAUAAUAAUUAAUAUUAUUAUCUUUAGUGUUAUAAAUAUUAUUAUUUUUAUAAUAAUUAAUAUUAUUAAUAAAAUAAUUACUAGAUUAGAAAAAUAAUAUUAUUAAUAUUGAAAAAAAACCGUAAAUUUGAAUUGAAAGAUAAAAUUAAAAAUUACUACGUGGGGACACGUGGUGCUUGGGCUACCUGCCUGAGUGCUGGGCAAACCACGUGCACACGUAGCGCUUGGGCUACUUGCCUAUGUGCUGGGUUGUCCAAGCGCACACGUUGCGCGCUAGCUUGUGGUGGCAGGUGCCAACUAUUAUUAUUUUUAUCAUAAUUCUAAAAAUUCAUCUAGAAAUAUUAUUAUUUGUGCUAGAAAUAUUAAUGUUUUUUUAUUAUAAUUAAAAGUAUUAAAUUUAAAAAUAGUAUUAAGUGUAUUAUAAAUAUUUUUUUAUUAUAAUUAGAAGUAUUAAAAUUAAAAAUAGUAUUAUUAAUAUCAUAAAUAUUAUUAUUAUUAAAAAACAAUAAUAGAUUUGAUUUGGACGGUAGAAUUAUAAAUUAUUAUUAGUGUUAUCAUUAUCAGUAGUAAAUUGAAACAAAAUGAUUAAUACCAUCGAAGAGACACCAUACAUUUUUUGAAGAAUGAUUAAAAAUAGGACCCAAAAUAGCCUUGGACUGUUUGGUGGGGGCAUGUGGAAAGACUGUAGCCUGCAGGACCUAAGCGCCAGGCUAGAGGCGCGUCCACUGGGGUUGCGGACACCUGACGCUGGGCAGGCCACACCCACUGGCCAUGCCCCCGGCCUGGGCCACCUAACGCUCGGUCUGCCUAGCCUGUGUGGUGGGCAGACCAAGCGCAUACGUGGCGCUUGGAUUGCCUGCUUGUGUGCUGGCAGAAAAAGUGCACACGUGGCGCUUGGGCUGCGCCAAGACCCAACUAUCCUUGGGUCCCGUAGGCUGCAGCACCCAAAAUAACCUUGGGUCAUUGGCAGUAUAAGACCCAAAAUAGACUUUAAUGCUGCCAGUGUAAGACCCAAAUAGCCUUAAGUUUGGCAAUAUGCAGGACCCAAAAUAGCUAUGGGUCCUACCAGCAUCAAAACCCAAAUUUUUAAUAAAAAUAAAAGGUGAGUCCGCGGUAUAGCGCGGGCCACAUAUCUAGUCUUACUUUAGAAGAAUCUUUUUUUUAACAUCUAGAUGCAUUAUUUGUCCACAAUCAUUUUGUUUUUUAUAUCAUUUUGUUUUAUUUAAUAGAAAUAAUUAUUAAACACAAUUAUUUCUAUUAAAUCACAGGACAUUUACCAUAUUGGAGUCGGAGAGGGAGGGAAGAAAUUCCAAGAAAAUUCAUUAAACAUCACAGGAAAUUUCCCAUAAAUCACUAUGUAGCUGAAAAAACCAUAACAUUUGAAAAUUCUUUGAUGUUUCAUUUCUGACUUCGGAGGCACUGCCCAAGACUUUUGCUAGGAAGGUGCCAGGCUGCCAGCAAUAAGAAAGAAAAAUCCAAUUCUCGUUUGGAAAAUUUGAAGUAGACUUGGCAUGUGUUGGCAGAAAUCAAUCAAUCAUACAUUGAUUUUUGCUUAUAGAUCAUAACAGAAAAAUAUACAUGGACCAAUUAACUAUUAAGUAUUGUUUAAUUUUUGAAAUAUUUAUUUAGAAUUACUUUUUUUUAACAAAAUAUACAUGGACUACUUGAUAGUUAGAAAUUCUAUAUGUAAAGUAUGUUAGGUAUUAUGCAAAGUUGUUAAUUAUGUUCUGUUUCGUCCGGAAUAGCCGAAACAUUCUAUACCAAUUCAAAAAACAGAAUAAAACGGAACAAUUUUCAUUUCAUUUUAAAUCUCGGUCCAUUCCGAAUGUUUUGGCUAAAUUUUUGCCGGAAUGUUCCGGUUUCAUUCCACAUGUUCUGUUCCGCUCUUGAAAAGCCAUUGAAUCAAAUUGAACCUUAUUCAAUUUAAUUAAUUAAACCAUCCAAGUAUAAAAAGCUCUUUUUCAUUACUAUUUUCAUUAACAAUGAUAUUAAUUUUUUAAAAUUAGAUUUAUCACUAAUACAUAUGGUUUAUAUUUAUGUUUUUUUUUUCAUGUUUAUACUUUGUAGGAAUUUGAGCAAAACAAGGGAUACUUUAGAUUCCAUUAGCUUUGAUAACAUUGACCUAACUUCAUAUUUAAAAUAUUUGUGUUAAAAUAUUUUACUUUCAUAAUAUUUUGAUAUUUUGUUUAAGUUAAAUUACUUUAAGUAAAAGAUCAAUUUAAUCUUGACUAUUUAAAAAUAUUUUAAAUUUUAAAAUUAUAUUUAUUUAGCAUUAUGUUUGUAUUGCAUAAUUUAUCUUAAAUUUAAAUUAUAUUUAUUUAUAUAUAUAAUAUAACUCUGAAACAGCACGUUAAACCACUUCAAAACAGAAAUACUCUACUCCAGUUGAAAAAAUAAAACAUAUAUCGAAACCGGAAUUGACAGUUAUUGUAAUUUGAAAAAUAGUUAAAAAGUACAAAGGUUGAUUUGAUUGAUUUGGUAGAGGUUUGAGAACGUAAACAAGUUUGCCACUUCGUGAGUCCCCUGUACAAGGGUCCAAAAAUCUAAUUGCCUGUCCGUCCUUGUCUGCAUUGAAGGCAAUCUUCUUCACUAUCUCAUAAGAAAACAUCCAGGACGUUUACCGGUACGAGUUUCUGCUCUAAAGAAACCGGAAAAAAGAAACAGAGAGUGAAGGAUCGAGGGCGGCAGAGAGGAGAAAAAUCAGAGAGGGAGAGGGGGAUCUGGAAGUUACACGGUUGCGAGGACGCUAGAAGAAGAAAGAAUUGGGCUUCGGCUAGAUCUGUCACCUCUCUACUCAACUCUUCCCACACGGUUUGUCUCUGCUACGUGCAUUAGUGUACAACUUGACUGGAAAUUUUGGUUUCUUAGUAGAAUUAUGUUCCAGCUUGAGUUUGCCAAAUCUCUUGCUCUUAACUUUUUGUUUCAUGUUUUGAACUCAGGAGAAGGCUACUUAAGAGUUAAGAAGACUAGAAGGAAUCAAUCAGUAUUAAUUUAUUGCUACUGGGAUUCCCAUGGCAUCAUCCAGCAUGCAGAAAGCAGCCUCAUCUUCUUAUUCUCCUCCCCAGUGGAAGUACGAUGUCUUCCUUAGUUUUAGAGGCAAAGACACACGGAAUAACUUUACUAGCCAUCUAUAUUCUAAUUUGGAACAAAGAGGCAUCAUGUAUACAUGGAUGAUAGGGGGCUAGAGAGAGGAAAGACCAUCGAACCUGCUCUCUGGCAGGCCAUCGAAGAUUCAAGAUUUUCAAUCGUUGUGUUUUCAAGAGAUUACGCUUCUUCACCAUGGUGCUUAGAUGAGCUUGUCAAGAUUGUUCAGUGCAUGAAAGAGAUGGGGCACACUGUUCUACCAGUUUUUUAUGACGUGGAUCCAUCAGAGGUAGCCGAUCAGAAAGGGAAUUAUAAGAAGGCUUUCAUUGAGCAUAAGGAAAAGCUCUCGGAAAAUCUGGACAAGGUAAAAUGCUGGAGUGAUUGUCUCUCCACAGUGGCCAAUCUAUCUGGUUGGGAUGUACGGAACAGGUAAACCGUGUUUUCAAAAAAAUUUAAUUUUUUUUUGUUAAAAUUUAAUAUGUUUUAUAUGUUUUGUAUCGUUUUGAUGUACUGAUGUCAAAAAUUAUUUUAAAAAAAUAAAAAAAUAUCAUUGGCAUGCAUUUCAGCAUGAAAAAUUAUUUGAAAAGCAACCGCAACAACAUUACCAAACAAUCUCAAGCCUAUUUGUAUUUAUUUUGGAAGGAGUUAUUACUGUCUCACGUCUUAGUUGGAUAUCCUUGUAGAUUUUAUUAUUGAGUUUAUGCACUUCCUAAAAGCCUUAAUAUCCUUGUGGUGGGUGAUAUUUAUUAGUAAUUGAUCAUUUCUUUAUUUGAUGUAGAAUAUGUUAUCUAAUAAUAUCUUUUUAUCCUUUUCUUCGAAUAUUUACUAGCAAAUUGUUUGUUAAAAAAAGAAAAAUAUAAUAUCGAAAAACUAAUAUUGAAGGCAAGUGAUUGAGUUUUCAUGGCGAGCUUGACAAAUGACAAUACACAAAAGAAAUGUUAUGUCGAAUAAUCUUUUCGAAAAAGAACUCUUAACAAUUUAAAAUCUAAAAAGUUCUUUUAUAAAAGCAUAUCAUUGCAAGAUAAAUUGAUCAAUUGACAUGGCAAUUUAAGAAGUGAUCGAGCUUUUUCUUGGAAAACAAUUAGAGGAUAACUUAGUGGCCAACAAAAAUUGAUAGUGAUUGGUUUUUUGCCUGUCAAAACCAUACUUAGUGGCUUUUUGUGUUCUUACAUGCAUGCUAUUCUAUAUUUCAAAUAACAAUAUUUCAUGUUUUCGCACACUGCAUGCUUAAUGUUUUUGCCCCUUUUACGCAGGGACGAGUCACAAUCAAUUAAAAAGAUUGUUGAAUAUAUACAGUGCAAACUAAGCUUCACUUUGCCAACAAUUAGCAAAAAUCUAGUUGCAAUAGAUUCUCGUCUGAAGGUAUUGAAUGAAUAUAUAGACGAACAAGCAAAUGAUACUCUCUUUAUAGGGAUAUGUGGAAUGGGUGGCAUGGAAAAGACAACUGUUGCAAGAGUCCUGUAUGAUAGGAUUCGUUGGCAAUUCGGUGGCAGCUGCUUCUUAGCAAAUGUGAGAGAAGUUUUUUCAGAGAAAGAUGGACUGUGUCGUUUACAGGAACAACUUCUUUUGGAAAUCUCAAUGGAGCUUCCCACUGCACGGGAUUCUUCAAGAAGGAUUGAUUUGAUAAAGCGCAGGCUGCGGCUUAAAAAGGUUCUUCUUAUUCUGGAUGAUGUAGAUGAUGAAGAACAAUUACAGAUGUUGGCUGCAGAGCAUGGAUCGUUUGGUCCAGGGAGCCGGAUUAUCAUAACGAGCAGAAAUAAACAUGUGCUGGAUAGCCAUGGUGUUACUAGAAUAUACGAGGCUGAGAAAUUAAAUGAUAAAGAUGCUCUUAUGUUAUUUAGCUGGAAAGCUUUCAAAAGAGACCAGCCUGCCGAAGAUUUAUCGGAACUAUCCAAGCAAGUUGUGGGUUAUGCUAAUGGCCUUCCACUAGCUCUUGAAGUCAUAGGUUCGUUCUUGCAUAAAAGAGGUCUGCGUGAAUGGAAAAGUGCAAUUGAUAGAAUGAAUGACAUGCCUGACAGGAAGAUUAUCGAUGCUCUUCGCAUUAGUUUUGAUGGCCUCCAUGAAUUAGAGAAGAAAAUAUUUUUAGAUAUCGCUUGCUUCUUGAAGGGGAUGAAAAAGGAUCGUAUAACAAGGCUACUUGACAGUUGUGGGUUCCAUGCAGAUAUUGGGAUGCAGGCUCUUAUUGAGAAAUCCCUUAUAAGAGUCUCACGAGAUGAGAUAAGGAUGCAUAAUUUAUUACAGAAAAUGGGUGAAGAAAUUGUUCGUUGUGAAUCCCCUGAAGAGCCUGGAAGACGCAGUAGAUUGUGCACUUACAAGGAUGUCUGCGAUGCACUGAAGGACAGCACAGUGAGUAGUAGCUGAUAUAAACAGAACAUUCAUUAUCCAUAAGAUUUCAUGCUCCAUCUCUACUCUGUAAUAGCUUCUUACCUCCCCUUCCUCUUGGUCGACAGGGAAAAAUAGAAAGUGUAUUCUUGGACUUGCCCAAAGCAAAAGAGGCACCAUGGAAGAUGACAGCCUUCUCAAAAAUGACCAAACUAAGGUUGCUCAAAAUUCACAACGUGGAGCUUUCUGAAGGACCUGAGUAUCUCUCAAACGAGUUACGAUUCCUUGAAUGGCAUGCUUACCCUUCAAAGUCAUUGCCAGCUUGUUUCUAUCUGGAUGAGCUUGUUGAACUCUACAUGUCUUGCAGCUGUAUUGAGCAAUUAUGGUACGGAUGUAAGGUAAGACCCACUAGCUCUGUUUUUUUCUUUUCUUUUCACAAGACAUGAUAAAAAAUCAGAAAUAUAAUGUGUUAUUUUUUAAUUUUUUUUAAUUUUUUAUUUUUUUAUUUUAUUGGAGUUUUUUUUCAUUUUACCCUCCAAUAAAAAAAUUUAGUUAUUCUUUAAUUUAUUUUUACCCUUAUUUUUUUAAUUAUCAUUUUUUUAUUUUAGAUUCCUUUGUAUUGUUAACUGUUUUUCCCAUUACAUUCUUUAACAUUUGAUAUGUUGGGGAUUAUACUUUUUUAUUUUUCUAUGUAUGAUACUUCCAGUUUAAUAACCUGGAUCAUGAGUUUUGAAAUAUAAUGCGGAUCUAUAUCCUUUUUAUUUAUUUAUUUUCUUUCAUUGUUUGACAUUAUUUUUUUUAUAAAAAAAAUUAUCUUCGUGGUUUUAUUUAAUUUUUUUCUAUUGGGUUAUAUUGAUCUCAUGAGACUGUAAGUUUUAUAAGUUAGGUAGAGUUAACUCGCCUUUUAUUACUUAGAUUUUAUAUCUGACACACUCUCUUGGGUUAAGUUUUUUAUCCUUUGUUUAAUCUAAUUGUUUACUUAAAUAUAUUUCUUUCUACGUGAUCCUUUUUUUUUUAAUGUUUGUUUAUUAUCGUUGCAUCUUUUUUAUAAUAUAAUUAAAAUAAAAUCAAUUUAUUAAACUUGAUGCUAUUAGACAUUACUUGAGCGAUUGAUUUCUCUUAUUUCUUCGGAAAGCGUUUGCUGCUCUUAGACAUGUGUUUUACAGGAAAAAAAAAAAAAAAAGUGGGUCCAUGCCUUGUAUAUACUAUAUAUGAAAAUAAGAAUAGUUUUCUCAGAUUUUCUCUAUCAAAAACAUCCAAUUAAAAUUAUUGAAAGUUUUUUUUUUAUGAUUUUGGAUAAAUCUCUCCACUCUUCAUAUCCUUCUAGUAAAUACUUGGAUCGAUGGUAUAUGCUAUACCACGAGCUAAAUUAAAUCUUUUGUAACUUAGAAAAAUAAUGCUGAUUGUAGUGUUUUUUUAAAAAAAAAUAUUAAAUGAUAAAAUUGAAAAAAAAAUAUUAUUUUUUUUAAAAAAUCAAUUAAAAAACAUAGCAAUAAAAAAAUAAGAAUAGAGAUUAAAUCUAUUAGAAAAAAACUAAAGGAAAAUGAAACCUCAAUUCAAUUUUAAAAAUUAUCUUAAAUCAAAUAAAUAGCAAUAAAAAAAUAAAAAUAAAAAUAAAAUCUGAUAUAUAUAUAUAUAUAUAUAUAUAUAUAUAUAAAAUAAUAAUUAAAAGAAUAUAAAUCAAAUAUAAAGUCUUUGAGAAUUUGAAGGGUUGGAAGCGAAAAUUCAAGAAGAGUGAAGAAAAAAAUAGAAUGUCGGCACCAAAUCAAAGGUAAGUAAGCUACACCUCUCGAGAGGGAGGUUCCAUUGAAAGGAUUCCAAUAACAACCAGGAAUGCCUCUCUGGCCGCCAAAAUAAAGUCGACGGCACUAAACUAAUGCACUAAAGCACAGCAGCGGCUGCUGGUUAAGCUGAUUAAAAUAUCUUAUCCCUAAACUAAAGGAUCAAAAAAGAGCUUCGGAAAAAUUCCAAGGAAAAAUUAAACUAAAAGGCAGUAGUCUUUGUUUCUUCUUCUUUAAUUUUUGUUUUUUAAUUUUUAAUUUUAUGCAAAUAAUAAAAUCAAAUAAGUGUUUACAAGAUUGAGAACCAACUAAAUAAUGCGAUGUUUUGUUAAACUAUAAUAGUCCCAUAAAAUACAAGGAGGAAUAAAUUAUAAAUAUCAUUUCUCAAUAAAUAUAAUUUUAAAAGACUAAAUUAAAAACUAAAAAAAUGACAAAGGUGUGAGGGGGCUAUAAAGUUUUCAAGUUCUUUUUAAUUUAAUGUCUCUGCUAAUAAAAAAAAUUUAAUAGUUAGAGUUGGAGGAUUAAAUGAAAUUAAAUAUAUUGCCUAAAAUAUCUCGACUCUCCCUAUCAAAUUUUGUUAGUUUUAGAACUUUUAUAUGAAAUUAGAAAAUGAAUAUUAUCAAGUUUUGUAUUACUUUUAUAGAUUUAAAGUUAAAAAAGAGCACAUGUUUUCAAUACGAAUUUCGUGAACUUAGUUAAACGAUGAAAUUUGUCAUCCUAGAUCCAGUGUUAUGAAAUAAUAAAAUUUAUAAAUUAGGAUUUUAAAAGAUAAAUAAUUAAGGGUUUUUAGCUUUAAUUGUAAAGAUAAUAAAGAUAAAAAUAUAUUUGGUUAGAAAGAUAAAGACAUAGAAAUAAAAAUAAAUUUAUUUCUAAGAUAAUUUCAGAGUGAAUUUCUAAAAUUUCAAAACAAGAGAUAUAAUAGGAAUAUAUUUCCCAAGACAAUAUUUAUUAUCUUUAUUCCUAAAAUAUCCUUAUAAAAAACUCUCUUUUUAAAAUUUUUCAACUUAGACAUAUAAGAAUAAAAAUGAUUAUUAUUAUUAUAGUUUUAAAACUUAACUUGGAGGUUGACCCGCGAUAAGACCCGGGUCACAGAGAAGAUCAACUUGGGUUUACCCGAGUCAACGUAAGAAUAAAAGUUUUAUUAUAGUUUUGAAACCCGACUAGAGGGUCAAUCUGGUACAAGGCAUGGGUCACAGGUUGAGUUAAUCAUUGACCCAAGUCAAUGUAAGGAUAAAAGUGAUUAUUAUCGUAGUUUUAAAACAAGAUCAAAGGAUCAACCUAAAGGAAAUCUCAGGUCACGAGUCGGGAGGGUUAAUUUGGGUUGACACAAGUCAAUAUAUAGAUAAAAAUAAUAAUUAUUAUAAUUUUAAAACCCUACUAGAGAGUCGACCCGGGGCAAUUCCUGAGUUAUGAGUUAGAACUGUCAACUCGGGUUGACCUAAAAUCUUUCAUAAAAAUGAAACCAAACAACCUCAUUUUGACCAAAAACAUUUCAAAAAAAAAUCAACAGUUUUUUUACCCUUAAUUUAUACAGGUUUUUUACUAGGUUAGGUCCGGUUAAACUUUCUUUUAUUUUUUUAAACAUGGACUAGUUUAGGCUCAGGGAUAACUGGGAUUGAGUCGACUUACCGAGUCAAUUCGGGUUUUAUAACUAGUGUUAUUAUAAUAUUAUUAAUUUUAAUUCUUAACGUAAAUUAAAGUAAAAAAAUAAUAUAAAUAGUUUUUUAAAUAUACAAAUUUUAUAAUAAUAGAUAUUAAGCGUGAAAUAGAUUUUUUAUAUGUUUUAUUAUAUCUUGUUUACCGUAACCAAACAUGAUACAAAGAUAAUAAUUUUGUUUUAUAUAUCAUUACCAAACAUAAAUCUUUUUGCAUCUCCUUUUCUAUCUUGUUUUUUUUUUUUUUGUCUUUAUUAUCUAUAUUUUUUUUAUUAAAACAAUAACAAGAAGCUUCAAUUUGUGAAUCUUGUGAACUGCAAUAGUCUAAGGAUUCUACCAAGCCACCUUGAAAUGGAAUCAUUAGAAGUUUGCACUCUCAGUUGCUGCUCGAAACUUGAUAAGUUUCCUGAUAUAGUAGGAAACAUAAACUGCUUGAGGGAGCUUCGUUUAGAUGGGACUGCUAUUGCAAAACUAUCUUCAUCAUUUCAUUGUUUGGUUGGUUUAGUUCUAUUGAGCAUGAACAGUUGUAGGAACCUUGAAAGUAUUCCCAGUAGCAUAAGUGGUUUGAAAUCCCUCAAAAGACUUGAUGUGUCUGACUGCUCUGAACUUAAGAACAUACCAGAGAAUUUGGGGGAAGUAGAAAGUUUGGAGGAGUUUGAUGCAAGUGGAACUUCAAUUAGACAGCCGCCAGCGUCUUUUUUUCUUUUGAAGAAUCUUAAAGUAUUGUCAUUUAAUGGAUGCAAAAAAAUAGUUGUGAAUCUCACGGAUCAAGUAUUGCCUUCUUUAUCUGGUCUGUGUUCUUUAGAAGAACUGGAUUUACGCGCUUGUAAUCUAGGAGAAGGAGCAGUUCCCGAAGAUAUUGGCUGCUUAUCGUCAUUGAGGAGUCUAAAUCUGAGUAGAAAUAACUUUGUUAGCCUGCCUAAAAGCAUAAAUCAGCUUUCUAGGCUUGAAAAGCUUGCCUUGAAGGAUUGCGUGAUGCUUGAAUCAUUGCCUGAGGUUCCCUUGAAAGUUCAGAAAGUAAAAUUGGAUGGUUGUUUAAAACUAAAAGAAAUUCCAGAUCCAAUAAAGCUAUGCAGUCUGAAAAGAUCAGAGUUCAAAUGUCUUAACUGUUGGGAACUGUAUAUGCAUAAUGGCCAAAACAACAUGGGUCUGAACAUGCUUGAAAAAUACCUUCAGGUCUUCUCUUCACCAUACCCAAUCUCUCUCUCUCCCCCCCCCUCUAUCUCUGAAACAUUUUUGUUUUAUGAUACAGGGCUCAUCUCCAAGACCUGGAUUUGGUAUUGCUGUUCCUGGAAAUGAAAUCCCAGGCUGGUUUACUCAUCAAAGUAAGGAAUCUUCAAUUAGGGUGCAGGUGCCUUCUAAUUAUCUGGAUGGUGAUGAUAAUGGGUGGAUGGGGUUUGCUGCAUGUGUUACAUUCAGUGCAUAUGGUAAAAGCCCUCUCUUUUGUCAUUUCAAAGUCGAUGGAAAAGAGAAUUAUCCUUCACCCAUAUAUAUAGGUUGUAACUCUAUGCAAGCUCUGUCAGAUCAUCUGUGGUUAUUCUAUUUAUCUUUUGAUUAUCUGAAAGAGCUUAAAGAAUGGGAGAAUGAAGCCUGUAGCGAACUCGAGUUGUCGUUUCAUUCUUACGAGCAAGGAGUAAAGGUGAAGAAUUGUGGUGUCCGUUUGGUAAAUUCUCCGUACACUCCAUUAUGGCAAUCACCUACUGGCCGUCUUAUUGUUGCAAGCAAAGAAGCAACUUCUUCAUAUAUUGAUUCUUUAGCUAAUUCUUCAUCUUACAGUCAAUGGAUGCAUGAUGUCUUCUUUAGCUUCAGAGGUGAGCACACUAGCAAUAAUUUCACCCAUUUGUAUACAACUCUAGUCCAAAAAGGCAUUAUCUGAGGUGACACAGAACUAGAGUAUCUAAGGGUAAUUGAAUCGAGUCUCCUAAGGGACAUCAAAGAGUCGGGGCUGUCAAUUAUUAUAUUUGCAAGAGAUUAUGCUUGUUCAGCUUGGUGGUUUGACGAAGUUGUCAAGAUUGUUGGAUUCAUGAAAAAGAUGAAAUCGGACACUGUUUUUCCAGUUUCAGCAGUUUCUUAUAAUGUCGAGCAAUCAAGGGUAGAUGCACAAGCAGAGAGUUACACGAUUGUCUUCGACAAGGAUGAAGAAGAUUUCAGUGAAGAUAUGGAGAAGGUACGAAGGUAGAUGGAUAUUCUCACCGAGGUCGCCAUUUCAUCUGGGUCGGAAUCAUCGAAAAGGUAAUUAAUCAUUACUUUCCUUUCCUUUCUUUUUUUUCUUCUUAUUUUUGUGUUUUAAAAAUAUUUUUAAAUAUUUUUAAUUUUUUUUAAAAUAAUAUUUUUAAUAAUUUUAGAUUAUUUAAAUAUAAUAAUGUUAAAAAUAAUUUUAAAAAAAUAAAAAAAAUAUUAUUUUAAUAUAUUUUUAAAUAAAAAAUAUUUUUAAAAAAACUAAAUAUUAUUUUAAUAUAUUUUUAAAUAAAAAAUAUUUUUUUAAAAAACUGAACUUCUUUUUCAAUCACCAAGUAGCCUUUCAAGAUCCCAAGUUCACAAAACUCUCACGUAUUCAAGCCUUUUAUGGAAAUUUAGUCUUGUUUUAUCUAUCUAUAGAAACUUGGCAUUUAACUACUUUUUAAAAAUAUUAUUUUAAUAUAUUUUUAAAUAAAAAAUAUUUUUAAAAAAACUGAAACCUCAUCUCUAAACACCAAGUAACCUUCCAAAAUCCCAAGUUCACAAAACUCUUACGUAUUCAAGCGAAGUUUAGUCUUGUUUUAUCUACAUAUAGAAACUUGGCAUUUAAGAAAGAUUAAAAACUACUUUUUCGUGCUUAAUUUUAUAAUAUUUGGUGAAUAAAAAAACGACAGCGUUAAUUGAUUGAGAAAUAUUAGCUUAAUGAUUACACGUAGGUGUUUCCUUCAUUGCUCUGAUAAAGAGAAACAUAGGGGAGAGUAUUCGGGAGUGGUUUGCAUUGUGUUUUUAAAUUUUUAAAAUAAAAAAAAAAUAUUUUUUAUUUGAUAUUUUUCUAAAUAAAAAAUAUUUUAAAUUAUUAUCGUUAUUAUAAUUUCAAACAUGAUGUUGACACAUUAUAAUACAUGUAGAUGUGUCUACUUCUAUGACAACAUGUUCAAUGCUAGCAAUAUUCUCACUUUAAAACAAAUCAAUCUCGAGAGGUUGAUCGAUCUGAUGGUUAAGAAUGUUUCAUAGUUUUUAAUUUCUUUAUUCCCAUAAAAUAAGAGAAUUCAUUUCCUGAUGCAUGAAGCUCCACGAGAGGAGGGGUGGUGCCAUAUGAUAUCAUUUUCUUUGGACUUUCUCCACUGAAAGUCGUCCUUCUUCACAGUCUAACUUACAUCCUUGAAACUUUACCGCUACGAGUCCUUGAUCCAAAGAAACUGUAAAAAAAAAACCCAAAAGUAAUGGGAAAGAAAACAGAGAGGGAAAAUAAUUAGAGAGUGAAAAGAGGACUGGAAGUUAUAUAGUUAUGAAGAGACCAAAAGAAGAAAGAAUUGGGCUUUGCAACAUCCUGCGCUUCUCGAGUCAAUGCUUUCCACACGGUUUGUGUAUGCUCUCACGUGUCUAUGUCACGAUUAUUCUUUUAAAUUAAAAAUAAUAUAAAAAAAAAGAUAAAAAAAAUUAUUAUUUUUUAUCAAUAGAAUAAAAAAAUAAAAAUCAUCAUCUAGUAUUUAACAAUUAUCCAUAUAAUUUCAGCACUUAAUUUUCCCUAUUUCCAUAACAUGCAAACCAUGUUCCCACAUCAUAUUUCUCUCACAUGCAAAUGAAAUUAACACACAAUUUCUCUAAUUUCCAUUCAAUUUCUCUAUUUCCCCAAACUUCCAUCAUGUAUCACAACAUGUCAAUAUCCAUUAAGUUAAAAAUUCUACUUCAAUUACCAUUUCCAAGGCUUCCAUAUAAAUCCAUGAAUGUGCAUAUCACAAAAUCAUACCAAAUUUCACAUCCAUGAUUUCCCCUACACUUAUACAACAUAAAAUCCACAGAUAUUGCUACACUAGAAUAUGACGUGAAAUGGCCAUUUGCAUUUUUCCCCUUACCAUUUCUAAGGCGCCGUUUUGAGAUGUGAAAUGGCCAUUUGCAUUUUGGCCCUUGAAGUUUUGAAAGUUUUGUAACUAAGCCCCUAGUUAAAUUGUAAUUGAACCCCUGCAUUCGGCGCCUUUUACAACACAGUCCUUGGACUCUAAUCUAUUGCAAUUUUGCCCCCAAUUAACCCCAAACUUUGGUAUUUCUUCAAAUAAGUCCCUGAUUUCAUUAAUUCAAUUAAUUCCAAGCUCAAAUAAGUCUCAAAACUUAUCAAUUCUCCUAUUAAACCCUUGAUUUGAUUCAUUACAUUAAUUACAAGGUCAAUUAAGUCUCAAAACUUAUCAAUUCUCCAAUUAAACCCUUGAUUUGAUUAAUUAAAUUAAUUCCAAGCUCAAUUAAGUCUCAAAACUUCCAAUCAUGUUGUCUUUAACCCAAAUUUUAAUUUAUUCUUUAUUUUUAUUUGUUUUUCAUCAUCAUUUUUUUUUCAUUUUUUUUAAUUAUCAUUUUUCAGAAAAUAAAAUAAUAGUAAUAAUAAUAAUAAUAAAAUAAAAUGGUCAAAAAUUGGGUUAUGACACAUCCAUGAACGAUCAUCCAUGAUUUUUAUUGAACCUCUAUAAAAUAAUGAUGACAACAUGUAUUAAUUAACUAUGUUAAGUAAAUAAAUUUGAAAAAAUAUUGGUUUAACUUGAGAUUAUCCAACAAACUAAUUAAAACUUCUCUUAAAUAUUUAUUAUCAAUUAUCAACGUCCAUACAAAUUAUACACAUAAAUUUAUAAAAAUUACAACUCCGCAAUAGCGCGCAUUGAUAAAAAUUCAAACAGACUCGUUAAAUAAACUAUUAUUUAUUUCAUCACAACACAUCUAAUUUUGUAAUUCGACAUAAGUUUUAACAAUUUACAAACAAAUAUAAUUUUACAAAAUGUAAAACAAACCAUAACAAAUACAAAAUUAUACAUUCAUACUACAAGUUUGUUUAAGAAAAAAACAAUAAAACAUGUACAUACACUAACAAAAAUACAUGAACUAAAAAAACCUUAAAUAAUAAUAAAAUUAACAUUUUAAUGUUAAAAUUAAAAAAAAAGAUAGAUUUACUUAUAAAAAAUGACAAAAUCCAUAAUAAAUCAGAAUACAGAUGCUGUGAUUACAAAAGUUAAAAAAGGAUGACUUGUGUUGAGAAGAGGGGAAUAGUUUAGGGGGGUGGGUGUUUGUAGUUGGGGGUGGGGCAGCUUUUUUAGAUGCAGGGGUGGGGGAAGAAGGAGAAAUAGGGGAGGGGAGAGUUAGCAGCAUGGUGAUAUAUUCACUUUUACUGAUGGAAUCACCGAUGAAAUAUUUUUGUCGGUGAUUUUAUUAGUGCUUCUGUCGAUGAAGGGGUCACAUCACUGUACGGAAAUCUCAGUUUGAAUCUGUCGGUGAUUCCGUCGAUAGGGUCACAUCAUUGUACGGAGAUCCCGAUUUGAAUACCUUGGUGAUUCCAUCAGUAAAAGCACUUGCAAAAACUUCCACGUCAUCGUCCUUUUUUUUCCCCAAAAUUCUAAGUAGUCCCUUCGUAAUUGUGGCGGUAUAUACCGACAAAAUUAGUCCAUCGGUGUAUGCCGAUAGAAUUACUAAGGGAUUUAUAUCCGUCGGUAAAUAUCACCGUAAAUUACUGAUAGAAAUUUUUUUGGUAAUUGUAGUAAUAUCUGCAAAGUUGCAUCAGACAACAUUGAGGGGACCUUAACACAUAACAACGCCAGCCACUUGCAUCAGACAGGCCUUCAAAAGCUGGUACAGGUUCUGCCUCAUCAAGCACAGCAACAUCAAAUCCAUCCAGCAAAUAUUAUUCCGCAGCGCCUAUAGCUCCUGUAUCUUUCGAAGACACUGCCAUAGAAACAGAGUUGAAUCCACAUUCAUGCCGUGUCAACUAGUGCAAGAAGCAAACUGGAUUUUGAUUCUUGCAUUUCUCAUCAAAGGCCAGUUUCUCAUGUCUGCUAAGAUCACUCUUGCUUAGAUGUUGUUCUAUUUCUAACUUUGCAGUCAAACUGCUUCAUAUAGCUGAGCUAAAUAUUACUCAAAAUAUUUUUUCGGUGUCCACAGUGUUGAGGAUGUACCUAACAGCGAAACAGAAAAGCAAAUAACCUCAACCAAGUCCUCUCAUCAGCCCUGUGCACAUGAGGAAGUUAGCCAAUCAGUUAAAAAAUAGCGUGGUAAGGAGCCAUUGCACUGAUCAGAGGCACAUUCUUUCCCAUGCAUGCUUUAUCUCCAAAUUUAUUGAGGAAUGAAACCUUAUCAAUAAUAUCAUCAUUAAGAAAAUCAAAUGGCUCAAUUAAGCUCUUAAUUAAUGGCUCAGUGUUUAAAUUAGCAAAAUAGAUUCAUGGAAUUUCUGAUUCUCAUUUUACUUGCUGAUUCAUGGAUUCUAAAUGUAUUGAGGAACCCAAAGUUUUUCAUUUUUCUUACCGAUCCUCAUGCAAAUGCUAUUCUUUUGUCCCCCCCCCCCCCCCCCCCACCCCUCAAACUAGAUUAGGGUUGUGUUUCCAGCACUAGCUAGUUAUCAAUUUUAAAUUUUCUUGCAAAUGUUCCAUACAUAUCACCCUGUGCUUUAAUACCAUAAGAAUAGUUGCCUCCCCCCUUCAACAAUUAGACACGCCAUCGUUUACCAUACAAACUUUUAUGAAUGUAACUACAAUUUCUAGAACAUGCUAUUUCGCAUUUCUACCAUGCAAGAACACACAAAACUUACGGUGUUUAUUCAAAGCAGGAUGUUUAGUUGAAAAGAAUGAAGCAUAUUUGUUAAACAAAAAGUUGGAUCGCAUGCCUGCCAGUCCUCACUUUUGCUUAAUAAAACUAGAGGCUACUCUACCAAUAUGCACAUGUUUUUGUGGAGAUAAAUGAUAUAGACAUGCUUACCAUCUGAGCAGUCAGAUGUGAUUUGCCAUAACUAGAUUAGGAUAUGUUUUUGAUAAAUUAUGUGGAUGACCUAACAGAUAUAUUUAUAGACCAGUAGACAAGUUUAGACCCAAGAGGAGGUCCGGUCGUACUAUACCAGAAUAAUUGUUAAAAAAAAUCAUAACUUUUUAUCCGACUGUUGGAUAGCACUCAAAUAUUUACAGGAGUUUUCAAAAAUUGUUUUUCUCAAAGCCAUAUGGAAUCACGACUCUGAUCGUCGAAUCUUUAUAUUUUAAAAAUUUCUUCCCGAAACCCUGGUUUUGAUAAUUUCUUUGAUUUUCCUUGUUAUUUUUAGAUUUUCUGUUUCUUUCAUAUUUUAUUAUUUCCUUUGUAAUUUCAAGUUUUGUUUUUAUUUCCUAGUUAAGUAGGGUUUAUAGUCUAUUUAAAAUUUUAACAAACCUUUUAAAAAGACAAAUUUCAAUAUUAUUAUUUUAAAGAUAAUAAAUCAACAAAUUUAGAGUUCAAAGCAGCCUUUUUCACAUAAAAAAUUAUGUGCUUUUUUUAUUGUUUCUUUAGUUUCCGUCCGUAUAAAAUAAUUUACAUAAAGUUUCUACAUCAGGCACGCUAGAUGUUGAUGGUUAUUAAUUUACAUAAGCAAUUACCCUUGCUUAUACCUAUUGUCUAAAAAUAUCCAUUAUGUAAGCUUUCCCCAAUCAGUUUUCCAUUUAUUAGUCAUUUGCUCUGGAUAUCUUAGUAUGAAAAUUUAAAGAUUAAUUGCCCGCUCAAUCCAUAUCUAGUUUUAGUUUAAAGGAUAAUUAAUUAGGGCAUAUAUAUGCCAAUCCUACUAAGGAGAAUCUUCUGUCCAUAACUGCAUGCAUUAUGUGUCCACAAAUAAGAAACUUCAGUUUAAGAAAAGGAUGUUUGGAAAUGUAGUUGUAGUUGUUUUUUUAAAGUUUUUUUUAUUUAAAAAUAUAUCAAAAUAAUAUUUUUUAUUUUUUAAAAAUUAUUUUUGACGUAAACACAUCAAAAUGAUCUAAAAACACUAAAAAAUAUUAAUUUGAAAUAAAAAAAUAAUUUUUUUAAAUUUUUUUCAAAAGUACUUUUGAAACACAAAAAUAAAUGGGGUAUAAAUAUUAUGGUCAUUUCAAUGAAAGUACAUUAAAUUAACCAAUUUACAUUAGGUUUUUGCUACUAGUGUGUUUGGUAUUGAGGUUGUUGUUGUGGUUAUGGUUUUAAAAAAGUUGUUUUAUAAAAAGGUACUUUUAGUUGAGGUUGGUUUGGAAAAAUAUAUAUUUGGUUAAAACUGUGGUUGAAAUUGAGGUUCAACAAAAAGUAGUUUAAUGUGUUUGGUUAAAAAAAUACUUUUCAAAUUGAGGUUAUAAAAUUAUUAAAAUAUAUAUAUAUUAAUAUUAAUGAUUUUUAAUUUAAAUAUUGUAGAUUUAACUACUGUUAUUACAUUAUAAUAUUGAUAUCAAAUAUUUUUUAUUAUUCCAUUAAACUAUAUGCAAUGUCAUCACAUAUGAAAUCUAUCCAACAAGGACUAUAUUUUCCAUGGUUUCUUAAGCGCGCAACAACAAAAACUGAUUUUUUUGUUACGUCAUCAAACGAUCUCCUUCUAAUUUUUUGAAUAAAACACAAUUAAAAUAAAAAUAAAAACUGAUUUUUUUUUUAACUGGGUUGGACCCGGCAAGAACAUAAUUAGAAUUGCGAUCAAAUUCUAUAAAUGCUACGUCAUCAUGCGAUAUCCUUCUAAUUUAUGUAGUGUUAUUAAAUAAUAUCAAAUACUAGUUUUUCGAGUAAAACUCAAUUUUUUUAAAAACAAAUUUACAAUUUCAUUACGUACAAAAUUCAUUCGACAAGAACUACAGUUUCCAUGAUUUUUUGAGUGUGCAAUAAAAUUAAGUAAAAUAUUAUCAGGAAUAAAAUUAAGAUUAUAAUACGAGUAAAUUUAAUUCACCUUAAACUAAUUUUUAAAUAAACAAAAACAAAUUACUAUUCACGUUUACGUGAACAGUGUGAGUAAAAUCAAUUAACUACACUGAUAUUUAAAUACUAAAUAAUAAAAAUUUUAAAAUGUUUGCAGGGCUCGGGCCCCUGCUUACCUCCUCUAGUUCCGGCCCUGAUCAUGACCACAAAUAUCACCGCGAUAGCUGAGGAGAUGGUGAAUAUCAAGGUACAGAAUACUUACAGUCUUUUAUCUUAUAUAUUAUUAUUAAACACAAUUAUAUCUUUUGAAUCACAGGACAUUUACCAUAUUGGGGUCGGAGAAGGAGGGAACAAAUCCCAAGAAGAUUUAUUUUAAACAUUAAUGCUUAACUUUAAAAUUCAGUAAAAAUCACAAAGUGGCUGAAGAAAUCCUAUCACAUUGUCAAACUCGUCAUAUGAAUUUAUGAGUUAAUAUAAAUAUAACAUGUGAAAUUAAAUAAAAAAUUCAAAAAUCAACCAUUCUGAUCAAAUUUGAUUAAAAUUGAUGAAACUCGAUAAACUCAGACCAAGUUUACCGAGUUUGACAAAAUUGAGUUUGUCAAAAAAAAAAAAAGAUGAAGAAGAAGCAUGCAGGUGUGAAAAUGAUGGGUCUUGAGUAGCCAAACCCAUGGUUUUUAGACUUUUUAAAUCAAACCAGUGGCUUUCUUUACUUACACUGCUAUGCUGAAUAGAAAGAGCAUCAUGUACUGUUCCUUUCUCCCUCUCUCUUCUCCCGAGCUGGAUAGAGGAGGCCAAGUAACCAAAGGCAAAGAAAAAUUUACUGCUGUGUUCAUUAAAGUAACAAUUAAUUCAUAUGCAUUACUAGUUUUUUUUUCCUCGCACUAAAACUAUUACUAUUGAGAAAGAAGAAGACUUACAUGCUUCUUCUUCAUCUUUUUUAUUAUUAUUUAUUAUUAUCAUUAAAAGCUAAUAAUUAUAUGGCUGUCAACAAAAGAGCCCGGAGUUAGGGCAGGCAAAAUAAAGUAGAUAUUUACAUGGCUGUAAAAGAAAAAGAAGACGGAAAACUCACUUUUCUAUAUCUAUGAUUAUUUCUUUUUGAAUAGGUGUGAUUGUUGGAACAAGAAUAUUAAGGGCCUAUUUGGUUAGUGUGGACUAAUUCUGAUGGGUCUAUUGAGCGAUACAAAGCUAGGCUGGUUGCAAAAGGAUACUCUCAACAAUAUGGUAUGGACUAUGAGGAGACAUUUACCCCGGUUGCAAAAAAGACUACUAUUCGUACUCUUAUUGCCGUAGCUUCGAUUCGUUAGUGGCAUAUUUCUCAGCUUGAUGUUAAAAAUGCCUUCUUGAAUGGAGAUCUUCAAGAAGAAGUUUAUAUGACACCCCCUCCUGGUAUUUCACAUGACUUUGGAUAUGUUUGUAAGCUUAAGAAAGCAUUAUAUGGUCUCAAACAAGCACCCCGUGCUUGGUUUGAGAAAUUUUCUAUUGUGAUCUCGUCUCUUGACUUUGUUUCUAGCAGUCAUGAUUCUGCUCUUUUUAUUAAGUGCACUGAUGCAGGUCGUAUCAUUCUGUCUUUAUAUGUUGAUGACAUGAUUAUUACUGGUGAUGAUAUUGAUGGUAUUUCAGUUUUGAAGACAGAGUUGGCUAGACGAUUUGAAAUGAAGGAUUUGGGUUAUCUUCGAUAUUUCCUUGGUAUUGAGGGAGCAUACUCACUUAGAGGUUACCGUCUUUCUCAGUCGAAAUAUGUUGCAGAUAUUCUUGAGCAGGCUAGACUUACUGAUAACAAGACUGUAGAUACUCCUAUUGAGGUUAACGCAAGGUACUCUUCUUCUGAUGGUUUACCUUUGAUAGAUCUUACUUUAUACCGCACUAUUGUUGGGAGUUUGGUAUAUCUCACCAUUACUCGUCCAGAUAUUGCAUAUGCUGUUCAUGUUGUUAGUCAGUUUGUUGCUUCUCCUACUACUGUUCACUGAGCAGCUGUUCUUUGUAUUUUACAAUAUCUUCGGGGUAUAGUUUUUCAGAGUCUUUUACUUUCAUCCACCUCUUCCUUGGAGUUGCGUGCAUACUCUGAUGCUUAUCAUGGUAGUGAUCCCACGGAUCGCAAGUCUGUUACCGGGUUCUGUAUCUUUUUCGGUGAUUCUCUUAUUUCUUGAAAGAGUAAGAAACAAUCUAUUGUUUCUCAAUCAUCCACCGAAGCAGAAUAUCGUGCCAUGGCAUCUACUACCAAAGAGAUUGUUUGGUUACGUUGGUUACUUGCUGAUAUGUGAAUUUCCUUUUCUCAUCCUACUCCUAUGUAUUGUAGCAACCAGAGUUCUAUUCAGAUUGCUCAUAACUUGGUUUUUCAUGAGCGCACUAAGCACAUUGAGAUCGAUUGUUAUCUUACUCGUCAUCAUCUCAAACAUGACACCAUUGCUUUGCCUUUUGUUCCUUCUUCCUUGCAAAUUGCAGAUUUCUUUACCAAGGCGCAUUCCAUCUCUCGUUUUUGUUUUCUGGUUGACAAACUCUCGAUGCUUGUAGCUGCCGUGUUAGAGAAUAAUAUAAAUCAUAUCUUGGAACCUCACCUAACAGCUUAACCUUUUAGGUUGAGAUGGUUCUUUGACAUGGUAUCAGAGCCUUGAUGACCAAGUGGUCACGAGUUCGAAUCUCACCAUCCCCAUUAUUUGAUAAAAAUUAAGCACAAGGUAAUGUGGACCUGUGCAAGUUUCAAAGCCCAAAGGGCUUUCACUUGAGGGGGUGUGUUAGAGAAUAAUAUAAAUCAUAUCUUGGGACCUCACCUAACAGCUUAAGCUUUUAGGUUGAGAUGGUUCUUUGACGCAUCGUGAGUUUGAGGGGAGAUGUUAAAUAAUAUUUAUGUAGUCUUAUUUAUUAAGGGUAGAAUAGUACUUUCAGUUUAACCUAUAUAUACAUUAUUUGUAUUUAGGUUAAGACUAAGCAUUCAUAAUAUACAGAUUAUUCAGAAUUCUAGUCUCCUUUUUGUAUUUGAUCUCAAUUAUUUUAACAGAAAUAACCAGGCAUGUAUGGUAUUUUAUUUUUUGAACGUAAAUGUCCAGCUUAAAACAAAAUCUUUUCCAAGAAAUCAUAAAAAAAAAAUUCUUAUGAUUGUUGAUAAUAAUCUUGCCAUAGCAUGUGAAAAUUCUUCGAUGUUUCAUUUCUGACUUCGAAGGCACUACCCUGGCUUUUGAUAGGAAGGUGCCAGGCUGCCAGCAGUCCAAUGCGCGUCAUAUUCCACUUGCGUUUUCUUUUAUCGACCUUGUCUGCAUUGAAAGUAAUCUUCUUCACAAUCUCAUAAGAAAAAAUCCAGGACGUUUACCAGUACGAGUUUCUGCUCUAAAGAAACCGGAUAAAAAACAGAGAGUGAAGGAUCGAGCGUGUAAGAGAGGAGAAAAAUCAGAGAGGGAGAGGGGGAUCUGGAAGUUACACAGUUGCGAAGAGGCCAGAAGAAGAAAGAAUUGGGCUUUGGCUAGAUCUGUCGCCUCUCUACUCAACUCUUCCCACACGGUUUGUCUCUGCUACGUGCAUUCGUAUACAACUAGUAGAAAUUUGGUUUCUUAGUAGAAUUAUGUUCCAGCUGAUUUUGUCAAAUCUCUUGCUCUUUUUGUUUCAUGUCUGAACUCAGGAGAAGGCUAUUAUGCACUAUAAAAUGGCAUGGAAGUUAACCAGUUGCUGAACCAUCCCUGGAUAGUUAAGAGCUAAGAAGACUAGAAGGAAUCAAUCAGUAUUAAUUUAUUGCUACUGGGAUUCCCAUGGCCUCAUCCAGCAUGCAGAAAGGAACCUCAUCUUCUUAUUCUGCUCCCCAAUGGAUGUAUGAUGUCUUCCUUAGUUUUAGAGGCAAAGACACACGGAAUAACUUUACUAGCCAUCUAUAUUCUAAUUUGGUACAAAGAGGCAUCGACGUAUACAUGGAUGAUAGGGGGCUAGAGAGAGGAAAGACCAUCGAACCUGCUCUCUGGAAGGCCAUCGAAGAUUCAAGAUUUUCAAUCGUUGUGUUUUCAAGAGAUUACGCGUCUUCACCAUGGUGCUUAGAUGAGCUUGUCAAGAUUGUUCAGUGCAUGAAAGAGAUGGGGCACACUGUUCUACCAGUUUUUUAUGAUGUGGAUCCAUCAGAGGUAGCCGAUCAGAAAGGGAAUUACAAGAAGGCUUUCAUUGAGCAUAAGGAAAAGCUCUCGGAAAAUCUGGACAGGGUAAAAUGCUGGAGUGAUUGUCUCUCCACAGUGGCCAAUCUAUCUGGCUGGGAUGUACGGAAUAGGUAUACUAAGCCUCUUUAUAUUUAUUUUGGAUGGAGUUAUUACUGUCUCACAAAUAGUUAUUUUUACUAGUUUUUGGGAAAUACAUCUUUUUAUUUAUUUAGAAUAAUGAUAUAUUUGUCUAGACAAAAUGGACAUGCCAUGUUGGACUCCUUAAAAUCCACUUGUAAUUUUUUGUUGGGAACAAAAACCAACUUUGCAACUCUCUUGCCAUUAAUUUUUUACCAUGAAGACUUGCACAACCUUUCUCUAAGUUUUAUGCGCAAAAAGAUCAACUCGAAGUUUAUGAAAUUGAUGAUUGAAGAAAUAUUGAAGAGAUCGAGCUAUGCAUUCAUUUCGUCGUUGAGUUUUCAUCAUCAAUUUAACAAGUGGCAAAAUAUAAUAUCGAAAAACUAAUAUUGAAGGGGUGACUAAUAGUAGGCAAGUGAUUGAGUUUUCGAGGCGAGCUUGACAAAUGACAACUUAUAUGAAUGCUAUUAUUCUAUGUGCAAUAAGCUAGAGCUAUUACAAGAAUCGAUCAUUCUGUGCAUCCACAGAAUCCUAGUUCCUUUUCCAAUUAUUCUUUCCUUUUCCUCCUGAUCUUCGGGCUAUUAUCGAAGGUUGAUUGAUUAAUUUCUCGUUAAAAACCAUAUAUUUCAAGUAACAAUAUUUCAUGUUUCUUUUCCCCUUAUCACUAUAUGACCCGGUUUUCGCACACUGCAUGCAUGCUUAUUGUUCUUACCUCUUUUACGCAGCGAUGAGUCGCAAUCAAUUAAAAAGAUUGCUGAAUAUAUACAGUGCAAACUAAGCUUCACUUUGCAAACAAUUAGCAAAAAUCUAGUUGGAAUAGAUUCUCGUCUGAAGGUAUUGAAUGAAUAUAUAGACGAACAAGCAACUGAUACUCUCUUUAUAGGGAUAUGUGGAAUGGGUGGCAUGGGAAAGACAACUGUUGCAAGAGUCAUGUAUGAUAGGAUUCGUUGGCAAUUCCAAGGCAGCUGCUUCUUAGCAAAUGUGAGAGAAGUUUUUGCAGAGAAAGAUGGACGGUGUCGUUUACAGGAACAACUUCUUUCCGAAAUCUCAAUGGAGCUUCCCACUGCACGGGAUUCUUCAAGAAGGAUUGAUUUGAUAAAGCGCAGGCUGCGGCUUAAAAAGGUUCUUCUUAUUCUGGAUGAUGUAGAUGAUGAAGAACAAUUACAGAUGUUGGCUGCAGAGCAUGGAUCGUUUGGUCCAGGGAGCCGGAUUAUCAUAACGAGCAGAAAUAAACAUGUGCUGGAUAGCCAUGGUGUUACUAGAAUAUACGAGGCUGAUAAAUUAAAUGAUAAAGAUGCUCUUAUGUUAUUUAGCUGGAAAGCUUUCAAAAGAGACCAGCCUGCUGAAGAUUUAUCGGAACUAUCCAAGCAAGUUGUGGGUUAUGCUAAUGGCCUUCCACUAGCUCUUGAAGUCAUAGGUUCGUUCUUGCAUAAAAGAGGUCUGCGUGAAUGGAAAAGUGCAAUUGAUAGAAUGAAUGACAUUCCUGACAGGAAGAUUAUUGAUGUUCUUCGCAUUAGUUUUGAUGGCCUCCAUGAAUUAGAGAAGAAAAUAUUUUUAGAUAUCGCUUGCUUCUUGAAGGGGAUGAAAAAGGAUCGUAUAGCAAGGCUACUUGACAGUUGUGGGUUCCAUGCAGAUAUUGGGAUGCAGGCUCUUAUUGAGAAAUCCCUUAUAAGCGUCUCACGAGAUGAGAUAAGGAUGCAUAAUCUAUUACAGAAAAUGGGUGAAGAAAUUGUUCGUUGUGAAUCCCCUGAAGAGCCUGGAAGACGCAGUAGAUUGUGCACUUACAAGGAUGUCUGCCACGCACUGGAGGACAGCACAGUGAGUAGUAGCUGAUAUAUACAGAACAUUCAUUAUCCAUAAGAUUUCAUGCUCCAUCUCUACUCUGCAAUAGCUUCUUACCUAUCCUUCCUCUUGGUCGACAGGAAAAAAUACAAAGUAUAUUCUUGGACUUGCCCAAAGCAAAAGAGGCACAAUGGAACAUGACAGCCUUCUCAAAAAUGACCAAACUAAGAUUGCUCAAAAUUCACAACGUGGAUCUUUCUGAAGGACCCGAGUAUCUCUCGAAGGAGUUACGAUUCCUUGAAUGGCAUGCUUACCCUUCAAAGUCAUUGCCAGCUUGUUUCCGUCCGGAUGAGCUUGUUGAACUCUACAUGUCUUGCAGCAGUAUUGAGCAAUUAUGGUGCGGAUGUAAGGUAAGACCCACUAGCUCUGUAAAUUUGUUUGUAUCUUUUCAUAAGCCAUGAUAAGAAAUCAGAAAUAUAAUGUGUUAUUUUUUUUAAUUUGUUUUUUAUUUUUUAUUUUUUAUAUUUUAUUGGAACUUUUUUUUCAUUUUACCCUUCAAUAAAAAAAAAUUUAGUUAUCCUUUAAUUUAUUUUCACCCUUAUUUUUUUAAUUAUCAUUUUUUUAUUUUAGAUUUUUUUGUGUUGUUAAUUGUUUUUCCCAUUACAUUCUUUAACAUUUGAUAUGUUGGGGAUUAUGCUUUACUAUUUUUCUAUGUAUGAUACUUCCAGUUUAAUAACCUGGAUCAUGAGUUUUGAAAAUUAAUGCGGAUCUACAUCUUUUUUAUUUAUUUAUUCUCUUUCAUUGUUUGACAUUAUUUUUUUAAAAAACAAUUACUUUCAUGGUUUCAUUUAAUUUUUUUCUAUUGGGUUAUAUUGAUCUCUUUACCUAAACUGCAGGUUUUAUAGGUUAACUCAAAUUAACUCGCUUUUUAUUACUUAGAUUACAUGUCUACCAUACUUUCUUACGUUGACUUGGGUUAUGUUUUUUAUCUUUUGUUUAAUCUAAUUUUUUACUUACAUAUAUUUCUUUCUAAGGUACGUGAUUCUUUUUUUUUAAUAUUUAUUUAUUAUUGUUGCAUCUUUUUAUAAUAUAAUUAAAAUAAAAUCAAUUUAUUAAACUUAAUGCUAUUAUACAUAACUUGAGCGAUUGAUUUCUCUUAUUUCUUCGGAAAGCGUUUGCUGCUAUUAGACAUGUUUUUUACAAAAAAAAAAAAGGUGGGCCCAUGCCUUGUAUAUACUAUAUAUGAAAAUAAAAAUAGUUUUCUCAGAUUUUCUCUAUCAAAAACUUCCAAUUAAAAUAACUGAAAGUUUUUUUUGGAUAAAUCUCUCCACUCUUCAUAUCCUUCUAGUAUGUACUUAUUGAUGGUAUAUGCUAUACCGCGAGCUAGAUUAAAUCUUUUAUAACUUAGAAAAAAUCAAUUAAAAAAUAUAGCAAUUAAAAGAAUGAAGAUUAAAUCUAUUAAAAAAAACUAAAGAAAAAUAAAAUCUUAAUUCAAUUUUAAAAAUUAUCUUAAAUCAAAUAAAUAGUAAUAAAAAAGUAAAAAUACAAUUUGAUAUAUAUAUAUAUAUAUGGAUGAAAUUAAAAAAAUUAAUUUGAUAAAUUUUUUUAAAUAAAAUAAAUAGUAAUUAAAAGAAUAUAAAUCAAAUAUAAAGUAAAAACAAUUGUAUUUGGGAAUUUGAAGGAAUGGAAGCGAAAAUUCAAGAGAAGAGUAAAGAAAAAUAUAGAAUGUCGGUACCAAAUCAAAGGUAAGCAAGCUACACAUCUCGAGAGGGAGGUUCCAUUGAAACGAUUCCAAUAACAACCAGGAAUGCCAUUUUGGCCGCCAAAAUAAAGUCGACGGCACUUAACUAAUGCACAGCAGCGGCUGCUGGUUAAGCUGAUUAAAAUAUCUAAUCCCUAAACCACUGUCCCCGGCCCGGCGGGUCGACCCGGGAUCCGGUCGACCCGGUGGCUAGACCGGUCCGGGUUUAAUAAAAGACCGGCUGUGGCAACAGCCCGGCCAAACCCGGGCGACUCGGCCGGUCGACCCGGAACCCGGGUGACCCGGGCGAACCCGGACGAGACCUGGUUUUUAUUUUAAUUUUUUUUUUCAAAUGUGGGAUUUGAAACCUAUCAGUAUAUAUACUCUAUGUUCCCAUGAAAAAAACCAUGUUUUUUCAAUGUGGGAUAAAAACCUUUUGGUUUAAAUAUUUCAACUUAAAAGGAUAACAUAGUAUCUUUUCAAUGUGGGAUUUGAAGCCCUUUCAUAUAUAUACACUAUGUUCCCAUGAAAAAAACCAUGUUUUUUCAAUGUGGGAUAAAAACCUUUUGGUUUAAAUACUUCAACUUAAAAGGAUAACAUAGUAUCUUUUCAAUGUGGGAUUUGAAGCCCUUUCAUAUAUAUACACUAUGUUCCCAUGAAAAAAACCAUGUUUUUUCAAUGUGGGAUAAAAAACUUUUUGGUUUAAAUACUUCAACUUAAAAGGAUAACAUGGUAUCUUUUUAAUGUGGGAUUUGAAGCCCUUUCAUAUAUAUACUCUAUGUUCCCAUGAAAAAAACCAUGUUUUUUCAAUGUGGGAUUUGAAACCCAUUAGUAUAUAUACUCUAUGUUCCCAAGAAAAAAAUCAUGUUUUUUCAAUGUGGGAUAAAAAACUUUCUAGUUUAAAUACUUCAACUUAAAAGGAUAAUAUAUUAUCUUUUCAAUGUGGGAUUUGAAACCCUUUCAUAUAUAUACUCUAUGUUCCCAUGAAAAAAGUUAUGUUUUUUCAAUAUGAGAUUUGAAAUCUAUUAGUAUAUAUACUCUAUGUUUUCAAGAAAAAAGUUAUGUUUUUUCAAUGUGGGAUAAAAAAAAUUUUUAGUUUAAAUACUUUAACUUAAAAGCUUAACAUAAUAUCUUUUUAAUGUGGGAUAAUUUUUUUAAAAAAAUAUUCUUUUAAACUUCAUAAUAUGUAUAAUCUAUAUUUACAUGGAUUUUUUCAUAUGAAAUAUUAAAACUUUAAUUUUUUUUAAUUUUUCCGGGUUAAUCCGGGUUGACCCGAGUUGACCCGGGUUGACCCAUGAAACCCGGGACCCAGCCCCUUGGCCGGGUCAACCCCCGGGCCGGGUUUAAUAACUAUGCCCUAAACUAAAGGAUCAAAAAAGAGCUUUGGAAAAAUUCCAAGGAAAAAUUAAACUAAAAGGCAGUAGUCUUUGUUUCUUCUUCUUUAAUUUUUGUUUUUUAAUUUUGUACAAAUAAUAAAAUCAAAUAAGUUUUUACAAGAUUGAGAACCAACUAAAUAAUGCAAUGUUUUGUUAAACUAUAAUAGUCCCAUAAAAAGUGAGGAGAAAUAAAUUAUAAAUAUCAUUUCUCAAUAAAUACAAUUUUAAUCUUGUUUUUCCUUUUCUUUUAUAUCUUAUUUUCUUUAUUUUUAUUAUCUCAGUCUUUUUUCCUAAACAUUACUUAAUAAUCAAUAUUCAAAAGAAAUUAUCAUAUUUUGUCAAAUAUUACCAUUUAAAACUAAAUCAUAUAUGGUACCACCACUUAAUGUUUGUUCUCUCUCUCGUCUUGAUUGUAGAUUUUAGUUAAUCUAAAAAUCAUCAAUCUCAGCAACUCACUGUACCUAAUCAAUACCCCAGAUUUUACUGGAAUUCCAAAUCUUGAGAGUCUGAUUCUUGAAGGUUGUGCAAGUUUAUCUGAGGUCCAUCCAUCAUUUGGACGUCAUAAGAAGCUUCAAUUUGUGAAUCUUGUGAACUGCUACAGUCUUAGGAUUCUCCCAAGCAACCUUGAAAUGGAAUCAUUAGAAGUUUGCACUUUCAGUAGCUGCUCAAAACUUGAUAAGUUUCCUGAUAUAGUAGGAAACAUGAAUUGCUUGAGGGAGCUUCGUUUAGAUGGGACUGCUAUUGCAGAACUAUCCUCAUCAUUUCAUUGUUUGGCUGGUUUAGUUCUAUUGAGCAUGAACAAUUGUAAGAACCUUGAAAGUAUUCCCAGUAGCAUACGUGGUUUGAAAUCCCUCAAAAGACUUGAUGUGUCUGACUGCUCUGAACUUAAAAACAUACCAGAGAAUUUGGGGGAAGUAGAAAGUUUGGAGGAGUUUGAUGCAAGUGGAACUUCAAUUAGACAGCCGCCAACGUCUUUUUUUCUUUUGAAGAAUCUUAAAGUAUUGUCUUUUAAGGGAUGCAAAAGAAUAGCUGUGAAUCUCACAGAUCAAAUAUUGCCUUCUUUGUCUGGUCUGUGUUCUUUAGAAGAACUGGAUUUAUGCGCUUGUAAUCUAGGAGAAGGAGCAGUUCCUGAAGAUAUUGGCUGCUUAUCGUCAUUAAGGAGUCUAAAUCUGAGCAGAAAUAACUUUAUUAGCCUGCCUAAAAGCAUAAAUAAGCUUUCUAGGCUUGAAAAGCUUGCCUUGAAGGAUUGCGUGAUGCUUGAAUCAUUGCCUGAGGUUCCCUUGAAAGUUCAAAAAGUAAAAUUGGAUGGUUGUUUAAGACUAAAAGAAAUUCCAGAUCCAAUAAAGCUAAGCAGUCUGAAAAGAUCAGAGUUCAAAUGUCUUAACUGUUGGGAACUGUACAAGCAUAAUGGCCAAAACAACAUGGGUCUGAACAUGCUUGAAAAAUACCUCCAGGUCUUCUCUUCACCAUACCCAAUCUUUAUCUCUCUCUCUCUCUCUCUCUCUCUAAAACAUUUUUGAUUUAUGAUACAGGGCUCAUCUCCAAGACCUGGAUUUGGUAUUGCUGUUCCUGGAAAUGAAAUUCCAGGCUGGUUUACUCAUCAAAGUAAGGAAUCUUCAAUUAGGGUGCAGAUGCCUUCUAAUUAUCUGGAUGGUGAUGAUAAUGGGUGGAUGGGGUUUGCUGCAUGUGCU